rnacentral:lncRNA from 1 species
AUAUAUAUAGAGUUGGACUGGGUUACUAUUAGUAGCAAAAUUCUAUUGUUGCUACCAGUUUUUUAGCCUUUGGAUCAACUCUUUUCAUUAUUUCUAACCGUUGGAUUAAAUACUAUAACCCAGUGGGGACCACUCAAUUCUAACCGACUAAUAUCAUCUUGGCCCUACAAUUUUUCAUCCAAGGAUUAAAACCUUGAUAGCAAAAAGAAUAUUUUACUAUUAAUAGUAUUCCAGCAUAAUUCUAUAUAUAUAUAUAUAUAUAUAAUUAAAGAGGGAGAGAGAGGUCUACUAAACUCUCUCUCUUAGGCGGUCCACGAGAAGAUGAAGCCCACCUCGUGGACGCGUGCAAAAAUGCUAGUGAACCCCACCAUUUUUGGUGGGCCCCACUGCGGAGAGGCAUUGUUGGUUCCCAAUUCAUAAAUUUAUAAAUAAAUUGCAUUGUUCUUUUUUUUUCUUUUUCUAUAAGGUGAAGCUCCCCCUUUUCUUCUUCUUCUUCUUAAUCUUCUCCUUUAAUUUUCUUCCGGCUUUUUCAAAUUUCUUUGGUACUCCGGCCAAGAAAAAAAAAUUGAGUGAGAAAAUUUCCAACUACGCUUCCUUGGGAGCCCGCAAUCCGCAUAUUAUUUAUGCUUCUAUCAAAGAAUGAUAAUCCUUCUCUUUAGGUAGCGUUUGGUUCGGGUAUAAGUAAGAACUAGCUAUUACAGGGAUAGGUACAAGUAUGGGGAUAAAAAAAAUAGCGUUUGGAUAAAAAUUAGGUUGUUGCCGGGGAUAAGAAAAAUAGCGUUUCAAUAAAUAAUAUGGAAUAAGAAAAAUAGUUGAUAAUUAUAUAUAGAAAAUAGAGGUGUUGGUGGGGAUAGUAAUACUGGUUAUUUUAGGUAUCUGAAAAUUACUAUUCUCGGAUAAAAAAUUUGCGUUUGGGUAUAAAGGGGAUAAGUGGUUAUCCCUCUCCUUAUCCCCAAUCCAAACACUGCCUUACGUUUUUAAAAAAUCUAAAAUUUUGGUAUUAAAAAAUACCUGCAAACAUAGUGAAUGACAAAUAUAUCUCUACAAAAUUCAACUUUUAUAUCUUAUCCCCGCAAAAGUUCAGAUAUUUUCAAAUAUAUUUAUCAGGUUUGUUACUGUCAGAAAACUAUUUAUAUUUUUAAUUUUGCCAUCACAAAUAUGUCCCUCCAAAAGUCAUAACAGUGUAAUAUAAGCGGAGUAAAAAUGUCAAAAAUUAACCAGGAUUAAGUAUUUAACCUAUUAUUAACUAAAUUUUUCUAACGGAUUCUAACUGUAGGGAUAUAUUUGAAAAUAUAAAAAUUUUACAAAAAUAAUAUAUAAAAAUUAAAUUUUAUAAAAAUAUAUUUAUCAUUCAUUAUAUUUAUAAAAAUUUGUAUAAAAUUAACUUUAAAAUUAAGAGUAGGACUACUAUGCUAUUAGGAGCACAACAAUCUUUGUGCUCCUAACUUUCUAAUCAUCCAUCAAUUUUGAUGGAUGAUUCGGACGAGAUAGAGAAUAGAAAUUCAAAUAGAAGAAAAAUUAAGACACCCAAUUUCUUUCCAAUUUUUCUUCGCUUUUUCAUUUUAACCAUCCAUCAAAUUAAUAAAUAAUUAAAAAAUUAAAAGCAUAUAAAAAUUACUGUACUCAUACAGUAGUCCUGCUCCUAAAAUUAAUAUAUAGUCCUGCUCCUAAUGUUUUGGGACAGUCCCUCCCCGCUGAAAUUUUAUCCUGCCUGCUGCUGCAGCUGAAAUUUUAUGCCCGAGACGAGAUCUGCGGGAUCUGCUGGGGAUUGCUGGCGAUGAUGAUGGACGGCGAUGAUGGAGACGGCGAUGGGACGUCUGGAUGGGAUUGCCGGCGAGUGUGUGGACGGGCGUUGCGUGGCGGCGCGAUUCGCGGGAUUUCUGCCACAUCGUGCGGCACGAAGAGGGAGGGAGAGGGUAGAUAAAAUAGGUAUUAAGUGCUUCAAAUGAGGUUAAAAUACCAAAAAAAGGAAAAAAAAAAAAAAGAAAAUGCUUGUUUUGCUCUUUUUUUUUUUCUUUUUUUUUCUAUUUUUUUUUAAGGUACCUCUAAAAAUGUAUAUUUUAUUUUUUAAAAAAAUUUAAAAAUAUUUUUAGAAAAUUGUGAUAUUAAUAAAAAGAAUAAAAUGAUCAAAUUAUUUUUAUUAGUUGUUUCCACACGCUAUUCUUAUUUUAAAAAUUUUAAAUUUAAAAUUAAAAUGUAAAAAAAUUUAAAUUUAAAUUAAAAGUUUUAAAUUUUAUAAUUUUAAAUUCAAAAUGUAAACUUUAAAAUUUUAUAUUUUAAAUUUAAAAUUUAAAAUUUUAUGCGUUAAAAUUUAAAAUUAAAAUUUGAUACUUUAUAUUUUCAAAUUUAAAUUUGAUCUUGAAUUUAAAGUUUGAAAUUAAAAAUUAUUAAUUUUGAAUUUAAAGUUGAAAUUUAAAAUUUAUAAUUUUGAACUUAAAAUAUGAUUUUAAAUUUUAAAUUUUAAUUUAAAAAUAUAAGUAUAAAUUAAAAAUUCAAAAUUCAAUAUUAUGAGAGUGGUAAUAAUUAUUUUUAUUUAAAUUAUUUACUAUCCUAUUUAUUCUAUAUUUAUUUUUAUUCUCAGGAGAAUAAACUAAUUUUUAUCCACACGCCAAAAAUUGGUAUUUUAUACAUUGUUUCUGAAACAGGCAGUUCUUAUUUUAUCCGAAAUCAAAUGAUACAUAUGGUAAUAUAUGUAGUUUUUGAAAGUCAGAAAAGAUAAUUGAAAAGAUGAGUAUUAUCAAGAGUUUUCUAUAUUUUAGCCUUAAAAUAAUUAGGAGUACUAAGUUGAUCAUAAUUUCACGGGUGUGUAAAUAUAAAGAAAAAAAAAUGUACACUUAUCUAAACUAUAAGACCAUCUGGAUUUUGCUAUCCAAUAUUUCGAAAUUUUUAAAUUUAUUAUCCGAUUUUUUAAUUUGUUUAAUUUCAAUCAAUCAACGAUAGUUUUAAUUUUUAAAAUUUAAGUAAUUAAUAUACGAAUUUAUAAUGUCGAUAAUUGCAGUAAAAUAUUGAUUAAAUCUGUAAAGAUAAAUAAUCCAUUCAAAUUGUAAAUUCAAACACUCGUUCACUGAUUCAAAUCAAAAAUCGGAAAAACAUAUAAUACCAUCCUAUGGUUUCACACUUUUUCACUUUAGUGCCAUGUGGUUUAAAGUGUAUCAAUUUAGUGCCCUAUGGUCUUCAUUUUUAUCUUUUUUAUAAUCAAUUCCACUAAUUUUUUUUGUUAAAUUAGUGACAAAGUUAAAACUAAAGGUACUUAAAGUGAAUAUUCGAUAACCUAGGUGGAGUAUCUAAAGUUUUUUGUUGUAAUUUAACAAAUAUUAAUGGAUAAGCUUGAUGAAAAGAUAAAAAUAAAACCACAGGACUACUAACUUGAUAACACUUUAAACCACAUGUACUAAAAUGAGAAAAUACAAAACCGACAUGAAGGGUAUUUAAAGUUUACCCAUAAAAAAAACUGAAAUAUGGAUAGUCAAAUCAAAUGUUUAAUAGUUCAGAUAAGUCGUAUACAUUUUUACCUUAAAAAUAAUUAGCACGCAUAUAGAGUAUAUUUUUAGGGAUGUAUAUAUAUAUAAAUUGAGCUAGAAUACUUUUAGAAGCUAUCAAUCUGUUGGUGCUUCUAAGUUUUUAGCCCUUGGAUCUACUCCUUAAUUACUAAUACCCUUGAUUCAAACACUAUUCCAACUACACCACCUACCACCAGCUGCACUAUCAUCAUCAACCAUCUACAUUCUUCCAUCACAUGUAAAAACGUUAAAAAGCACCAACCCCGUGGUGCUUUCUGAAGUAUUCUAGCUCAACUAUUAUUAUAUAAUAUAUAUUAUAUAUAACUAUAUAUAUAUAUAUAUAUAUGAAAUAGGGAUUAAGGUAUUGGUGCAAUUUCAAGUAUAAUCUUCUAAAACUCCAAAAUAUCCAAAAUAUAAUAGAUGCUCUUUCUAGAUCUAAAAUAUCGUCAAUCUAUAUAUCUAUACCUUAUCUAUACCUCUAUAUCUUCUACACAUUAUUUUCUCUAAAUUUGUCACAUGGCAACGUUCGCUUUAUUGUUGGGUGUGGGCUCCACCCCGAACUUGCUCAAAUCCAUUUUUGUCUUUCUUUACUUGAACCAAACCGAAAUUUUAUCUUUCUUUGCUUGAACCAAUCCAAUUAUUAUUGAGUGUGGGUUCUCCCAAACCGGCUCAAGUCCUCCACAUAUUUUUUUCUUUUUUUUCUUGAACCUAACUGGGUUUUCCUUUUUUUUUUAUUAAACCGAACCGGAUCACACCUCUACAUUGGACCGAACUAUUCCUAUUCCACUUUUUUUGGCUAUUACCUUCAUUCAUCGGCAAGAUGAAUCUCACUCCUUAUCGUCACUUCUUCCAUCGCCGUUUCCUCUUCCUUUGUCGUCAUUUUCUACUUUUUUUCUAAUUAUCUACUCGUCGCAUCACACAGAUUACUACAUUAGUCUAUAUCUAUAUAUUAUAUAUAUCUAAAGUGGGUGGGAGAAGGUAUAGAGGGGGCACAUGGACACAUAUUAUAUUAGUUAAUUUAGUGCACCCGGUGCACCAUAAACCAUACUAAGUGGGUGGAGGAAGAUGGGAAGGGACACAAGUUGUGUCGGUUAAUUCAGUGCACCUGGUGCACUAUAAAAGGGUAAAUUGUAUUGUUACCUGAACUUUUGGCGAAGUUUCACUUUACCCCUCGAAUUCUAAAAUAGACAUCUGACACCCUAAACUCUAAUAUUUCAUUCACGUUACUCCUUCCAUCAGUUUUCCGUCAAGCUCCGUUAACCAGAAACUGACGGAAGGGGUAAAACGAAUGAAAUAUUAGAGUUUAGGGUGUUAGAUGCCUAUCUUAGGAGUUUAGGGGGUUAAGUGAAACUCGCCAAAAGUUCAGGAGGUAACAAUGCAAUUUAUCCCGACUAUAAAUUAUUUUUAUAUUAAAAAUUUUUAAUUGGCUGAAAUGAAGUACACAAAUUUUAUUUAAGUGUAUUUUCUAGAGCAAUACUUAUAAAGAUAAAAGAGACAAACAAGUACUACAGAAAAUUAACUGAAAAUUAAAAUAUCUAUAUCCGAGUGAGGUCGCCUAUUGUAAAGCAACCAUAUUAGUGAGUACGCCAGGAUAGUAGAGUGUUCGAGCAUCGUAGGUAAUUAGUAUCACUAUUUUUUUAUCUUUAAGCCACUCUAUUCAUUUCUUUCGCCUUUAUUUUAUUACAAUAAAAUAUAGAAUAAAUUAUGUUAUGAUUUAUUUUAGAAUAAAAAAUAUAUAUAAAUUCAAAAUCAAGUAUGAUCACUAACUUGAGGAUUAGUAAUAAAUUAUGUUAUGAUUUAUUUUAGAAUAAAAAAUAUAUAUAAAUUCAAAAUCAAGUAUGAUCACUAACUUGAGGAUUAGUAGUCAAUCCAUAAGUAAAAUAUUAUAAUAAAAUAAUUUAUAGUCAAGAGUCCUCAACGGGGUAAAUUGCACUACUACCUUUUGAACUUUUAGCGAGUUUCAUUUAACUCCCCAAACUCCUAAAAUAGACAUUUAACACCCUAAACUCUAAUAUUUCAUUAAUUUUACCCCUUCCGUCAGUUUCUUGUUAACGGAGCUUGAUGAAAAACUGACGGAAGGGAUAAUAUGAACGAAAUAUUAGAGUUUAGGGUGUUAGAUGUCUAUUUUAAGAGUUCGAGGGGUAAAGUAAAACUUCGCGAAAAGUUCAGGGGGUAACAAUACAAUUUACCUCACUAUAAAACAUAACCAAAUAUCAUAAACUUUAAUUAAUUAAUAAACAAAAAAAUUAUCUAUUAUCUAUUAUCUAUUAUCUAUUACUAUAUACUAAAGUGCGUGAGAUUCUUCUUUUAUUGACGUGUCCGGCUCAACUACUCAGUACACCCGAUGCAUCGUAGACCGUUGAUUAUCGACAUAUGUAUGGUCUAUGAAGGUCUAUGAAAAAAUCUUAGGUGCAUCUGAUUUAUUUCUAUCUAUUCUUUCUUCUACAUUAAAAAAGGGUUUGAGGAUGACACGUAUCCCCCAAAACCCUCACCUCCUCUCACUCCUUACCUAUAUAUAGAUAGGGUUUUAAAAUUUUAUAUUAUAAAAUUCUAAAUUUUGGAUAUCGAAAUUUUAAUUUAUUCCUAAAUUUUCAACUUUAAAAUUUUAAAUUUUAAAUCCUAAACUAUAUAGAAUUUUGAGGUAUUUUUCUAAAUUGCUUUAAUUCAUUGUCCACAAACUACUAAACCAAUGAGAAUACACAUUCAUUUUUUGUCAUUUAUCUAUUGUAAGUCCAAAUUUUAGAACAAAUUAAAUCUUUUCACGUUGGUGCUUAAUUGUGGUAAAUUUAAAAACUUCUUACAAAAUUAAAUACAUGUUCAUAAAUUCAAAAAAAAUUAUAAAGUCAGUCAAUUAAAAACCUACGAAUCAAAUAACUACUUUUUAUUUUAUCAUAAUAUUUUCAAUUCUCGAUAUUGCUUGCAUGGGUCAACAAAGUUACAAAAAUGAUCUGAAUAGAGUUAGAAGAAUAAGAAUUUAAAAAACACAAAAAGAUGAUAUGUAUUUUUUAAAACAAACUGGCGUAAAAAUAAACAUGUUACAAACUCUUCCUUUUUACUUCUGAAAAUUUUGAAAGUUUACGGAAUCUCAAGAAUCUAAAUUUAAACUAUAAAAUAUCUAGAGACAAAAUCUGUAACAAAAUUUUUUAUUUUGAAAUCAGAUAUUGAUACAAAAAACAAGGCCAUCGUACCCGCAACAAAGCGCGGGUACAUCGCUAGCAUUCUUUUAAAACACAAAAAUAAUUAUCCCAUUAAACAUAGAAAUCUAUCGCAAAUAUCCUCCUAAACUUCAAAAUCUUAGCCUAAACCCUAAACCCUGUUGUAUAUACAAGGACGGCAAUGAUAUUUUACACUUUGAGGGGUAUUUAUGAAGUUACCAGUUUGUAGAGGACAUUAAAUUAUAUGUGUGUGAGUUACAUAGUUCUUAGGCUUAGUUUGGUAUUAAGGCCUAUCUAACGCUAUUUGAUAAAAUGGAGUUGUGAAAAAAGCAUAUAGGGAUAUGCUUUUGCGUUCUCCAGUGGGAUCGCAGAAAAUAUAGCGUAACCGACUCAUCGUGAUAUGCGGAACGCAAUAUUACGUACGGAAACAAACAUGGUAUUUUUCCAACGUACUUUCUCACCGCACGUAACGCAAUCUCCCGGCAAUUCCGAACGAAGCCUUACACGAUGGGUAAAGUUUAGGGUUAAUUUCAUACAGAUCCCUGCAAACAUGGUGAAUAGCAGAUAUAUAUUCCUGCAAAAUUCAACUUUCAUAAGUUAUCUCUGCAAAAGUCCAAUGUAUUCAGAUAUAUCCCUACCGUUAAUACCCGUUAGAAAAAUCUAGUUAACCACACUUAGGGCGUGUUUGGUUCGAAGUCGGAGUCGGAAUCGGAAUCGGAAUCAAAAUAAGUUGGAAUCGGAAUUGGAAUGACUCAUUACCUAAUUCUGUUUGGUUCAUCACCUGAAUCGAAAUCGGAAUAAAUCAUUCCCAUUGUCGGUGUUUGGUUCAGAUGGAUAUAAAAACAUAAUCAAAUGAAUAUACUAACAUUAUCUUUAUAAUAUAUUAAUUUAAAUUUAAAUUAAAAUUAAAUAUUAAAAAUUUACAUCAAAAUUUUAAACUUAAUAGGUGAGUUGAAGUUUCAAAUUAAAAAAAAUUUUUUUUAUCUAAAUUUUAAAACUGUAAUAAAGNNNNNNCUUUGAAGUUGAGUGGAUAAUUCAAAAUAUGAAACUAAAUUUUGAUUUAUUCAAAUUCAAACUUAAAAUUAUAAUUUAAAUUUUAAUUUGAAUUCAUAAAUUUAAUUUAAGUUUGAAAAAAAAAUGAAUAAACUUUAUAUAAAUUAAAAUUUAAUUUAAAUUCAAAUUCAUAAGUUAGAUUCGAAAUACUUGAUUAAAUUUUAAUUUUUAAUUUAAGUUCAAAUUAAAAUUUAAAAUUAUAUAUUUAAUUUCUAAAUUUUAACUCAUAUUUUAAUUAAAAAAGUUGAAAAAAUAAAUUUAAUCCAAAUAAAUAUCUAUUCCGCCCGAAUUCAACUUUCAAUCCGGCCUUCUAGGCCGGAUUGAAAAAAUGGUGAUUGAGCGAUUCCCAUUCCACUCGAAAAUCGGAAUCGGAAUGGGACUCCCACGUACCAAACACCCACAAACGGAUUCACUCAUUCCCAUUCCGAUUCCAUGGUGAAAAAGAAGCGAACCAAACACGCCCUUAAAAUAUUUAACCAUGAUUAGUUAAUAAGGUAAAAUGAUAUUUUUACCUUUCUUCCUCUUCCCCUUCCUCUUCUUCUUCCUCUUCCUCUCCUGCUUCUUCUUCUUCCUCUUCCAUUUUGUAUCCUCAUUUUCCUCCUCUUUUUCUCCUCCUCCUUCUUCUUCGUCGUCUUCGUCGAUGAUCCGAUCGUCGUCGCCGUCGUGGUGCCCGCGUGGGCCGUCGUCACGGGCGCCUCCGACGUCAUCGACUGCGCCUUGGCCUUCCGCUUCUUCCUUGUCCUCGUUGGCCGCAAUCCCGACAAACUCCGCAAGGUGGCCGUCGCCGCCGUCCGCUCCCACAACAUGAAGAGGAAAAGGAAGAUGAAGAGGACAAGGGCAAAAUAGUCAUUUCACAACUCUACUGUUAAAAUAUUAACAGUUCUCUAACAUAUCUAAACCAGAGGGACAUAUCUGAAUACAUUAGGGUUUUUGCAGGAAUAACUUAUGAAAGUUGAAUUUUACAGGAGUAUAUCUGCUAUUCACCAUAUUUGCAGGGAUCUAUAUGAAAUUAAUCCUAAAAUUUAAAUCUAAGAGACCAAAAAUUAAGAUCUAAACUAUUAAAUAUGAUAAAAAAAUAAAAAGAAUGUCUGUAAAGUUUUAUAAAUAUUAAAAAUUAAUUUCUUAUAUAUCGAAUGAUGUGAAACGAAGAAUCCAAAAUUUUCUGGGAAGCAUAAUCAGCAUUAUAUUGAAAACUAAAGGUAUAGAUUUCGAAAAAUUUUAGGGAGUGAAAAAAUAUUACAGAUAUUUUAGAGUGCUUAGCUGGCCCGCUUAAACCCUAAGUCCUAAACUCUAAAUUGAAAUUUGAAUUUAAAUUUGAAUUCAAUGGAUUUUGAAAAUUCAUAUUCAAACUCGAGUCUGACCAAAAAUAUGAAACCGAAAUCCGAACUCAAACCCAAAAAUCCGAACCCGAAAUAAUUAUUUCUCAUUAUCGUAUUUCAAAAACAUAUUAUUUUUAAAAUCUCAAAAUUUUAAAUUACAAGCUAAAUAAAAUUUAACAUCAAAUAUUAUAAGGUAAAAACAAUUCGGUUUGGGUCGGGUUCAAGUUCGGGUCACGUCAGAAUAAAAUCCAUACUCGAAUUCAAAUCUAUCAAGUUUUCUUUUUCUAUGCCCAUCUGUUUAGUAUCGAGUAAACUCACUCCGAUCGAAUUCGGAUUCAAAAUAAAAUUUUUGGUAUUUGUACCAUUGACAUCCCUAAACAAACAUUUAAGUGCAAGUAAUAUUUCCACACCCAUUUGAUUAUGGUUAACCCUCUAACCAAAAUAUACUCUUCUAAAAGUUAAUUUCAUUAGUAAAUAGAUAUUUGAAGAAUUUUUUUAAAAUUAAUAAGAAUAUUUUGUCCUAUUUAAAUUAAAUAUUUUUAAAAUUUUGUACAAAAAAAAACUUAUUAUAUAUAUUUACUAAUGAAAUUAACUUUUAGUUGCUCAAAACAUCCAUAAUUUAACAAAUACUUAUUUAUUUUAUCUAUAAUUUUUUAAAUAAAAAAAUAAUAUUUAUAAAUCAUAAAUUUAUAAAUAAUUUGUGAAUAUCUGCAUAUACCAAUUAAGAUAGUGAAAUCUAGUCCUCGUAUAAGAGAAAACAAUGAUUAGUUUAGAUUUUUUUUUUUUUUGUGGUUUUCGAAAUAUUUUAUGUGGUGUGUGAAAUGUGCACGUAAACGACCGCUGCCGGUAACAAUCUUUCUUGUGUGCGCCUUUUCCUCGCUGUCUUCCCGCCCCCCUUAUUUAUUCGGCGCUCCUUCGCCCGCAGACGUACGCCAAAAAACGAAAAGCGACGACCGACCGCUGGUCCUCGCAGCACGCCCCCAUCACAAUCCAACGGCGGGCAGCUCACCUUUCUCUCUCCCCCCACCUGAUAGCGAGAUUAUCGAGGAUCACUCCCCCGCUUUUCCAACUCUACCCCUCCCACCUCUUUUUGUUUCACCAAGCAAAAAUAUUUUGUUUGGUUCGGAAAUAAAUAAAAAAUGACUAUUUCAAAAAUAGAUAUAUAAAUCAAAAAUAUAAAGAGGAUUAGAUAGGUAUAAAUUACAAGAUUUUUUUAUAAAUAUCAUUUUUUUAAUUUUUUCUCGCUAAUUUUUUUAAAAAUAUUCUUUCCCCUCUUAAUAUUUUAAAUUAGGAAAAAUUUCGAAUACCAUCCCUAUAGUUUCGCAUCUUUUAACUUUAGUAUCAUACUAUCAUGUGGUUUAAAGUGUGUCAAUUUAGUACUCGGUGGUUUCGCACUUUCUUACUUUAGUAUCAUAUGGUUUAAAAUGCAUCAAUGUAGUACCCUGUGGUUUUUUUUUUUUUCUUUUCGACAAAUUAUAUACAAAAUACUUCAAAUAUUCUACCUAAGUUUAUCGAAUAUUUACUUUAGUACCUUUAGUUUUAACUCUGUUACUGAUUUUAUUUUCCUCCAUUAAUAUUUCGUUAAAUUAUAUACAAAAAAACGUAAGAUACCCUAUCUAGGUUUAUCGAAUAUUUACUUUAGUACCUUUAGUUUUAACUCUGUUACUGAUUUUAUUUUCCUCCAUUAAUAUUUCGUUAAAUUAUAUACAAAAAAACGUAAGAUACCCUAUCUAGGUUUAUCGAAUAUUCACUUGUACCCCAUAAUUUUAACUUUGUCACUAAUUUAAUGAAAAUAAUUAGUGAAAUAGAUAAUUAAAAAAAAAAAAAAACCACAGGGUACGAACUUGAUACACUUUAAACCAUAGAGUACUAAAGUGAGAAAGUACGAAACCAUAAGGGCUAACUUGAUACACUUUAAAUCACAUGGUACUAAAGUGAGAAAAAUGUGAAAACCACAAAGGGAGUAUUUAAAGAUUACCCUUUAAAUUAUUACAUUUAACCUUUCUCUCUCAUAGUUUCAUUACUGUUCCGUUCAUUUCUUAUAAUUUAUAUCAAAAAUAUUUUUUAAAAUAACAAAAAUAUAUUAAAAAACUAUUUUUUUUAAAAAAAAAUAAUUUGAUCAUUUUACUUUCUUCAUUAAUGUUUUUUUAAAAUAUUUUUAAAAUUUUAAGAGAAUAAAUUAUAAAAUUUUGAGACUGAGAGAGUGAAAGUGAAAAAGUAAGUGUUUAUAGAAAAGUUUUCUAUAAUCUAGCCGAAAUAUUUUAAAGGCGGUUUGGUUCUUCAAAAAAUAUAAAAAAAUUGAGAAAAAAUAUUUUAAAAAACUUUUUUUUAGUUUUCUAUCUAUUUGAUUUUAAAACAAAUUAACUUUUUAAAAAACUAGUCUUUUAGUUUUUCUAAAAAGAGAUUCAAAAAAUUAAAACACGAAUUUUUAUGAAAUUCCACAAUUUUUUUUUUAAAAAAACCUAGUUCUUUGGAAACAACUGGACAAAAAAGUGAAAAUGAGUUUUUUCUUUUUUUUUUUUUUACUGCUUGAUGCAUUUAGCCUUGUCUAUUAAGAUUUCAUUACUGUUUUAUCUAUUUCAUAAAUAUUUUUUAAAAUAGUAAAAAAUAUAUCAAAAUAUUAUUUCGUUUACUCUAGAACAACCAAAAAGACAAUUUGAUCAUUUCACCCUUUUGAUCAACGUUGUAAUUUUUUGAAAAUAUUUCUAAAAUUUUGAGGAGGAAAAAAACAUAGGUUUUAAAAAUCAAGAAGGAAAAGUUAAAAAAUGAUAUAUUUACAAAAAUAUUUUCUAUAUUUUAGCUAAUUUUUUAUUUGCAACAAAUAAAUUUCAAACUGAUCAUUCCCAACGCAAGUUAUUAAGAACUUGAUAGGUUAAAUCCAAGGUAAUAAAUUUGAAACUUAAUUACUUAUACAUUUUUAGUUAAAGAAUUGUUUGGAUUUUAGAAAGCGUAUGAAAGAGGUUUUUCGAAAAAAAAAAAUUUAUGGAAUUUUUUUUUUUUCAAUUUUUCGUCUGUUUGGUAUUAUAAAAAACUAGCAAUUUUAAAAUUUAUAUUUCUGAUUUUAUAGAAAACUAGUGUUUUUGUUUUUUGACGCUAGUUUCUAUAAAAUCGAACCCUUUUUUUUUCAAAAAAGCUAUUUUUUCUUGAAAAUAAAUGGGUGAAAACAAGAGAGAAAAACCUUUAUUUUCCUUAUUUUUUUUCAUACUUUUGCAAGAAAACCAAAAAAAUCCUUUAUUUAUUAAUAACAUGCACGAAGUAGAUACCAUGCUAUUUUUAUCUCAAAAAAAAAAAUAAAUUUUACAAUAUUUUACAAAUUAUGUAAUUUAAUGGUUGGAUUUCAAUCUCAAUAUUAAAAGUCAUGCUUAGCUUCUCGUGAUUUAUACUUUAUUAUUAAUUAAUACCAGCUACGCUCUUCUACAAAGUAUUGUAAAUUAAUCAAUUUGUAAGCAUAAUAUUACUCUUCAACAUAAUAGAUUGAAGUGAGACUUCGAGGUAAACUAGAGUUCAAGUAAAACUUACUUCCUCCUGUUCUUCAUUUAUAGAGCUGUGAAAUUGAAGUUUUUCGAGAUCUAUUUUUUAUUUGGUAAGAAAUGAAUGACGUGAAAAUUAAAGAUGUGAAAAAUGAAUUAAUAUUUUAUUAUUAUUAUUAUUAUAUCGUAAUUGACUUUUAGUUUGGGGCACUGUCUUGAGGACAUUGAGAUUUAACUAAAGAUGAAGUUACGGUGAUCUAAAUAAAGAAAGUAGACAUUUACUGCUAAAAACCACUUUACCCAUUUCUAGGUGAAAUAAACACACAAAUUAAAAGUGAUUUCUCUAGAACUAAAAUCUAGAUAACAAUUAUUUAUUUUUUUACGGGGGUCAUUCAUCCUAGAACUACUCCCGUUCUAAUACGUUUUAACUCUCUUAACCUCUUGGAUCUAGCCACCACCUAAAAUACUUAAGCCGGAUUAUUAUGUCUAGUCCAAAAUCACUAGACGAUGUAAAACUUGUCUCGUAAGGCUUUGUCAUUCACUGACCCUGAUUUAAUUUGUCAGCCUAAGAAUGUUAGCUGAUGUGAGACUUGUCUCGUUAGCUUUUGUCAUUCUGAUCAUAAUUUAGCCUGUCAUUCAUCAACUCUGGCUCAGCCAAGACUCACCUCAUAUUUUCGACCGGUGAAUCGGCUCUGAUACCAAAUAUAACAACCCAACCCGCUAGCAAUAAUAACUUGUUGGAUCCAAACUAUCGACCAAACUAUUAAACCUAGUUAUUAUUAUUAGGGUGGAGUCCUCUUGUAUACCCAAAAAAAACUCAAUUCUCAUCCGAUGUUCGAGCUAUCACCUUAUCUUUUAGGCAGGGACUCAGUCGAAACUUGCCACACAUUUUUCUGCUGGUGAAUAGCUCUAAUACCAAUUAUAAUAAUCCAAUCCACUAGCAACAAUAUCCAGACCCUGGUAUAGCGGUUCACCUUAUCAUUCAGACUCCAGCAUCACCUAUCACCUUGUCUUUUAGACCCUAACUCAGUCGAGACUCGCAACAUAUUUUCAGUUAGUGAACUGGCUCUGAUACCAAUUAUAACGACCCUACCCGUCAGUAACAAUAACUUGUUGGGUCCAAACCACCGGCUCAAAAUGUUUAAGCCUAAUUAUUAUUAUUAGCGUGUAAGCUUUAUAUAUUCUAAUCAAAAUUAUUUUUCCAUCCUACUAAUAAUACUAACUCGUUGGGCCAAACCAUCGGCUUAAAAUGCUUAAGCUCAGUUAUUAUUACUAGCAUAUAGGCUUCAUAUAUUCUAAUCAGAAUUAGUUUUUUCACUCGAUGUGAGACAAUUGCGGUGUUACAAACUCUCAUUGUCCUCGUCGAGUCCAAAUCAGAUUACAGAUGCAAACCAAAAUUAGCAGGCGGUGUAAGAUUCAAAAGGUAACUCCCAUCAAAUUCGUUGGUGUAGCACUUUGUUCCACAUAACACUUAGCUCUCACACUUCCGGCUGACAUUCGGUUCUAAUACCAACUAUGAUGUCCCAAUUUCUCAGGUGGUCAUCCAUUCUAGGACUAUUCUCGUCCUAACACGCUUAACUCUCUUAUCCAUCGCCCAGCACAAAGUUAAUUACAACGUUAUGAUAAAUAGAGUCACGAAGAAAUUUAAUUUAUAAUAAAUUGGCCAACCAAAAUAAGCAUUCACAACCGAAAACAACUUCGCCUCUCUGCACUUUCGGCAAAAGGAACGUGCCCUUAGCCGUAUGUCAAUAUUUAAUUUUCGUUCUAAUCACGUACCGGAAAUUUAUUGUCUAUUAAUUAAUUAAUAAUAAUAAUAUAAUACAAUAUAUAUUAUUAUAUUAUAUAUUUAAUUUUUUGAAUAAAUUGUUUGGUGAAUAAUAAUAAUAAUAAAUAUAAAUAUAAAUAAAAUAAUAAUAAUAAUAAUUUGUGCCUCUUCCCUCGCGUUUCCCGGUCAAACCGUCCCCAGAUCCAACGGCGGUGAUGCUCCGAUCCGCUUUCCCUCGCCCCCCCGGCCCUCGCCUGACCCAUCACGCGCCAACACGUCGGCGCACGCGUACCCCCCGCCACAUGCUUCGCACGCGCUUUCGCACGUCCGGCGCCCCCCGCCGCUCCUUUUUCCUUCCCCCCAACCCCCCAACCCCAACCCUAACCUAACCCUAAUCCCCCCCCCCCCUCCCCUCCCCAGUUCCCAAGACCUACCGAUCCCACACAGAAAAAAAAAGGGGUGGGCGAAGCAACACGAACGUAGAACAACGUAGGACUUGAUCAAAAAGAUAAAUUUGUAGGAAAGUUAUAUUAUUUGUCACAUCCAGGGAUGGAAGUGAACUAGUGACGAAAGUUGAAGGGUUUUAAUGAAAACUAUAGGACUGAGUAACAAUUUUGGAUAGUUUAGGGACUAACGCUUACAAAUCGCCCGUUUAUUAGUUUCUCCAACAUAAAUAAUUAGAAGUCACUAAAAAAAUAAUAAUAAUAAAUAAUAAAUUAAAAAAAGGUAGCAAAACCUUUGCGCUCCUCACGAGCGAGAGGACGCCGAAGCUCGAUCCCCUCCAUCUCCUCCGCGAUACCCUAACCUAGAGAGAGAGAGAGAGAGAGAGAGAGAGAGAGGAGGAGGAGGAGGAGGAGAUUGAGAGGGAUUACUUACUAGGGUUUGGAGGAGGAGAUGGAGGGGAGGGAGACGAGGGGGCCGCCGAACCCGGCGCUGCCGUACAGGGAGGAUUGCUGGAGCGAGGGGGAGACGUCGGCGUUGGUGGAGGCGUGGGGCGACCGGUACCUCGAGCUGAACAGGGGGAACCUCCGCCAGAAGCACUGGCAGGAGGUCGCCGACGCCGUCAACUCCCGCCGCGGCGCCGCCGUCUCCGCCGGAGCCGGAGGAGGAGGAGGAGGAGGGGGAGGGAGACGGCCGCCGCGCACCGACGUGCAGUGCAAGAACCGGAUCGACACCCUCAAGAAGAAGUACAAGGUCGAGAAGGCCCGCAUCGCCGACUCCGCCGGCGCCCUCCAUAGCCCCUGGCCCUUCUACGCCCGCCUCGACGCCCUCAUCGGCUCCUCCACACCCCCCGCCGCCCCUCACUCCUCCGCAUCCGCCUCCGCCUCCGCCUCCGCCGCCCCUAAAAAGCCCUCCUCCUCCCCUCCCUUCGCCCUCCCCCUGCCCUUCCACCGCAAGGGCUUCCGCAAGGCGGCCGCCGCCGCCGCGGCGGCCGCGGCCGACGACGACGAGGACGAGGAGUCCGGAUCGUCGUCGAGGUCGCUUUCCUCGCGGUCGAAGUUGGGGAAGCGGAGGAGGGGGAGGGAGCGGGACGAUGGGGACGGGAUCCGGGAGCUGGCGAGGGCGAUCGAGAGGUUCGCGGAGAUCUACGAACGGGUGGAGGGGGCGAAGCAGCGGCAGAUGAUGGAGCUGGAGAAGCAGCGGAUGGAGUUCGCCAAGGGGCUGGAGUUCCAGCGGAUGCAGAUCUUCGUCGACUCGCAGGUCCAGCUCGAGAAGAUCAAGCGCUCCAAGCGGGCGGACGCCGGGGAGCCGAUUAGAUCCGUCGCUGCCCUUCAUUUCCUUUCUACCCCGCGGUUCUUUGGAUGAACUAAAGUGCUCGACCGUUCGAUCUCUAGGUAUAAGAUUCUAUUCCUUUUCUUUGCUUUUGAUUUUAUAUACGUUUCGACGAAUGUGAUUUACGUAUUCUAUACAUCUCUAUCUUUAGAUCUUUACUUUUGGUCUUGUCAUCUUUUUUUUGUUGUUAGAAGAAUAGUAAUCGAGUUUUUCUUUCCUUUGAAGUUGUUUAAAUAGGAAAUUGGAGGCGUCAGAUUGGUGUAUUGUGUUAUGUGUUGAUGUCGAGGUGAGUACUGUAGGUAGAUAUUAUUUCAAUCAAUUGAGAGUAGGUUUUAUUCGGAAUUGCCUUUUUUAGGUAGUAUAGAUGUGCUUGGUGCCAUUGAGUGCUUGUUGGUUAGGAGGUGAAGAUAGUGAAUCUUACAAAUUUGAAUUUGUUAGGUAAUUUAGUGGUAUUAUUUCCACUGUUAGAGAGAUUUUGUAAUUAAUGGAGCCUCUGUUAUCUCAAUUAAAAUUGUUGUGUUGUUAUGGAGGUGAUUUCUGUAAGCACCUGUCUAGUUUUCAUUAGAUAUCGGUGAGAAACUAAAUGCAACUUUGACAUGAUGCACAUAUGUAAUGUGCAUUCACUAGCCCAAUUGAUUUUGGUUUACGAAAUCUAUGAAGCUGAUUGCUUUUCGAUGUUUGUAUUUUCAUAAGUUGUUUUUUAUAUGAACGAAGUGGUCUCUUCUAUUUUGGUGACUAGAUAGUUAGGAAACAAAGGUUAAAUAAUGUCAAAAUUAGAUGAUACAUUGCUUCUUGAAGUUCCAGUUAUUCAUGUUGCUUAGCUAGAGAUGUAAUCUGUAAGAGCCUUUCCACUUGGAUUCUUAUUAAGAAUCAUGUUUUGUCUUUAUUAAUGACCCGUGCUUGUUGAAUAUGAGUGAUGAUUCCUAACCAAUCACUAUGAUGCCUUCAAGUUUUUCAAACUUUGUGAUUAAGCUUCAUAUAUACUGGAGAUAGUUCAAAAGAUGCCAUGUAUUCUACAUAGAAAUUGCAUUCUUACUUCGAUGUUUUUCUGUUCAUCCUCUAUGAACGAUUUGCAAUGGUGAACAAAUUAUCCUUCAUCGUCCUAAUAUCCUAUUAUUUUUCAUUUUUAAGCCUAGAGUGUUUGGCACAUUGAACUAAUAGCUAGAAGAUUCUUGAAAGUGUUUUUUUUUUUUUUUGUUUUUUAACACUUAUGCAUGGUAGAUGCUUAUUUGAAAUAUUAAACACUGCUGGUUUUUGAUCUGGUGGAGAAUUAUAUAUCUGUGAUAAGAGUAUGCAUGAUGUGGUUAUAUUUACCUGUCAAAAUAAGAGUAAUAUUAUUUAUAGGUUUUUCUCUUCUUUGUAUACUGCUUAACAGCCAUUGUGUUUGUGGCCUCGGCCGUUUUGCCUUUUUAUCCUCCACCUACUACUAAUAUUUUGUGCUACUGAGGUGCCCUUGUUAUCUUUUAUGUUGACACGCACUGCUUGAUGGGAAUUGGUCUUUCUUGCUAAUUUUAACUCGAAACUUUUGCAUCUAUCAUCUGUUGAACUUUAUUAAACCAUUAGACAUGGUAAAGUAAAUAUUGUGAGUGAUUAAAGCAAUAUUGCUGAUUAAAACACCACUUCUCUACAAUACUCCUCGAAAAAGUCUUUACAGGUUGUAAAAUCGAAUCGUCGUUUUAGCUUCUCAAGUUAACCAUCUCCAGGAGAGUAAAUGAUUUACAGCUUGCAAUAAGUGCGUUACAUGAAAUUCAAUUCAUCAGUCAAACUUCUUCUGCCUGAUUGGAAGCAACCUGGGGGAGCACAUCUGUAGAGCUUCAAGCAUCUAACGUGCCAAUCUGAUAUUUCUUUACAUUUGUCAUAGUGGGAAAAACUAACAUGGUUAUUUGAGAGUGAGUUUAGUCGAAACAAUACGUAAACUCUAGUGUUAGUUGAGUUCAACUAGGUGCUGAGAAAGUAUUGUAUAAAGACCCGUGGUUAUAUCCUUUUCAAGAGCUUUCUUCAGUUGUGGGGAAUAGAUUUUUGGUCUCCUCAUACUUGUUGUCGUAAAUGUCAAUUCAUGGCAUGAGAAUAUUGGGUAUAGAUCAAUUACAUUGGAAAUUAUAUGCUAUUCUUUUGUUUCAUUUGCCUAAUGCUUCAAUCUUUCUUUUUGGCAACCAGCAAAGAUAGGUUUGUAAUUUGUCCUCGAGGAAUAAUUGUUUCUGUUUUUACUAUGCUGGUUUGUUCUUCUACACCUCAUAAACACAUGGCAGUAUCGUGUCUCAUUUAUUAGUUUUCCUGUAGAAAAGUUGAUUAGAGAAUCAUGUGUUACCUUUGUGAUCUUUUUUUGAUUCUGAUCUAAUUAGUUGUAUUAGGUUGCACAUGCUGCAUGCGCAACUUUAGUUUGUCUGCCACGUAUAAGUUUUGAAAACCUUUGAACUCUAUCAUGGCUUGAUUAUUCAAUGUUCUGUUGGAAACCUUCUAGAUUAGAGACCACAAUUAAUCUUCCAGUCUUUAUAUAACUGGUAUAUACGCCGCAAGGACUAUUUGCUGCUGCUGAUUAGUUAAAGAUCAAGUUGAAGCCAAAAUAAAAAAGAAAAUAACGAGGAUAUUGCUGUAUUCACAUUAGUGUCUUCCUAAACCUAAAAUGGUAGGAAGCUUCACGCAUAUCUGACAUAGGACUCCUGAUCAACGUCUGCUAAACAUCUAGAGCUUCCCAUGUAUAUUUUCUUUAUCACCUACUUCAUGCACAUAUAAAACGAGACUUUUCAGGACCAUCAACAAAUUAUCAGAAAAAUUUCUCCAGUGUGACCUGAAAAUCUUAUAUUGCAUUCGCAUUUCCGUCGCUCCUGGUCCUUGCUAAAAUUUGUCCACUUUAUCCUACGUCCCAUUGCUCUUACUAUCUAAUCGAAAGCAUUUCAUGCACAUCCUUUUCCCGUUCUUAUUCUUCAUGUUGACGUAUGUUGCAGCUGACAUAUCUGAUAGGUUUUCACAAUCAUGGAGUUUAGUGGCCAUAAGAAGUGUGUGUAACUGUGGCCACUUAUUCUGUCUGUGUUCAAGUGAGUGAAGAAAGAUCCGCACACACAUUCACACCACCAGUUUGUGUAUGUCCCUGUGUCGGUGUUUGUUCUUGUAACGCAUGGAAUCAAUGUUUAAGGAAUAAAUUAACAUGCAUGUGUAUGCAUGCUGGUGUGCAUGUAUAUUUUUGUUGUCUGUGCAUGCCUUUUUCUUUCUGUGGAUGUGCUUGGGUCCUAGGAUUUUGAAGAGAGAGGCAUAUUAAAAAUAAGAUUGUGUAUGUGGGAGAAAGGUUUGGACCUUACUUGCAAUAUUGGCGUAAGGAGCAAGUUUAUGCAACUACUGAAAGUAAAUCGAAAAAAAAAUGGAUGAUGCUAUGGUGAAACAUCUCCAGCAAGACCUUACUGAGAUGGUUUAAAGGAGUUCUGUCUUUGCGUUCUAUAUUGGUGAAUAAAUCAGCAUAAAGAGGAAUGUAGAGGAAUGUUUGUAUGGUCUAUUUAUAUUAUGGCUUGGAUAUGCUUGGUUGAUUAGCUGACGAAGUGCUCUAUUCUGGUAUUUGAGAAUCUGCAACACUUGAUUUAGAAAGAACGACACUUUUAUUAUUGGUAUGAGUGGUCAUAGUAUUAGUUAGAUUUACUUCUUUCUGAUAUAUUUGCUGGAACUAAAAGAAACUAAAUAACAGAAGGCUUAUCCUUGAAUUGCGUCAACAGGUUAGACUUCCGGUAGGUCAAUUUAGCUCGAACAAGUGCAGACCCAUUUUGCCUAAUGGGUCGGCCCAACUUGCAAACUUUUGGUAGGGAAGCAGAAAAGAAGAUGCGAAGAGGAAGAGUGUGACAGAAGUGUUGAGGUGGAGGAUAAAGAAAAUGGGGGAAAGAUUGCAAGAGUUUAGGUGCAUGACAAUGUUCCUGAUGAAAGGUCACUGCAAAAGUCAAAGAGGAAGACAGGAGGGGUUGGUGAUUUUGAGAUUUGGGUGGGAAGCAGAAGGGUCAUGGUGAGAAGAGGUAAAGGGGGACUAUGGGUGUAAGGGGAGGGAGGUUAUGAUCUGAUCUGACUUGCAUCUGGUUGACUAAUCUCCUCUUAAACCCAAACGGUAUAAUCAUCAGGUCUAGUUAAACUAGUUUGUUUAGUUCUGGACUUUAGGUUGGCUUUGCCUGUUUGGGGUUUUGUAUUACCACCAUUUAUAGGAACUAAAUAGGAGUCUUCAAAGAAGUUUUGUUGCGGUACCAAGAUGAAGUGAUGUCAGUAUCAGCAUGUUACUACAGCAGUUGUAGACAAAAUUGUGCACACCACUUACUCUGGCUUAACACUAAUAAUAAUAAUAUAUACAAUAUAAAGCAAUAUAAUCUUAGGAGAUACUAUCAUUUUCCCUAGGAUUGAUAAGAGGCUUGUUGAGACUGCCCUUGAACUGGAUCAAGGACACUAAGAUUCUACAAACUAUGAAAUUUAACUUCAAUUGUUUUACCAACAAGAAUUACUUACAACUGGAAAUAACUGGUGAAUAGAAGGAAAAUUGGGAAAAUUCGAGAGAAGUUAAUGUGCUAAUCAAUAGCAUUUUGUAUAAUUUGAAUGUUCGUGUUUCUCAUUGAGCCCAUUUAAUUCGAACCUUAAAUUAAAUUUGGAAAUUUAACAAAAAGUGCAUAUUUAGACCAAGGUCUGUCCUCUAGGGUUUGUAUUGUGGAUGACCCGUAUUUUAGCAUAACUUGACCUAUUUGUUGCUCCAAGUUAGAUAGUCUAAAUCGGGUAAAUACUAAUAAUGGCCGCAAUAGUUUACUUGAAUCAUAAAUUGACUGUUGGGCUAGAUGUAUUCAUCAGAAUAUAAUGAUCUGCAUUUGAAAUUAUCAUUAAAUAUGAGCAGCAACAUUGUUUACUUUUGUGCCAUUGAGAUGGGUAAAAGACUAACAAAGUAUCUACCAUUCCUCUCUCUCUUAAAAAAAAAAAAAAAAAAAUCAAAUUUGAGGUCCAUUUAUGAAGUUAUCUGAAUUUGCACAAUGAUUUAAAUACCGAUGAUGGCAUUUAUAUUUGCUACCUAAUUUAUUGUUUAAAUAUUGCUUGUUCUUCAGAUUACAUGUAGCUUGCCGUGGAACAAGUAUUGCUGUUAGGUGGCGGGCCUUCAUAACUUAAACGUGUUGCGAAUAUUCGCUGUCAUCUUCGAACCGCGAUUUGGUGGAUGGUGGUCGUUUCUUGGUAGAUCCUCCUCAUAUUGUAAUUCUGAAGGAACUUUGGAUAUAUGUAGUAAUAGCAGUAGCUGAUGCCCUAACAAUGGCUUUUUGUUAUUUACGUCUGGUAGAUAACUGCGGCUAGAAACUUUCUAGGCCCUUUGUUGCUUGUUUAUGUUAGAAAACAGACGUACAUUAUUUAGUUCAUCUUUUUCCUUUUCUUUUGCUGCUGCACCACAUUUCGCCUCCAUUUAAUGUGAUUACUCAAGUUCCUCAAAAUUUGCCUUGCACUGAUCAUCAUAGAAAUUUUUAUUAGAUGUCCUGAAUGUAGAGUCCUUUCGACAAAAGGGAGCUACAAGGCCUUAGUAGUAGUGUAAUAUUGUGGCUAAAAGCACCGUUUUUAUAUUUUGGGUGACCCAAAUGUUUCCGAAAUUGUUUUCAAUCUUUUGUUUCUCCAAUGCUAUAAAGUUACGGUAGAAAUCUUCAUUGGAGGAGAGAAAAUUGAACAUAUUCUCAAAAUUUUUGGGCCAUCGAAAGCAUAGAACUAAUGCUUUUAGCCACCACGUUGUCAAACUAUGCCUAGCAGGUGUUCUCUGGUGAUCUGUUGCUGCCAAGGAAGUCCUACUGGUAGCUGUUGUAGAAGUGUUGUUUAGAUAAGAGCUGCUUGGAGAAGCACAAACAGCUUGGCAUUUUAAUAUUUCCCGCCGUCAACUGCUUGCGGCAGCAGCAGUCGAAAUUUCAAAUGCAUGUUAGCAUCUUGGUAAAAAGCUGGGAUAUAUGGAUGGAGUCCCUCUUCAAGUGAGUCAUCUUUGCUUUGCCUGGUUCGGUGAAAGCCGCGGUGCUAUGAAAAAUCACAGAUUGUUUUAGCUUCUGUUGCUUGUUUUUGAUGGAGCUGCUGCUGGUGCUCUGAAGAAAUAUGAAGUACAUCAAUUGUUUUUUUGUUUUGAAGGAGAGUAAUUAUUAUUUAUUAGUUUUUAGUGAAGCUAUAGAGGAAGAUGGACCAAAGAAGAAGUUACUUGCGAAGAUUGCGAGGGAUAUUCGACGCUGCAGUUACAAUACUUUUUAUUAUUACUUUCAUCAGCAACUAUAAGAUAAUAGUUUUCUCGGCUUAGGGUGGGAUGGUACUAUUUCGUACAUUUAUAUGGUCCAGCUAUUAUAUUUUUAUUAGUACAUUUAUCAUUUUCGAUGAUAGAACUUUCGUAUCGAUAAUUUAUACGACUAAAUAUAAUUUGAAGCAUUUAAACAUUCUCAAAUACCUAAUUUAGUAAUAUUUAGACUUCGAUGUACCUUAUUAUCAAAUGACUCUGUAUAUAAAUCAUAAUUGGUUGAAUUUUUAAUAAAAAUUUUUAUUUACUAUUUAGAUCAAAAUUAAUAACUCGGAUUUAAAAUUUUUUUUAAAAAUUAAUUCUUUACUUUUAAGAGCUCGUUUGAUUUUGACCUUUUAUUUUAUACUCGCCCAAUGAAUUUUAUUAUGAAUGCGAAAAAUUAUAAAAUUUAAUUUCUACAUAAUUCAAAUACUUCGUAUCAUGUUAUUGCCACGGAUCAUCGAGUCUCUAUGAUCUAAAAUAAUUUAUAAAAAUAUAAAGGCUUUCAAAUGUAAAGACUUUCGUACUUUUUUUUUGAAAAGAAGUAGGAAGCUAUCAAUUUCAUUUCAUUAGACAAAAUGAGCUAAGCAUACAAGAUAAAAGUUGUUGAGGCUUCUGAAGAAAAGAGAGACAUAAGUAAGAAAAAAUAAGAAGUGAAAGAAAAGGAAAUACAGAUAAUAAAAGAAGUUUUGGCUGAGAUAGGGGUCAAGCGGUUGGCGAUCAGUGGAUCUCAUUCCAAGAGGCCAGCAAGAGUUUGACAUGCUCAAUCGAUCAGGUAGGUUUGGGGAGUUUCGCUCAGAAGAUAAUGUUAUACCUCUCUGUCCAGACGACUCACCAGAUUGCCAACAAAAGGGUUAAACGUUUUGUUCUCUUCACAGUAUCAUUAGGCUAGUUGUCCUUAACUAGAGUACACGAACGUCGUCCGAGACGUCAGCGAGAAUCUCCGAACCAUCCACACAUAGAAAAAGGUAUCAAACAAACAUGCAGUUAUACAAGAGAUGAUCGCAGCUUUCCGCAAUAAAAGCACAGAAAGCGCAAUGUUGCUCCACCUACCGACCUCGUAUAAGCAGUCUAUUGGCCGUAAGAAUUCUUUUACGUAAAAGCAUCCAAAUGAAUACUUUAAUUUUAGCGGGGAUUUUUAGUCGCCAGAUAAAAGGGCUCAUCAAGUCUCUCUGUUUAGCGUCAGUGAGAAACAUAUAAAUGGAUUUGACGAUAAACAAUUGAUUUGAGGUCCAGCGCCAGUUGACCGAAUCUGGCUUACUGUUAGGGCGGAAGGGUUGAAGUAGGUCCCUAAAUGACGUCAACUGUCUGCGAUUUUUUGCUGAAUGGGACGCUGCAAAACCACGGCAGAUGAAGCGCCAUCUCUAGCCGUUUGGAUUCUAGCAUUGAGACACUUUAACCUUCUUAUUCCUUAUCCGGUGCAAUACCUACUGAGGCGCUUUGAAGACGGAGAGAUAGAACAACAGCAGAUCGGGGAUUGAGGCGCUUUGAAGAUGGAGAGGUAGAAUAGCGGCAGAUUCGUGAAGACAGAGUUGACAAGGAUGAGCCUAUCCCUUUGGGAGAGUAGGGUGUAAAAAAUAGUGUUAUAGCUCUACUCUUUAAGUAGACAAAUGGCCCAUCCGUGCUUGGAAUUACCAGGUGGAGUUUGUGCCAGGAGCGUGUUUGAAAUUUAAUAAAAUGGAGAAUCACAAAAUCGCCAGUUUAUUAAUGAAGCCAGAGUUCACUUUGAACUCAGUGACUCGAUACCGAUAUCAGAGAAAGUCAACCGUGGAAGUGAGCCCAACUUCAACACGAACAAACACCCAGCCCCACAUAGGCUGGCUGGAAACCAGGUCUGGAAAUGCAUUUGAAGCCAAAAGAAAAAAAAUUUAAAAAACAAAAACAAAAACAAAACCCACAGUACGAACGAGCUUCGCGCACCCUCCUUUUUUUUUUUUUUUUUUUUUUUUUUUUCUUAGGAGGGAGAUGUUGAUCAAGAGAAAAUCNUUUUUUUUUUUUUUUUUUUGUUUUUCUUUUCUACGCUGAAACACACGAGGGUACACGAAUAAAUGUUUUUCUAUGCUUAAAUACAACAACAUAGCACCUGAGAUACGAAAUUCUACGGUAAAAGAAACCACUAAACCAAUAUGAAAAGAAUCUUACUUAUUUGCUUGGCUCGGGUCAUAUUCACCCCCCCAAAAAAAACAGAAUAAAAGAAAAAGAAGAAAAAGAGCACAGGAUGAAGGUCAAAGAGACUUGGGGCCAUCACAAGUAAGUGAUUGGUGCAAAAUCAAGCAAUUCCUGUCAUGAGCUGCUGCUGGUGCUCUACCUUUCUCUCUAUAUUUGCUCCCAGAGAAAGAAGCUUGGCUUCGAAAUUUUCAUAGCCUCUAUCGAUAUGAGACACGCCGCUGAUCUCGGUCACCCCUUCCACCGCCAUUCCUGCUAGAACGAGGGCCGCCCCGCCUCUCAAAUCGGCGGCCUCAACUGGGCAGCCAGAAAGCGCAGCGCUGGGCCAGGAAUGAAAGUAUUGAGAGAGCAAACAAAUCUAUUUACACUUUGUUACACACACACACACACACACACACACACACACAUAUAUAUAUAUAUAUAUAUAUAAGAAAACGAGUGGAAUUGAUCUAGACUUCAGGUUAUUUGCAAAACGACUGUCCAACCUUGGAACCUGUUCAUUUACUUUUCUAACAUUUUAAUUUCUUUGAUUUUAGUCUUGAAAAUGUCGCCGAUGUUGCACGCACACCAACUCCGCAUACUGUGCUGUCCAUGAUGCAUCUCAUGUGUUUCUUCCAACCAUCUAUAUAUCAUGAACACUUCUGUAAGACUCGUGUGUCCGAUAUGGACAUGCGCAAACGUCCGUGUCAAACUCGUGUCCGACGCGGACACACCAUGGACGCACGUUCGAUGCGGGUUCAUAGAGCAUCUCAUUGAAAAAAUAUAUGUAGUCUUUUUAUUUUACUUUCUUUUAUGUAUAUAUAAUAUAAGAUAAUGAAGAUUUUAGCUUUUUGAUGAAUGCAUAUUAUUAACUAAUUUCGUGGUGGAGAUUGAAUCAUCAAAGAUGGAACGAUGGAGUCGCAGUGCAUAAAUGAAUGGAUGGACUGGCUGCAUGCAAUAGUUUCUCAGUACCGUCAUAUGACUCAACUCAGGUGACUUGCUGUUAAGACUAAAAUUUUCAAAAAGUUGGGCAGUCGUUUCAAAAUGAUCUAAAGUUCAAGAAAGUCAUGACCUGGGAGAUGCUGGGAGAAAGAAUUACCUUCUGUGCCUUUUUCCUUGGAUAAAUGCCGAACUUCCGGAGAGUCUGAUUCUGGCGCCGAGUUUCUGAAGCUCUUUCACUACCACCAGCAGAAGAAAAAUAAUCAAGGUUGAUCAGAUUUAACUUGACAUUAAAUCUAUGCUGUGCGCGUAGUAUUGAGUAUCACAUCAUGCAUAUCGGAUUUGGAUACGAAUGAAUUAGUUUUAUGUUACUUUUUUAGGAUAAAUUGCACCAUUAGUUGUUGAACAUAUCACGAGAUCUUACUUAGGUCACCAAAUUUUUAUAUGUUGAAAUUGAUGCACAGAAAUUGUGGUUAGAAAGAGAUGACUUGGCAGUUGAUUUAGUUGCCACCUGCCUUGUCAUCCCUAGAUUGACAUGGCCGCCAUUGGCAGUUGUCUUCGAGAGUACGUUACAGCUGAGUUACUUACCACAUCAUCUCUCCAAUAGGAAAAUUGAACAGCAUUUAACUUUGGACCGCAUAAAACGAUGUUCAGUACAAUACUUGCAACAAUUUAAAAUUUGGUGCACUAAGGGGGUGUUUGGUUUUCCAGAAAAUAUCCAAGAAAAUAAUUUUUAACUGGAAAAGUAUUUUCUGUCUGUUUGGUUCCUAGGAAGAGUAGUUUUCUUGGAAAAUUUUUUUUCCAUAUUUCAUAUUAAAGUAUUGUUUUCGUUUUCCAAAUUUUCUAUCUGGAAAACGAGAAGUGUGGAAAAGGAUGUUUUCCAUGGAAAACUUUUUUACCAGAGAAAUAGUUUUCAAGCUUUUCCAACUAACCAAACACACCCUAAAGUGAAAUUUCGCAGCAAGUUCAACGACAAGUAGUGUAAUUUAACUGCUAUUUUCUGGCUAGGAAAUUGAGAUCAUGAACCCAAAAUGGGCAUAUAGCUAGAUAAAAGCAGUUGAAAAUGUACCAACUUGAAACAGAAGAAACAACCUUAGAAAACAACCGAAUUGUUUUACCACAUACCGUGAUGCAUACGAUUCUCAAAGACAGAUUCUUCCACGACACUUAACCCACUACACGUUGUUAGUAACGCCAUGAACUGAGGCUGGAGAUCGGUAGGGAACCCAGGAUACGGAAGCGUUUUCAGAUAAAACCCUUGAAGGUCUCCAUUAUUUGGCGAACUCAGAGCAGAUACCUGUAAAGCCCACACAGUCUCUCAGAGUCCUGAUUUUUAAUACCAGGAAGAUGAGUUUACUACCUAAAAGAACUCCUACCUCAAGAAUAUGACGUCCCUUCUGAAUAAUCUUGCAACCAGCAGCAGAAAGCUUGUCCAUAAUACUAGUUAAAUGACCAGGGAUCACAGGAGACAAUGAAAUACAAGAGCGUGUAAUUGCUGCAGCUACCAUUAAUGUACCAGCUUCUAUCCUAUCAGGGAUUAUAGUGAAUUCAGCGCCAUGUAAACGCUUUUUACCAUUAAUAACAAGUGUGCUUGUCCCAGCCCCUUCAAUUUGUGCGCCACAGGUAACAAGAAACUUAGCAAGGUCAGCAACUUCAGGCUCCUGUAGGUCAGUUAGCCACAUUAAUUUGCAGUUGAAUAUAUAUAUAUCCUGAUAUCAAUGCAGCACCAAAGAAAAGAAAGUAAAGUUUCAUUGUUCAGAAUCUCACUCGAGCUACGUUAGAGAGUAUAGUCACUCCAUCAGCCAAAGAAGCUGCCGUCAUUAGAGUUUCGGUUGCUCCGACGCUAGGAUAAUCAAGAUGAAAUUGACCUCCGACAAGUCCUUUCCCAUUCGCUGCCUCGACACGAACUUUCCCAUGCCUACAAAGUGCGGCUACAUAUUCAGUGGCUGACGCUCCAGAUGUUAAUUAGUAUGUUAGAAUUCUUAUAGAAAAAUGCGGGAUUAUUUUGCGUUCCACAUUACUACAUAAACAUAUAUUGCGUCGCUAUUUCAUCCAGGCCAGGCUCAAGUCCAGCAAACAUUGACUCAUCUCGACCUCACCCAAAACAACAAGCCAAAAUCAUACAAUCAAAGUUGUCUUUUAAUUGGGUUGGCCGACAAGCACGAUAGAUAGUCUGACCGAUUUGCAUCCCCGCCGCAGUAGGGUCUAUGCAGCUAGAGUGGUUAAUUUGACCAAUUACCCAGUCCCGGUUAAAUCCGGAGUCAAUCCCAACCUGAACCUGAUUAAUACCUGAGGUACUACUGAUCAGCAGGGUCUGGUCACAAGAAAGGGCCUGUUAAAAUUCGGGUCCGGUUGUGGGUUUAGUAGAUGUAGGGCUUCAACCAAGACAUGGUUUCUAUCUUCAAUUAAAUAUAUAUUUGGUUAUAUAAUAUUAAGGAGAGCUGGAUUAAUAAUUGGAGGCUACAAACUUACAAUAGCAUCUUUAUUAACUUAUAAUUGCUUGCAUGAAUGAUACCUCCUUUUUUGUCAAUUUUUCAUAAUAGUUUGUUUAUUUGUUUCUCAUUAUUCUUCAAUACUACUCGUUUUACUUUGAUAUGAAGAUAGGUAGGCCAAAAGUAUAGAAACCACAUGUCCAAAUGAUUAUGUCGUAGGUCCGAAACAUCGUUUUCUCGACACUUUUCUUAAUCAACUGUCGAUUUCGUCCAAUAAUAGAAGAAUCUACCAACAGCAAUAAAUUACAAAGAACUCACAUCAUCCACACAAACAAGUAGUACAUGACAAACUAUAAAUACUACAACGUUUUAUGCAUCUCCUCGCAAGCAAAUAAACAAAGGGUUUGAGCUUCUUCAACAGUUACCUCAAUUGGACGACGGCGCCGAGCGCGGCGAGGCCGCGGAGGUAAAGAUCGAUCGGCCGCGCCCCGAUCCUGCACCCGCCCGGGAGCGCCACCUCCGCCUCGCCGAAGCGCGCCACGAGCGGUCCCAGCACGAAGAACCCGGCGCGGAUCCUCCCAAUCGCUUCCGAAUCGGGCUCCACCGAGGUCACGGCGCCCGCGUCGACGACGACCUCCCCGCCGCCGUGCUCCUCCACGCGCGCCCCGAGGGAGCGGAGCACCGCGGCCAUGGUGCGGGUGUCGGAGAGGUCGGGGACCCCGCGGAGCGCGAAGGCGCCGGAGGAGCAGCAGAGGGCGCCGGCGAGGACGGCGAGGGCGGCGUUCUUGGAGCCGCUGACGCCGACGUGGCCGGCGAGGCGGCCGCCGCCGGAGACGACGAGGCGGUGGUCUGCGUCGGCGUUAGCGGCGGCGUCGGCGGAGGCUGCGGAGAUGGGCCGCGGAGGGAGGCGGCGGAGGCGGAGGGGGGAGGGGGACGGGGAGGGGGAGGGGGAGGGGAAGGGGAGGGAGGAGGAGGAGAGGAGGGCCAUGGGAGGGUUGAGGUGGGACUCAUUGUUAGGGUUAGGGUUUUUGGAGUGGUGUGCGCUCCACGUUUUCACCGUGCUCUCUCUCUCUCUCGCUUCUCUUUCUUCUCUCACCUCGGUGCUCUGCUUCAGUCACGGCGCCGAGCUCCGUCUCGGGAGUCGAGCAGUGUGGCCGUAGGAAGAAGUAAUUAUUUCGUGCACCGCAUGUAUUUAAAAAAACAUUGAAUGCAUAUUGGUCCCGCAAAUAUUUAACACUGUAUAAUUUGGCACUUUCUCCGAUCCACGUAGCAUCCUUAAUUUUGGUUCAUUCCAGUGGCGAUGUUAUCUCUUAUCAGAGCUCUCUCUUUUCCCAUCUCCCACCUGAGCCUCUCUCCCUUCAUCUCCCCUGCCAGCUGGCCCUCUCUCUCUUCACACCCUCUCUCUCUCUCUCUCUUCCCCCUCUCCAGCUGGCCCCUUCUUUCUUCCCCUCUCCUACCUUUCUUCUCCCCCCCCCCCCCCCCCCCCCUUCUCUCACCUUCCCUGCAAGCUGGCCCUCUCUCUCUCUCCACCAACCGCACGUCUUCCCUAUCCACUUUGUCUCUCUCUCUUCCCCACUGUCCAGAUGCCCCCCUCUCUCUACCCCUCUCUUAACCGGGUCUCUCAUUCUCUUCCCCUCUCCUCCAAGUGGCUAUGUCACGCCCCGGGGUCCCUUUUAAGUUUGGAAAAACAGCGAAAACGACUAUUUUUUUUUUUUUUUUGAAGCACCUGACCCCAGAGUAUGUCAGAUCCGCCACAAAUACAGGAAAUCCACUGUUCACACGGACAGAGUCUCCCCUAUAUUUGCACGGCGUCGCACAAGUACAAAAGUACAAGCAGUAUACAACCACAACUAAAUGUAUAUACAGAUAGCUAUACGUUCAUACAUUUACCAUUCACACCGUAGUUUUACAUUCGAUGUUUAAACAAAAGUCCACGAAAAAUCUUUUAAAAACUGUUCCAUACGCGAAAACUUUUAUCUUUUAUAAAAGCUACCACGAGGGGUAGAAAACCUUUUAUUUUACCAAAUCCAGAAAUUCUUUUAUUACAUUCAUGAAAGUCCACAUAUUCCAAUGUAAUAAAAAUACUGAACCAUAUAAACUGACUAAGCUAUAACAACAGAAUAGUAGGGAUAAAACUAAACCGAUAAUCUGGGUCGGAAGCUCUAUCGACCGCUACGAACGUACCUCACGGCUCGUCCCAAAACUCAACGUCUGCAAUAUCUGAAAAAUAGUGGGGGAGGUGAGAACAUGUAAACAUGUCUCCCCUCCCAGUGGGUACCGCAAGCCGAAGAAGGCGAGGAGUACUCACCGGAUCAGGAAGAGAUAAACAACAGUAUGGGUAAGUAAAAUACAGUAGCAACGAUAAUGAACGAAUGAGAUAUAUAUAUGAAAGCACAACUACUGCUACUGUAAUGUACAACUGCAAGCAUACAAGGAUAUCAAAACAAUAGUAGCAAGACAACUAUAAAGAAAGAACUAGAAAUAUAUAUGCAACAACCGCUACUAUAGCUAUAUGCGUCAACCGGACGAGAAGUCCAAAAGUACCCAAUCUAAACCGCCGUGUCGGUCUAAGGACCUCAGGCAAAAGCCACUACCUGCUCACACCUGGCAUGUAACCCUAGCACAAAGAGAACACCGCUGGGCUCACGGGUCGGAUUUACGACCAUUUUUCCGGAAAAGAACACCCUCCUGCGGGGGAUCAACCCGCUGGUGUACGUGAAAUGCACUCGAGCUGCGGCGAUCAAUGCGGAUAUGAUCAAUAGCCAAAUGUCGGCAACCAGCCGACAAUCACCGCCCCUCGGGGCAAACCGACCAAUAGGUCAUCAAACUAUAAAGAAGCACAAGAACCGACCACUCAAGUCAACUAGGAUGGAACGACUCUACAUCCUCUCAACUGUAUGUAAGUAUUGACUAAUCAAGUCAACUGGGAUGGAACAACUCAACAUCCUACCAAAAAUAUGUAGAUACUGAUCAAUUGGUCAACUACUGUAUAUAUGCAAGAAUCGAUCAACAAGUCAUCUGAGUAUAUAAUCUAGAACUACCGUCGGCCAUGGCCGACAAUCCUACCCCUCAGGGUACACCGACCUCAAAGGUCAUCAAACGACAGAAGUCAAGAAACAGACCAACCCAAUACAUAAUGCAACAACCGACCAACCAGGUCAACAGAUAUAAGAUAAAAGCACCGAUCAACUAGAUCACCGAAACGAAGUACGAGAACCGACCAAUCAGGUCACCGAAACGAAGUACGAGAACCGACCAAUUAGGUCACCGAAACAAAGUACGAGAAUCGACCAAUCAGGUCACCGAAACAAAGUACGAGAACCGACCAAUCAGGUCACCGAAACAAAGUACGAGAACCGACCAAUCAGGUCACCGGUAUCACAUAUGGAUAAACUACUCUACUCCUACACAUGAUACUAAGCAUAGAAACAUAUGAGUAGAGUAUAAUAGAAACAACGGGGAUGCAAGCUCAAUAUAUAAUACGAAAAUAGCAACAGAAGAACAGGGAUAGAAGAAAUAUCACCGAGCGUGCACCACUGUACCGACGUCGGAUCGAAGUACCCACCUGUAUAAAGCUGAAACGGUCUCGCGAAGGCGGAGACGAAGCGACCGGACCUACGAAGGGUCCACCGGGUUAGAGUCUAACCCACAAACACAAUAACACGACCAUUCUCACACAAAUCCCAAAAUCAUAACCCCUCGGAAAUCGGUUUCUCAAACGCAACUACCGAACCAGCCGGAAAUCCCGGAAACCGUACCGAAACUCCACCGUCGCUCACCCGUCGUUUCCGAACCCUCGAGAAGACGCGGGUGACCAGCCAACAAGGCUCAGCGACGCUACAAUCAACCACGAGGCACCGUCGGAUGAAUUCCGAGUCGAACGCGCGUUCUAUCGGCGGAUUUCACCGAAAACGCUCCGGAAAUGACAGAUAGAUUUCCGCAAGGGCUUGGGGCCUUGGACGAUCAGUCCAGAGGUUAUCUUAAGCCUUAACCUGCUGCCAACAGCAGCCACAACGAAGCGAAACGCAAAAGGAUCCCUAAUGGCCCAUGAAAUCACAUUAUUUUAUGUGAUUUCAUGGCUCUAACGGGUCGUACCAGCAAACCAGGGAUCUACGGAGGUUGCCAUCGCACUUGCUGCAAGGUUUCAGCAUGCCUGAGGCCGUGCUCACCUUUCGGAGCACUGCCGGCAGCAACCACGCGCGCACGAGCGACGCGAACCUCAGCGAAUCAGUGCGCAUACUGUGGAAAACAGCCUUUUCUCACUAACCAGGGCACCGUUAACCUAAAUGGAGGUGAGCAUCGUGUUCAGCACGAGCCCACGAUCACCGUGCUCACCUCCCGAGGUGCCAGGGAGUCAUCGGAUCACCGAAAAAGUGACCGGAACGCAAAACAGCAGUGCUGGAACCAAAGUAAACUACUCACCGGAGCUGUGGGAGCUAGGGAUGGCCGCCGGCGAUCGGGCGGCGGGCGCUCCGGCCGGUGAUGGGAGCAGCAGGUCGGGGAGGUCCGGGGGAGGUGCUGGCCGGCGGCGGGCAGCAGCCGGUGGCGCGGCGGCGGAGAUCGGGCCCGCACACUUCCUCUCGGGCUGGAGCUUGCCGGCGGCGAGGCGGCGACCGGGGGAGGUCGGGGCGGCGAUGAUCCGGUGCCUGAGACCAAGGGGGAGGUGGUGCUCACCUCAGAGGGCAACGGCAGCGCUCGGGAGUGGCGCGGCUCCAAGGUCGGCCCGCACAGGACCCGAGCGGCGGCGGGAGACCUUGGCGGCGGCCGGCGGGGCGCGGGGACGGCCGGGGACGCGCGCGCCGGGUUGCUGGAGGUCGCCGGGGUCGACAGGGGGGCUUGGCCGCAGGGGAAGUGCGGUCCCAAGGCCCGCAACCUGAGCUCGGCCUGGCUCGGGUCUGGGCAGACCCGGUUGGCUGCAGCCUCUUCCGGCGGCUCCGGCGACGCUCGGGGGUGGCCGGGGCCGGCGGGGGAGGGCGCCUGAGGAAGGUCUCGACCAGGGGAAGGUGGUGCUCGGGCUAACAGGCCUCUCCAAGCACCAAGCUUAAACCGGUGGUGAGGUGGUCCAAGAGAGGAGGAAUAUUGGCUGCAGGCUGUUUCCGGCGGCCGGGGCUGCUCGGCGGCGGCCGGAACGCGAGCACGGGCAGGGCAGGGAGGUGCUGGGAUGGCAGGGGCGGCUGGGGUUAGCUGGGGGGUUCUAGGGUUAGGGUUAGCUCAAGAAACCCUAGGACAACCUAUAUAUAGGUGCGGAAAACUCGCGGAAAACCCCCUCGAAAGGAAUCUAAUUAAUCCCAGCUCUCAACCAGCAGUCGCAUAACGCACGAUAGUCCCUCUAAGUUCGAAAACUCGCAAUUCGACGCAUAAAAUAUAGGGCCUUUUCGCGAAUAAUCCGAUUACUCAAAUCAGCCCCUUCGCGGACUUUUCGCGAUUCCCGAAGAUCCGUCCGUCGGAUUUCCGAUCGGAUCGUACCAGCGCGAUCAGUACGACAGAGGCAUCGAAUCUAGCAUUUCGUUUCGCCCGAAAAGGUUCCCGAUUUGCGACAAAACCAUCCCUCAUAGGUUCCACCAAAAACCACAUAUAGACAACUAUAUGUAAAAACCAUUAAACCCUUUUUCUCGAAAUCCGUGCAUCCAAAUCCAAUUCCGUCAGUGCCAUUGGGUCCAGGAUAGUCGAGCGGUUGAAAACGAGCUAUUGGAAGGCUAUAUUCGGAGUCCGAUACGCGUCGAAAGUCCACUCUACUCCGCGGCCUCUCUGGAAAACCGGAGUUACUAUUCACUUAAGUCAAACUUCCGGGUCGCGUAACUUCUCCGUUUUAACUCGUUUUCUCCUGAAAUUCGACGAGUACACUUAUAAUUAUAUUACACACAAGAACAUCGUCAAACAAAAGGGUUUAAUCAAUAAAUCAAAAAUCUCAGUUAUUACAGGCUAUCUCUCUCUCUUUUCCCUGUCACACCCCAAUAAUCCCACAUCGGAUAGGAAUGAAAAUAUGAUUGGAUAUAUAAGUGACUUAGACAUUAGUAAUAAUAACUGGGCUUAAGCAUUUUGGGUCGGUGGUUGGGCCGAACUAGUUAUUGUUGCUAGUGGGCUGGAUCGUUACAUUUGGUAUCAGAGCCAAUCACCAGCCGGAAUUGUGCGGCGAGUCUCAGCUGAGGGCAUAGUCCGUACGACAAGGAAUCAUCAGCCAGAAUUGUGCGGCGAGUCUCGGUUGAGGGCAUAGUUUGUACGACAAGGUGAUCGACUAUGCCAGGGUCUGGAUCGCCUGGUGAUCUUUGCCUGUGUGUGGGGGAUUAUUGCGGUCUGUCACACCCCAAUAAUCCCACAUAUGAUAGGAAUAGGGAUGUGAUUGGGUAUAUAAGAGACUUAGAUACUAAUAAUAAUAACUGAGCUUAAGCAUUUUGGGCCGGUGGUUGGAGUUAUUGUUGCUAGUGGACUGGGAUGAACCGUGCACGGCACUCGUGCUCACCCUAUGAUGAGCUGUGUCCUACGUUCGUAGGCCAGGAUAGGUUGCAAGUGGGGCGCAUCCUUUCCCUCUCUCUCUGCUAACCCUAGGGAGUGGUGGCGGCGGCGGCGAGGAUAGCGCGACAAUGUCGACUCCCCCUUCAAACCCCCGAGCUUCGCCGUAUAUUUCCACUAAUAAUUCUCUCCACCCCUUUUUCAAUUUUUCAAAUUUGAAUUUGAAUUUUUCCUUUUGGUCUUGUUAGUAGCCAAAUUUUUCGACCCUUGACCCGGUCAAAGAUCCUUCUCAGGAAGUGCGUCGGGAUGAGGAAUGGCUACGGAUAGUGACUCUCGAAGUUUGCGCCCUUCGACAGAUCAAGCGAUUCUGCUGACGAGGGAUCGAGCCAGCCGGGUUCGAAAACUACUACUAUCUGUUCGGUUCGGCUGAAACGAAGCCGGAAGAAGAGUCGAAUGGCUAAAGCAACACGAGAUUGGGUCGGCUUGAAGAGCCGAAAUGACUUUCUAUUGAUUGAUUACUGAGAAGUAUAAGGACGGAUAUAUAGUUUACAACGAUUCGGCUAAUGAGGGAUCGAAUCAGCCGGAUCCAAAAAUCUUCACUAUAAACUGAAAGAGCCGAAUAAAUGAAAUAUACAAUGACUGGUCGGCUGAAAGAGCCGAAUGCCUAAAUAUAUAUAUAUAUUAAUAAAACAGAGUGUGCCCGAAGGGCAUACAGACUCUGCAAAUAUGUAGUUUACAACGGAGCGAUGCCCAUGGGGUAGACAAAUUCUAGGGUUCUACUUAAAAACUAUUCCUAGGAAAGCAGUAAAUGCGAAAAAGAAAAGAUUACAUUUAAACUACUCCUAGAAAAGCGAUAAAAUUGCGAGGAAAUAAGGGUGGUUUUUUGUUCACAGGGGAAAAGACCCCUAUUGCAGGCUUCGAAAUUACUAUUUAUAGUAAUAUCAACCCACAUUAUUGAUUGGUUGAAAGUAGUGGGGGGAGUGGUUAUAACCAUGAUCGUGGAAGUUACGCCCACUCAGAAGUUACGCCCCAUCGUGGAAGUUACGCCCCACUUCUCAACCGUACCCGCCUAAAACCUUCAAGCGCCUUAUUGCCGACUCCUGGUGUACCAUGAGUCCUUAUUGGCUCAUACGUAGGUUAGGUCGGCAUGUUAAUUUCAAUUUUGGCAUCAACAGGUCUAACUUACUAUUAGGGAGGUGAGGCAGUGCUCUACAACGGAUACGGUGCUGGAUCGCUUCAGCGUGCGGCGCACCAACAUUUCCACCACCCCAAGGUUUCCCUUUUUUUUUUACUUCGAAAAAAAAAAUCAAAAUUAAAUCAAAGUCCUCCCUUCUAACUUCAAAACAUAAUUUUAAAACAAAAAUCUUGCCCAUUACCUUUUCUCUUUUUUAUUUUAUUAUUUUUUUUUGUGGAACAAUAGGGUGGGGCGAUGGGUGCGCAGAGCUACGGAGGAGCGCCGCCGAGAGGAGCGGCGGCGGCACUGCCGCCGCAGGCCAUCGCCUCGUCGGGCAGCGGCGCUGCGGGGACAAGCCACUGACCCUCACAGCAUCAUAGAACGAGUAAGCUUACUCUUUUUUUUUCCUUCCAUUUUUGUUGCAUUGAAAAAUAAAAUAAAAAAUUAAGAAAAUUUUUAAAAAUAUUUAAAGUAAUUUCUAAUCUAUUUCUUGAAGCUCGAUCUCCCCCCCAAAUGAACCAUAUAGCCAAGAGAAACCAUGAACCAGAAUAGAAGAGCUUGCCCCACCCAUGAGUAAAUAUUUCAUAGUAGCCUCAUUAGACCGUACAUCUCUCUUGGUAUAUCCGGAUAAUAGGUAGGAACAUAAACUGAAACAUUCUGGAGCUACAAAGAUAGUUAUUAAAUCGUUUCGUUUGUUUUCGUGCGAACAGCUUCGCAGGGAGAGAAUCGCGGAGCGAAUGAAGGCCCUUCAAGAAUUAGUCCCUAACGCCAACAAGGUAAUAAAACAAUUUAUUUAUAAAAAAUUAAAAAAUACACUGUAAUUUGGGAGUGUUUUAACUUCCUACUAUUGUACAAAUGAUAGCUGAUGUUGCACAUGUAGUAUGUGAAAGCGCUUGUAAAGUUCAGCGCAGAGUAGUCUACUUCUUCGUUUGGUUCGGAUAUAAGCAAGAACUAGCUAUUACAGGAAUAGAUAUAAGUAUGGGGAUAAACAAAAUAGCAUUUGGAUAAAAAUUGGGUUGUUUCCGGGAAUAAAAAAAAUACCGUUGAAUAGAUAAUAUGGAAUAAGAAAAAUAGUGGGUAGUUAUAUAUAGAAAAUAGAGGUGUUGGUGGGGAUAGUUAUACCAGCUUAUUUUAGGUAUCUGAGAACUACUAUUCUCGGAUAAAAAAUUUGCGUUUGAGAUAAAAGGGGAUAAAGUGUUAUCCUUCCCCUUAUCCCAUAUCCAAAUGCUACCUAAGCCUUUGGAUAAAUCCUUAUAUUCUGAUAUUUAUUUUGUAUUACAUUAAACAUACACACACACACACACACACACACACACCUUUUAACAAUAUACAACUCUCUAGGACUAGCUGAUAAUUUAAAUAAAAUUCAGCCUGCGAAAAAACAACAACUUACGUAAGAUCUAAUAUCAAUGAUUUGUUACCUCAAAUAUUUACUGUUUAUAUAUUAUGGCCAAUUUGCAUAAAAAAUUCACUAAUUUUGGACUUUUGCAAAAGUAGGCCACAUUUUUCGUUUUUGCAGAUUCGGUCCGAAUUUGUGACACCCCAAUAGUCCCAUAUUGGAUGGGAAUGGGGUUGUCAUUGGGUUUAUAAGAGACUUAGACACUAGUAAUAAUAACUGGGCUUAAGCAUUUUGGGCUGUUGGCUGAGCCCAACGAGUUAUUAUUGCUAGUGGGCUGGGUCGUUACAGAAUUUUCAGCAAACUAACCAAAAUACCCUUAUUACUUUUUCUCUCUCCUCUCUCUCUUUUUUUUUUUCUCGUUCAUUUUUUUUUCUCUCGCCGAAGAGGCAACGGAGGUAGAGGCGGAAGCGGAAACGGCCCACCUCGCCUCUCACCCUCAUGCUCUCGCCCUCGCCCUCGCCCUCGCUCGCGCACCCCCCACCUUCCUCGCCUCCGACCCCGCCGAGGCCGCGCCGCAACUAUUUUUUUUUCCUCUCCGACUCUCCUCCACCAUCUACAACGACGAUGCCUCUCUCACCCUUCCCCGCCCUUCUUGUCCUCUCCCUCUCCCUCCUCCUCUGCCGCCUUCGACGACGACGCAUCUUCGCCGACGUCGACACGUGGAGAUCGCUGCAGUGCUGUAGUCUCGGAGCGGGGGGUGCUUAGCAGAACAGUAUAAAUAUCUCUCAAAGAAUGCAAUUUUCGUUUAAAGAGUGUAACUUUCAUCUUAAUGGAUACAGUUUACAUCUGAAAGAAUGCAAUAAGAGGAGAAACAGUGUAAAUAUUUCCCAAAUAGUUUAAUUUUUAUUUAAAGAGUGUAAUUUUUAUCUUAAAGCUGCAGUUUACAUCUUAAGUGGUACAACUUAUGUUCAUAAUAGUGCAACGUUUUUUAAAACAGUACAAUUUUAUUUUUAACGGUGCAAUUUUAUCUUCAUCUUUUUUUUUCUAUAAUUUUUUUAUUUUUUUUUCUCGCUUCUCCUAUAAUUUUUUUUUAUCACCUCUCUCUGUCAACGGCCACAGCGCCGGCGACGCCGCCGCUAAGGACCCCCUGCUCCGAGGUUACAGCGUCGCAGCGACCUCCACGGUGUUGGCGUCAGCGAAGAUGCGUCGUCGUCGGAGGCGGCAGAGGCGGAGGGAGAGGGAGAGGACAAGAAGGGUGGGGAAGGGCGAGAGAGACGUGGUUGUCGGAGACGGUGGAGGAGAGUCGGAGAGGGAAAGAAAAAAAGAGUCGUGGCGCGGCCUCAGUAGGGUCGGAGGUGAGGAAGGUGGGGAGUGCGCGGGCGAGGGCAAAGGCGAGAGCGAGAGCAUGAGGGUGAGAGGCGUGGCGGGCCGUUUCCGCCUCCGCCUUUGCUUCCGCUGCUUUCUUCGACGAGAGAAAAAAAAUGAACAAAAGAAAAGAAGAGGAGAGAGAAAGAGGAGAGAGAAAAAGUAAUAAGGGUAUUUUGGUCAGUUUGCUGAAAAUUCGAACUGAAUCUGCAAAAACGAAAAAAAUGCCCACUUUUGUAAAAGCCCAAAAUUAGUGGAUUUGUUAUGCAAAUUGGCCAUAUAUUAUACAUAGGAUUAGAUUAAACUAAAUUGGUUACUUUUGUUUUCAGGUUCCAUGAAGCUUCCUCUCCAAAUGAAGAUAAGAUGUGAAGGAUUGCAUUUAAUUUUUAAGUUAUAUUAUAAGUUUCAACUGUCAGCUUUUUUAAAUAAAUUUCCCGACAUUUAAUAUUGCAUUUCUCUUUGUGAUUGUACAUUGCGUUUAUGCAGAUUGAUCCCAAUCUACUUACCAUGUAAAAGACUAUAUUUAAUACUAUAUUUGUCUAUUUAUCAUGUAAAAACCUAUAUUUAAUACUAUAUUUAUCUAUUUAUCUGCAGCGAAGUGUGGGUUUUCACUAGUAAUUCUAUAAAGUUUAUUUUUAUAUAUUAUUUCUGUAAAAAUUUUAAUAUUUUUAAAUAUAUUUUUCUGAUUUAUUAUCAUUAUUGAACUAUUUAUAUUUUAAUAAAAUAUAAAUAAAAUGUUAAUUUUGCCAUCACAAAUAUCUCCCUUAAAAAAUCACAACAGUAUAAUAUAAAAAAAUAAAAAUGUUAAAUUAUCUUAUAAACUAAUCAGGGUUAAGUAUUUAACUUAUAGUUAACUAAAUUUUUCUAACGAAUUCUAAUGGUACAGACAUAUUUGAAAAUAUUAGGAUUUUUGUAGGAACAACAUAUAAACGUUGAACUUUAUGGCUAUAUUUGGUUCAAAGGAUAAAGAAAGAAUAAGAAAUUUAUGCCUCUUAUUCUUCCAAACGGUGUCAAAUAACGCCAAGAACUACUAUUUUCUUCUUAACGGGUUAUUCCGGAAUAACCCGUUAAGAGGGGAGAAUAGUAAUUCCACCUAUUGGGUGGAACAAGCUAUUCUCUACCUUAUUCCUCUACUAAUUAAAUUAUAAAUAAUUAUAUAUUAUAAUUAAUUAAUGCAAUUAAAUUUUUUAAUAAUUGACUAAUUAAUUAUUUAAGUUAUUAAAUUAAUAAAAAUUUAAAUAAUAAUAUAUUUAUAAUUAUUAUUAUUUAUCUAAUUAAAUAGUUAGCCAUAUAUUCAAUUAUUUACUAAUAUUUAUAUUAUUUAAAUAAUUAGUAUUUUAAUUGAUAUAAUUAAUAUAUUAACUAAAAAAAUAAAUGAUUAAAUAAUUAAUUACUAUUAACAUGUCGACUUAUUUUUUAUNAUAGUUAUUUACUAAUUAAUUAGAUAAAUAUAUCUCAUAUAGUAAUUUUAAUUAAUUUAUAAUGUAAUUUUGAUUAAUUUAUUUAUUAACUUAUUAAAAUACUAAUUAUUUAAAUAAUAUAAAUAUUAGUAAAUAAUUGAAUAUAUGGCUAACUAUUUAAUUAGAUAAAUAAUAAUAAUUAUAAAUAUAUUAUUAUUUAAAUUUUUAUUAAUUUAAUAACUUAAAUAAUUAAUUAGUCAAUUAUUAAAAAAUUUAAUUGCAUUAAUUAAUUAUAAUAUAUAAUUAUUUAUAAUUUAAUUNNNNNNNNNNNNNNNNNNNNNNNNNNNNNNNNNNNNNNNNNNNNNNNNNNNNNNNNNNNNNNNNNNNNNNNNNNNNNNNNNNNNNNNNNNNNNNNNNNNNGUGUAUCUAAAGAUAUAGAGCAAGUAUACGUAAGUUGUCUAACAACGAGUAGAAACGAAAAAGGGAAACUUAACCAAGGGGCGCAAAAGAUAAAAUAUAACAAUCACAAGUUUCAAAGCUAGUUAUAAGGGAGUGUUUCUUACAGAAAUGGGGUACAGGUCUCAUUCAACUUCCAAAACAAAAUCGAGAAGAGAGGAUAGACCACUUCGUCGAAUUCCUCGUAGCUAAUCGAGGGAUUCCUUGUCCCCAUCCGGAGCUCUCCCUGGGGGUGGCAAGGCUCUGAAAGAAACAUAAACAGGGGGCGUGAGAUAUAAUUAUAGUUCAGUGGCGAAUUACUGACCUUAGCAAAAUGCACAACUAGCGCAAGUCCAAACCAAUCGAGCGAUAUAGAAAGGAAAAUAGACAACUGCAGGAAUAAAAGCACCUAUAAAAGAAAAUGCUUUAUUACUGCUACUGCCACAAGUAUAUGUGUAAGACAGGAGUACAAUCUACUCUUAUAUGAUCCAAAUAUGCCCCAAUACAUACUCUAAUGUUCUAAUCACGGCUACCGUUGCUAUGCGAUGGCCACAGUCAUACGCUAUCACAGUAUAUACAAUGUCCAAAUGUCCGAUACUAUGCUAAAGGGCACUAUCCAAGUUUAAACCAACUACUAAUGCCUAUCAGUAGUGAAUUGUUAUACACCAGUUAAAUGUCAUGUCUCAAUCUUGUCUCUUAGGGACCGUACACAAGUGUAGGUCCGGCUUGUGCGCCGCUAGCUGCCUUGUGGUAGCCCUAUCAUUCCACGCUAGAGACAUGAGUCUGUCGCGCACAGACGACCCUAACAGGCGCCUCGCCCUACCGCCUAGGCUGCGUGGGUAGCUCGGUCAUUCCCCACGGCUGGAAAUAGGCUGUCCACCGCGACCCCUACAUGCAUCUCAUCCCGGCCGCCCUGCCGCCCCGCCGCUCAACCUGCCGUCCGCAAAAGGCCAACUCGGGUGGCCGGCUUGUAGGGACGACCUCACAGCAAUGUGCGGAAAAAUGAGCACAAAAUGCAAGCAAGCGAUUGAGUUUCUAUCAUGUAUGGAUCUCGUAUCAGUGUCUCUGAAAUAGAUAGCCAUAGUACCCAAGGGAUCUGUCUAUGUCUCAAGUGAAGUCUCCCAAAUUCACUUAAGUCUUAGUGCCUUUUGUAGACCGCUAGAACUAUUACGUAUAUACCAGCUGGUUCAAUUUUUCAUGCCUCUUUAUGAAUUUUAGUUUACUAGUGUUUCAUACAAUGUCCCAACUCAAUUUGCUCGCAUUUAUUCAUUAGAUUAACUAUACCAAUUUCCAAGUCCAAUGCCUCUUAGACAUUAGUUACUCUAUCAAUAGAUAGGUUAAUACGCAAGAUGUCCUUGCCGAUGAUCUCACACUUGCUAAUAUGUACCUAGCAAUGUGAUUCCCAAUGAUAUAAUAUUAAGCAUGCAUCUAUCCACUUAACAACAUGUUUUCAUGCUCCGUAUUGCAACUAUCUAACGAUAGCAAUAGUUCUGAUAAUGCUACAUUGCCCCCCCGGGCCCCCCCUUACACUUUCCAAUGAAUACAAUUUAGCAUGAAUUUUUUUUUCUUGUAACUGUAUCAUACACAUACAAUUCACUAUAUUAUUAAGUUUUGAUAUAUGCCUCUCUUAUGCAUUAAUAUGCUGGCUUAUUCAAUAGCUCAAGCUCAGAUGUCGCUUACGACAUUAGCCUCUCUAACUGCACAAGUUAUUCAAGUUCAAAGCCACUUUUAUGGCUAAUGUAUUCUCUUAUGGUCCAAAUGAGAAUUUAUGUCCAAGGCAUAAUUAAUUUGUCAUGGUUUUAUUAUAUGGGAGCAUGAUUUCAGUCCCGAGUUGAAUUUGCUAAAAACCCAUUCUGACAGUAAGUCUCAAACAUGCAGGUUCUCUACUACAUUAGAGGGUCCGAAUGCAUGUAUAUAAACAUGUGGCAUUUAUUAUCUGUCAUAUUCACUAAAUGCAUAUGAUCUCAAAGCCAACAAUUAGAUGCUAUCCAAUUUAGGGCAAUGCCAACACGAACUCUCUACUACAUUAGAGGUCCGAAUGAUUUGUAUAUAACAUAAGCAUUUCAGCAUUCUAAAAUUCACAUAUAGCAUCUAUCAUGAAAAUCGUGAAAUUCUAUUUUUACGAUAUUAAAAUCCACAUAAAUGAGAUUUUUUAUUUGUGCGAAGGGUCCCCACCGAGACUCUACGCGCUUAGUGCCCCGACUCUCUUGCUCAAUGACUUUAGGUGAAACAUUGACUCACGAUGCUACGAUUCCGAUUUUGUUGAUUUUUUUGUUGGGAGCUUUACGCGCGAAGCUGCAGGCAAUCUGUACCGAAAUCCGGCUUCCUUCAAUAUCUUCGGUAGCUCGUCGUAUGCGAACCGACUUCGGCCAGGUAGUCAGAAACCUAGCAAUUUAGGUUAUAUACAGGCUCAAUCUAGAGUCGACCCUCACGAUAUUACGAAAUCUUCAUUUUUGACCUAAAUGCAAUUUACCCAAAUAAUCCAAAUUAAGAUGUGAGCAGCAAAUGCUAGAAUGCUCAUUAGAGGACUACCGUAGAAGCACUUAAAGCUAAGGAUUAAGACAAACCCAUAGCUACCCAAUGGUGAACGCCAGACGCACGAAAACACGCGCGAUCAGAGCGCACGAAGCUCGAUUCCGUUCGCUGCCCACGCGUUCGCAAGCUUUCUCCGCCGAACGCCGUGAUUUGGGCGAAAGAUCUCUGUAGAGAGAUGACGACGAGAUAUUUUUUAGAGGGAGAAAAGGGAGGGGUUUCGUCUAACUACAAUGAAUCGUGUGGUGUGCCGGUGGUGGUAGUGGCUGGUGAAGAUAGAAGAAGAAGCUAGAAGCUUUUACUUAUAGUCUUACCCCCAAUAGUUAGAUACACUAUUCACUUCAGGCACGUUCGAAAUCUGACUAUUUUUUCGCUGGGACGCCUCUGAAAAAUGCCGGUUUAGUUCAAAUUUUACGUUAUGUUCGGUUGUUUGCUUAACUUGACGAGAAAAAAUUUAAUUUUCGUUUCGACCUCCGUUUAUGGCACGAAAAGCUCGUACGAACUGUAAUUCUUUAUCAGAUCUGUCGGAUUUUACUUUCCACCCUUUCUGAGGGGACGAAUGUCAGUGAUAUGAAAUUUAAACUUAGCUCAUAAAAAUAAUUCUGGAUUUCCUCCAGUUUUUUAGAAUUUUUGAAGAUGUGAAUUUUCUGGUUAAAUAACCAGGCCGCUCGAUUCACACAGAAAAUUCAAAAUCUUCUGUUCUCGCUCCGAUUUCCGCACGAGCCGUUCCCGACUUAUAUUUAACUUCUAUAAGUCCAAUAAAAAUAGUAUCUCACACUAUUUUUAUUUAUACCCUUAUUAUAAAAUCCGGUAUGCUACAGGGCAUUAUCCACACCCCGCAACACAACAGUAGCCAAGUAGGCUACGCAACCUCUACUAAUCAACUGCCUAGCUCGAGAGGAUCUAAUCGUCAUCGCAAACAGCGAACUUUGGCAUCCUCGGUACACCACCUCCGCCUGCCCCAGCUCUCUAAAUGUCACCGUUCGAUUCUUGCAAUCGAUGGUGGCAAAGUAUUUAGUUAACCAAUCCAUGCCCAACACAACGUCAAACUCUCCGAGUUUCUGCAAAGCUAGCAAGUCUAUGGGCAUGAUCCAAUCUCCAACCCGAAUAGGGCAACUGGGGCAAAAUUUCCGAAUGUCCAAAGAAUGGUCGGGUACAACAACUCGGCCCGGGUGCAAUAAGGAUAUAAGUGGGAUGCCAUGCAACUCGGCAAAUAGUCGAUCAAUGAAUGAAUGCGAUGCACCGGUAUCAAAUAAAGCUCUAACUCGAAUACCAUGAAAUAAAAUGAUACCGGCGACCACAUUCUCGGCUGCCGCCGCCUCCUCAGUCUCGGUCGCGUACAUGCGCCCGCUCGGGGCCUGUCGUGACCCCUCCGCCUGCCGCAAAACUGGCGGCCGCCCUACCUGGUGAUGCGCAAAAGAUGUCCCCUGGCUGGGACCUGGCGAUGCUGGUGCAGACACCGAAGAUAGCGCUGGCGCUGGACUCCUCGGACAGUCCGACUGAAAGUGGCCCUCCUGACCACACAAGAAGCACCUGCCCCGACUGCGUGAACACUGUCGUGGGUAAUGAGGACCACCACAGAUCACGUAGCGGGGGGCCUGACGACGAUCGGGUCCUUCUUGCUGAGUAGACUGGCCACGUCCUCGCGACUGGCUCCGGCUCCUGGGGUGCCUCGGCGGCCUCCGUGAGUGCGUCGGACUCACACCCUCAGCCGCGGGCCUCAUGCCCUUCCCUUUCUCCGAGCUCUCGCGACGCUCCUGCAAAUCCGCCGCUCCUGCCUCCACUAUCAAAGCUCGAUCCACAACCUCUCGAUAGGUCUGGAGGUUGGAAGACAGCACCAACCAGAAGAUAGAAGGCCGCAAACCACGCUCAAAGAUGCGGGCCUUGUCCUCGUCGUCCCUCACAACAAACGGUACACAGUGUAAUAUCCGGGAGAACUCCCUCUCAUACUCAGCCACUGACCGCUCAUCCUGGUACAAGCUGCGCAAAUCCUGCUCCAUCUUCCUCUUGACGCUGGUAGGAAAGUGGUGCGCUAGAAGAAGCUCCUUGAACCUCGUCCAAAUAAUCGCUGCCAAGUCGGUGUUCGGGUUGCCCUGGAUAUCCAACCACCAACGGUAGGCCUCGCCGUCCAGAAAGUUAGUGGCGAGCCAAACUCUGUCCCGCUCCUCUACAAAGGUGUCUCGAAACAGCUUCUCCAUAUGCAUCAACCACUUCUCGACAAUCUAGUGGUCGACGUUCUCGCCAUCAAACAUUCUCGCGCUACACCUCCUGAACUCACUGAGACGAUCCAUGAGCCGAUCCCGCUCAGCUCCCUCGGCCAUCACGGGGUAUGCCGCCCCUGUCGCCGGUCUCUGAACUGGUAGUGCCGCAACCACCUCCUCCCGAGGUGCGGUCGCCGGUGCCGCACGUGAAGAACUGGGCGCGAGGGACUGCGCCCUCAGUGCGACGUCCACCACGGGUGCUGGCGGUGUGGGACCCUGGGUCUCCCUCGAAGCUGCUGCCUGCUGAAGUAGGAGGUCCUCAAGAUGCUUCAUCCGCGCCUCCUGCCGAUGGGCCACCUCAGCCUGUCGCUGCGCCGCUGCCGUCUGCUGCGCCAACAGAUCAGUGAGAACCGCAAGCUGGGCCCUCAAGUCAUGGACCUCACUAGAUCCAGAAGUAACGGAGGUCUCGACCUCCUCGGGGUGUGCCGCAUCAUCCGCCCCGGCAGACUGGGAGCGUGUAAUCGGCAUCGUCACUACAAAACAUAAAAGCGCAAGUUAGUAACCCACGCUAUCGCAUCCCCGCUCAAAUAAAUAAAACCCCAAAUCAUGCGAAAGUAAGGAAGUGUCCUUCACUACUAACUCCCGAUGUUACGUUGUCGGUCGCCAACGUAACCCCCCGCGAAGUUAGAAGCCGUACACUCCGAUCAAACUCUAACUUUUUAGAGUUGUCAUAACCCAAUCGUAAUACUUUCGCUCACAAGUCAAUUAUACCUCGUCUCUCACGAGCCUAAUUCCUAUAGUCCAACCGGCCUAAGGUUUGCUAGGUCCUCUACGACUCAACCCUAGGCUCUGAUACCAAAUUAAUCUGUCACGCCCCGGGACCGGCGGAGGCCCUCCCAGUAGCGUGCCCAGACCCGCCAUAUGUCUACACAUAUAAGGCGUCUACAAUAAAAGCGGAAGUAAAAGCAAGAGAUAGAACAAAUAGAAUGAAUAGCAACUAAUGAUAUAAGAGCAAGUAAAGUUCUAUCAUCUAAACCAGAGUAAAAGAAACAUAUCUAAACAAUAAAAGUAGCCAUAAAGUGGUACAAUAUCUGUCUCAAAGGUACACAAAAGGGUGGUCUCUAGUACACUGGUACAACUCUCAACCUCUCCAAAAAGAAAUACAUCGAGAGGUAGACCACCUAAACUCAUCUCUCGCUGAAGGGCUAACUCGAAGCGAUGCCCUUCCCACGGUCCCUAGCCUCUCCCGACGUGGAAGGCUCUGAAAGAAAAUAUAAAACAGAGGGCGUGAGAACUAUAAUUUAUAGUUCUCAGUGGGCAAUUACUGACAUCAGUUCAAUGCACCACUAGGCCCCAAAAGAAAAAGGUAAGUCCUAGAUAGUGAUAACAAUAAAUAAAUUGCAAAUAUGAAAGCAUAAUUAAAAGCUACACUAAUGCAUUGCAAUUAAACAUGGCAUUUAUAUAAUGCACCUUUACCUUGUCAUGAAUGCUAUGCCUCUACAUGGCCACAUGGGAUAUCAUGAGAUACUUUAUGAAGUUAUGAAAGUGAUACUUUAUCAUAACUACAAUGCGUGUAAGAAGGCAAUAAACGACGUCUCCUAGCAUACUACAUGUAUAUAUGCAUACUCAUGUGUCCAACACUAUGCUAGAAGCAAACCCAAGUAAUCUAAUUACUACUCUCUAUCUAGUAGUGAUUGUCACACACUCAAUACUGUGUCGGUUUCCAUUUCCAAUUAAGGACCUACCCAAAGUAGUCCAGCUUGUGCCGCCUAAGUGCCUGUGGUAGCCCAACAUCCCUACUCUUGGAAUGUGUCGCCGCACUCUGACCUCUGAUAGCUUCUUCUUCAUAACCGCACGGAUUUGCGAAAAUAUAAUCGCCGUAGACGCCAAACUCCGAUCCGGCUUCGGGAGACGACCGACUCACAAGCAGUCGAAGAUGAGUCACAAAGCCAAGCAAGCAUCAUCCAACGUCUCAUAUCUCAAUCCUCGUUCCUAAACAUGUGAUCGUCACUACAUUCCGAAGAUCUAGUUCAAUGUCACAAAGCAAGUUCAACAAAGCACUAUCCAUCGCGGCGCUAGGUCCUCUUGAUGACACUUAGGCAAUUGAUUUCAACAUAAGCCAAUCCCCGCAAUGCUAACCACCAGGUUCACAGCAUUGCCGCGAACUCGAUCCGCUUGAUACAUUACUUCUCUAAUUCGGCAUUCAUUCUAUUCAAUAGCCUCUAUAUGGCGAUCUUGUCAUCUUUCAUGCUCACAAAUUAAAUCAAAGUUUAAAUGCAUGAAUCAAGCCCAUUUACCAGCUAUAUGAAGUAGAAAACCAAUCUCAUAAAUGCGAAAUGCAAAACGCAAAGUCUCGCCAACUUCUACUACUACAUAGAGGUCUAAAAUUUUACUAUAUGCAAUAUGGCAUUUUAAGCAUUCCUAAUAAUUCACAAUAAAUACAUACUAAGCAAGGAAUAUGCAUGCUUUUUUGAAUAACCGAUACUUAUUCAUCAACAUUAUGCCAAAGAAUUCCAUGUGUGGCUAGUCAAACCACCGAACUCGUCGCGCUAGGGCCCCGUUUCCUCCGAACAGGAGUUGUCCAAAGAGAUCUCAAUAUCCUAAAAGUAUUGAGCGAAGAGAUACAUCCGCAUUACGAUCAACAUAAGAUCAAUAUUAACCAACAAGACAAAAGGGCUAAAACUCACACUCAAGGAAGAAAUGUCAACCCCGGACCCGAUACUCAAUUUGGGCCGGUCCCUGAGCACGUCAAUCAAGACGCCAACGGACAGAGUUCCCCUACCGCCACAAGCCAUGCACAUUACAAAUCAAACAAAAUGCAUCUACGGAAACAUACAACACGCUUACACGAGUUAAGGCAAUAGCCAAUUAGUGAGAGAAGGAACAAACUAAACAUCUACAACAAUAAUAUGCAUCAUUUUAAUCAUAUACAUUGCAUUCAUUCUUACAUUUGGAUUCUCUUGUAUUUCAUUACAUCAUUUCAUCAUUUCUUCUCUUACAUCACAUUUUUCUCAAAUGAGCUUUCAUUCUUAUACUUUACCAUCACUAAUCAUCAAAUACAAAAAUGAACAAAGGGUAGCUACUAACAAAAUAAACCCAACUCGACUCUGGUGGCCUCUGUCUAAGGCCGGAUAACAUUUGCCUCGUCGCUCGCUCGUUCGCUCGGUCCCGGCUCUGUGGAAUAGUGGGUUAAACAUACAACAAAGUUCCAGUGGUUCGGCCCCAACAUCACCGACCUUCCCACUAGGACUAACUCAGGCAUAUAAGAAAGAAUAAGCUGUAUAGUAACCAAUCUAUCACAUGAUCCUAAUAUGCCUGAAAAAUAGCAAAGAAAUACGCUCAACAUUAAAAGAUGCAGAUUUAUGCAAAUUUUCUCGUUCUUAUAUCUUUACACUUUGAUCUUUUUCUUUAAUCUUUGCUCUUUAAUCUCAAGGCUAACACCGGGGUUUUGCCACAUUAACUGCUUCACAUAAGUCCAUCAUCGCAGAACUCACACCGCUAGGACCGUCUUCGGUCUACUCCAACCCGUGAUGCAUAACUCCGGACGCAUCGCCAGGGGAAGCGACCGCCCUGAGCACCGAACUCAUAGCAAGUAUAUCGAAUCCUUAACUCCAAAGAUUAUAAGUUCAAUCUUGACUACACACUAACUCUAGUGUUCUUCACAUCACUUUAUGUUGCCACUCUAGCAAUCAAUUUCUCUUUUGCAUUUCUUUUACUUUUGCUAACUCUAGCAAUCACAUUCUUAUCAUUACUUUACUUAGCUAUUCUUUAGCUUCACAUCUUUAACUUUACAACGUUCUUUAUGCCCACACUUAACGUAGCUAUUACUCAUUGAUAUCAUCUUUACCUCGCAUUAGUUCUUUGCCUCACACUAACUCAGUGUCACUUUAACAUUUUUCAAAUGCCACUCGAUCUAUGUCAUCGUGCCACUAGGUUCUUUUGGCUCCACUUUGUACUCCACAUUUCUCUCAUACAUACAUAUAGGUUUUAACAUUCAUAAGGUCCUGACCCUCACAUUAAGCAAGUUUUACUCACAUCAUGCAACAUCACAUUUUUUAUCAUCACUUUACCUAAAAUGCAUGCAACAAGUAUAAUAACAUAGCUCAAUUGAAAUGACACAUUAGGCAUAAGGGAGAAGUUCAAACGAGUUGGAAGCACCACCCACCUCGUAGGUCUCUUUAGGUGCUCCGACGAUUUCUUGGGAUUUUAGACACCCGGUUCACUACCUACAGGAAAACGAACCCUAUUAGCCAUUUUGCUCAUAUUUUACUUUGCUUUUCGUAAUGCUAAUCCAAGCGCACAACGCGUCGGAAAUACCCCCAAUUAGGUUUUUGAAAGGUCAAUUCACUUAGAAAUCUCCAAAGAGCAAAAGCCCACAAAUUUUGGUACUCUAGCUCCAUACAUAUACUAAAACCUAGGGUUUGAUCUCAUUAGGAAGCAAAAGUAGCUUCAAUACUACUCCAAAAUAGUCCAUUCGAACCAUCUUUAAACAAAGCAAUAACCCUUACUUAAAGGUUCACCAUGAGAGGUGAUGAACCUCACCUCAAGCCCUCACCAUUUUCAUGGCCUUGAUCUCAAAAGAAGCAAAGGAAAAGCUUCAAAUACCAAAUGGUUCGCAUAAAAUCUAUUUUAGUCAUUUCAAGAACUCAUUCAGGGAUUUUAACUGAUAGUAUGGAUCAAAGCUUACCUACAAAAGCUUUCCUAUGUUGCUCCAAGGAGUGAAGAAGAAGAGGUAGGCUCACUACUUGAAUCUUCUUCCUUCACCUUCUUUCCCCUCUUGUCCUUCCUUUUCUUUCUUAUCUUCUCUCUCCUUUGGUCUUCUAGAAGGAGAGAGGAAGAUGAGAGUGUGAAGAGGGAGUAGAAUGAGAGAAACCCUCAGUGUCCCUCAUACAAACCAUUGGGUCCUGCAAAAGCAUCAAUAACCCCUCAACCUUUAUACUCCUUCCACAAGCCCCUGGACUGGGCUGUUCGCGCCAGCAGGAACCCGUCUCCUCCUUCAGUGGACCGGUUCCCCGAAGGUCGUCCCAGCGCAGCAGAAGCUGCCUGCGCGCCAGUGCCAUACCGGUCUCUCUUUGCGGGACCGGCUCCUCAGGCAAGGAUCGUAUCCGAGAGCUAAAUUUCUCAGAGACUUAGCCGAUAUUGGCUGCACAAAUCAUAUCGCGUCUGGACGUCUUAUCCACCUGUCACUCGCACCCGGAUACUCGUUCCCGGGCACAUCGACAAAUCCGCCGUAAUACAAAGAAAUAUCCCUUGUAUACGAAGCGUCAAAGUAACCUUAAAAUAACGAUACACAAACAGUACAAAGAGCUGCUCCAACAAAAACAAAUAACUGAGUUCAUAUAAUAUACUAGAAUACACAAAAUACAAGGUUACUCGCACUGGCGAGUAAACAACUAAAUACAUAAAUCCAAAACAACAACUACCUUGCAGUUAUGAAAGCCUCUAGCUCUGACUGUCGGGCUAGGAGCUCUAGCUUCGCAACCCCUGCCUGAUCCUGGUCGCGCGGAAUAUCAGCAGCGCACCUGUGGCCGUGCAAAACAGAGUAACAACUGGCGUGAGACACUACUGUAAAAACAGGUAUGUCUACCCAGUGGGUGCCGCCAAACAACAUCGGUCUAACCCACACGUAAAGUUACAGAAAGAGAGCAAAAAAAAGUAGGAAAAGCAGAAGUACACCUACGCGUAUCAAAUCAACACGCCAUCAUGCCUCACACUAACCCAAACUGUAGGAAAUGUCAAAUCUGACCUAAUCCAAUCGGACUGUAAACAUAUCCCUCCUUUGACUGAAUACACGUCCCUGCCGUUCGACUACCAGCUCCCCCCACUAUAACUUGGUCUUGGAGAAGCAAUCCAACGGCAUAGCGACACCAACCGCGAAAGCACAAAGCCUGACUCCGGAGUGCACUCGUGGCCUACCCACCUGAGUAUCAGCGUAUCCUUCGAGCUCAAUCAGCUCCGACCAUAGCAAAGUCCAAGUAAUGAACUCAACAUGAUCCAAACAACCAAUCAGGUAAACGUCCCCCGCACAGGUCUACGCCAAAAUAAGGCUGAUACGGGCCACCGUCAAUCUCUGACGGCACCCAACAGUUCCGAAACAACCUAGAACGACCUGGUAAAAAUCCACAUCGCGAACCAGCACGAGUGUAAAUACAUUCUAGACUACCUGGAGUACUCGUCUCGAAGAAACUGCGACAGUACAAUUUUCUAACGGCUCCUAGAGCUAAAUCAGGCAGUUUAUACAGGUGACAGGUCCAAAUCGCAGGUUUUCUCCUAAUUCAAUUUUCAAGUCCAACAUGUAUAAUCUACUUAAUUUAUAAAACAUGCUCCAAAAUUCAGAUUUCACAAUCUACAAUUAAUCCAUGAAUUUGAGCUAACAUUAAUUACCGAAAUCAAAAUCUAUACAUGUCGACCAAUAAGAACUUAGGAGUAAAGCCGAUGUAACCCACCUCGCACGCAAAUCCCCGGCAGCGAAACACUCUCACAGCUGUGGCUCCACCUGCUGGGUCGAUCGUAGUACUUCGAUCUCAAGAAUCGCGCUAACUCCAAGCUCUACACCAACCAAUCACCGAUUCAGUCCAGAAUUUGCAGCAGUAGAGUAGGAAUGAGAUUCGACCAAGCUAACCUUCACCAAAUCUGGCAAGUGAGGGCUUCGUGGAUUCCUCUCGAAGUUCCGAAUCCAACGAACCAAGUCUCGUCGAAAUCCGAUGCUCCUACGUCGCGUACGAGCCAAAACACCGACAGUAGACGCAGAAAUCUUAGAACCAGCACGACAUCAAGGAUGGCGAAAAUCCGCACUCGCCCGGCCUCCUCGCAGCAACACGACGUCGAAAAUAAGCUCGAGCGGCUCCGCGGCACGCCGUCGACGACGAAUCCGAGCUUCGCGGCUACCUCUACGCGGCUCCUCCGCUUCGGCUCUCCACUCCACACGAAAGAGAGAAAGAAAAACUAAUUAGAGAGGUUUAGGUUGCUUCCCUUAAUUAAAUGCAUGGAUAACUAUGCAUGGGGGCACGUGGCACCCACCUAUAUAUAUAUGUAUAUACAUGGGGCAUGUGGCAUCCAUAUAUAUAUAUAUGGAUGUAUAUUUAAAGGAUACUACAUCCUCCCCCACUACAAUAAGUUUCGUCCUCGAAACUCAAACAUACCUUUGCUCAGGCAUCAAACAAAAAGGGAUAGGCCUCCCUCAUCACCGUCUCAGACUCCCAAGUCGCCUCCCGCUCAUCAUGAUUAUUCCACUGCACUUUCACAUACGGGAUGACCCGACUGCGCAAUUCUUUCGUCUCCCGAGCAAGAAUCCGCAACGGUCGCUCCUCAUAUCUCAGAUCCUCGCCAAUCUCAAGUGGAGUGAAGUCAAUCACAUGAGAGGGAUCGAAAACGUAUCUCCUCAAUGCUGAGACGUGAAAAACAUCAUGGAUGCCAGCAAGUCGCGGGGAUAGAGCUAUCCUGUAAGCCACCGGUCCGAUACGCUCCAAUACCUCGAAAGGGCCAACAAAACGUGGACUAAGCUUCCCACGUACUCCAAAUCGGCGUAUCCCUCUGGACGACGAGACUUUGAGAAAAACAUGAUCUCCAACCUGAAACUCCAAGUCUCAUCUCCUAGUAUCGGCGUAACUCCUCUGUCGGCUCUGUGCUGUCAAAAGGUGUCGUCGAACGACUCUCACCUUUUCCUCAGCCUCAAGUAGAAUCUCUGGUCCAAGUGUCUUCCGCUCUCCCACAUCACUCCAAAAUAAGGGGGAUCGACAUCUGCGUCCAUGCAACGCCUCAAACGGAGCCAUCUGGAUGCUCGCUUGAUAGCUGUUGUUGUACGCAAACUCAACCAGUCUCAAAUGUCGAUACCACCCUCCUCCAAAGUCCAGGACACAUGCCCUCAGCAUGUCCUCUAGAGUCUGAAUGGUCCGCUCUGACUAACCAUCUAUCUGUGGAUGAAACGCCGUGCUAAAAUGUAGCUGUGUACCCAAGGCGGUCUGAAGACUCCUCCAAAACUGGGAUACAAACCUCGGGUCUCUGUCUGAUACAAUCGACACUGGCACGCCGUGCAGCCUAACGAUCUCAUCCAAGUAUAGCUGCGCAAGUCUCUCCCUGGACCAGGUAGUCUGAACCGGUAGGAAGUGAGCAGACUUGGUCAGUCUGUCCACUAUCACCCAAAUCGCGUCGUAGCCACCCUGCGCUCUAGGCAAUCCAACGACGAAGUCCAUCGUGAUGUGCUACCACUUCCACUCGGGAACUGGCAGACUCUGAAGCUUGCCAGCAGGCACCUGAUGCUCGGCCUUCACCUGUUGGCAAGUCAAACACUGAGCCACAAAUCUGCCAAUGUCCCUCUUCAUUCCAGGCCACCAGAACCGUGCCUUAAGAUCCUUAUACAUCUUGGUUCCCCCAGGGUGAACCGUAUAAGGGGAACAAUGAGCCUCUCUCAGAAUAUCCGCUCGAAUCUCCGGAUCCACAGGCACACACAGUCGGUCCCUGUACCGUAGUACUCCCGAACUGUCCAAAGCAAAACCCUCAGCCUGCCCCCUGUCUAGCUGCUCUCUAAUCCUCAACAAGUACGGAUCUCCACUCUGUUUCUCUCGGAUCCUAUCCAACAGAGUGGGCUGUAAAACUAGAGACGUCAGCCUCGCCGUAGACCCAGGGGGUACUAUCUCGAGUCCCAGCCGCUGUAGCUCCUCGAGUAGGGGUCUCUGCUCAGUAAUCCUCAAACUCAGGCUCUGCACUGACUUCCUGCUCAACGCAUCUGCCACCACAUUCGCCCUGCCGGGAUGAUACUGAAUACUAAUGUCAUAGUCCUUCAGUAACUCCAACCACCGGCGCUGCCUCAGAUUCAGCUCCCUCUGUGUGAACAGAUACUUGAGACUUUGAUGAUCGGUGAAAACCUCGCAGUGCUCGCCGUACAAGUAAUGCCGCCAGAGCUUCAAAGCAAAAACCACCGCGGCAAGCUCCAAGUCAUGCGUAGGGUAAUUCUUCUCAUAAUCCUUUAACUGCCGUGAAGCAUAAGCAAUCACCCUACCAUGCUGCAUCAGCACGCAACCAAGUCCACUGUGCGAUGCAUCACUGUAGAUCACGAAUCCAUCCCCCAUCACCGGAAGGGCAAGGAUAGGAGCCGACGUCAACCUCAGUCUCAACUCGUCAAAGCUCCUCUGACAGUCGUCGCUCCAGACAAAACGAAUCCCCUUCCGCGUCAAGCGUGUGAGGGGUGUGGAAAGCUUCGCAAAGCCUUCCACAAACCGACGGUAAUAUCCUGCCAGUCCCAGGAAGCUCCGUACCUCAGUCACCGUCGUCGGUCUAGGCCAAUCUCGAAUCGCCUCAAUCUUCUUCGGGUCCACUGCUACGCCCUCGGCUGAAAUCACGUGGCCCAAGAAAGCGACCUCCCGUAACCAAAACUCGCACUUCUUUAACUUGGCAUACAACUUCUUCUCUCGCAGAAGCUGUAGCACAAUCCUCAAGUGCUCCUCAUGCUCAGCAUCGCUCCGGGAGUAAAUCAAGAUAUCAUUAAUAAAGACUACCACAAACCUAUCCAAGAACGGCUUGAACACUCUGUUCAUCAAAUCCAUGAAUGCGGCAGGGGCAUUCGUCAAUCCAAAAGGCAUCACCGUAAACUCAUAAUGCCCGUACCGAGUCCGAAAAGCCGUCUUGGAAAAUCCUCGGCCCUCACCCUCAGCUGGUGGUAACCUGACUGGAGAUCAAUCUUCGAGAAGACAUAAGAUCCCUGCAGCUGAUCAAACAAAUCAUCAAUGCGCGGCAAGGGAUACUUAUUCUUGAUGGUCACUUUAUUCAGCUCCCGGUAAUCCACACAUAACCUGAGCGAACCAUCCUUCUUCUUUACAAAUAGCACUGGCGCUCCCCAAGGCGACACACUGGGUCUCACAAACCCUUUAUCCAUCAAAUCCUGAAGCUAUGCCUUUAGCUCUCUCAGCUCUGCCGGUGCCAUCCGAUAAGGUACCGUUGAGAUUGGUGCAGUUCCAGGAACUACAUCAAUCACAAACUCAAUCUCCCUCUCCGGCGGCAACGUAGUCAACUCAGGGAAAAAUACAUCUGGAAACUCGCGGACUACUGGGAUGUCCUCAAGUCCCGGCGCCGCCGUUGGUACCUCCACAAUAGUCGCUAGGAAAGCGAUACACCCGCUACUCAGCAUCUGUCGAGCCCUCGCCGAAGAUAUCCAGGUGGCAAAUAGCGUGCUCCUGCAGCCUCUGAAAGUGAACUCCUCCUGACCUGGCUCGCGGAACGUCACCGUCCUCGCUCCACAGUCGAUCGUAGCGUAGUACCGCGCCAGCCAAUCCAUACCGAGCACGACGUCGAAGUCCUGCAGCUGCCCUAACACCAACAAGUCUGCAGGCAUGACACACGAGUCCAACUGCACCGGACACGACAAACAACACUCCGCAACCAGUAAAACAUGGUCCGGGAUCUGCACCUCUCGUGCCUGUGACAAUGCCCCUAACUCUAGCCCAUGCAACAAUGCAAAUGCUCGGCUAACAAAGGAAUGCGAUGUACCAGUGUCGAAAAGAGUGCGAACUCUAAUGCCAGAAAUCAAAGUGAUACCUGCCACCACUCGGUCGGCUGCUGUAGAGUCCUCCACCUGAGCUGCAUAGACUCUACCACUCGGAGCCUGCUGUCGAAGCUCACCCUGUCGCGGCAUGGACGACCUAUCCUCCUGGCGGUAACUCGGUGCUGCUCUGUAAGUCUGCUGAGGUGCUGGUGGAGCUGAAGCUGAUGAUGGUGCUGGAGAUGCUGCUCGAGGACAAGCUGCCCUCAUGUGUCCCGGCUGACCACAUCCGUAGCACCGGCCCUCCCUCUGCUCACACUGUCUGGGCCAGUGUGGUCCUCCGCAGAUCACACACUGCGGCGCCCUCUCAGGCUGUCCUCUCUUACGGGAGUCUCUGGAUCGCUGACGUCCUGAGAACCCACGACCCUGAGAACGCGAUCGUGGAGGUCUCGGCGGACGCCUGCUACUCGAUUGGCCUCCGUCGUCUGGAGCUGGGCGCUUCCUGUCCUGAGUCUGUCCCGGCUCCUGAGCCCUCUCUCGCAGUGACACCUCUCCUCUCUCCUCCCAUAGUGCUUGCUCAAUGGACGCGUCCAAAGUCCUCGACCUCUGCGCCCUAACGAACCUGAACAGGUCGGGUCUCAAACCCUGCUCGAACAAGUAGACCCUAUGUGCCUCGUCUCUGGCCACGAACGGAACACAGUUCAGGAGUCUAGUAAACUCCCGAACAUACUCCUGAACUGUCCGCUCGCCCUGCUGGAUCCUCUUCAAAUCCUCCUCAACCUUCUGUUUCAUGCUGUUCGAAAAAUACAUCCCAUACAGCAUUCCACAGAACUCAUCCCACCUCAGCUGCGCUGCCUCCAGUCUCUGGUCUCGCCUCACUCUCCGCCACCAGUCACGUGCAUCACCUGACAAACAGUGUACUCCCAAAGGUACCUGCUCCCCCUCUGGAACGUACAGAUCCUCGAAUAACCUCUUCAUAGCACUGACCCAACCCUCAACAACCCAGGCCUCAGUGCCUCUACCAUCGAAGAUCGGUGGAUCAAAUCGGCGGAAACGAGUUAACCUCUCCGUCCACCGCUCCUGCUCGGCCUCAGUCAAUGGUACAGGCCCCCUGGCAGGCGCAACUGGCGCUAUAGGAAUCUCCACCGGUGGGGGCAUAGCUGCGGCUGGAGCUGACGCUGGAGUAGUCGGGAGUGGAACAGUCUGCUCUGGUACACUCGGUGCUGAACUCGGUGACUGAGCUAUCCUCUCACACAACCUCUGCAACAACUCUCCCUGCUGCCUCGUCACCUCAGUCAGGGCAGCCAACUGUGCACUCAGAUCAGGGGGUGCGCUAGCCUCAGGUCGCGCACUCGGCUCUCCAACAGGGGGUGCACUAGCCUCCGGUCUGUCCCUCUGCUCCUGCCGAGCACUCUGCUCCAUCUGCUCAGAUCUCUCAGAAGGUCCCGCACGAUCCCGCAACGACGGUCGACCUCGGCGACGAUACAUAGCUGAAAAGAAACAAGUCGGGGUCAGAUACACGCAACACUCUAGACCCAAUCAACGAAACUCGGGAAGGCGGUCCCUGUUUUCCUCCAAAAUUAUGUCGUCUGCAGCCAACAUAAUUUUUCAGGCCAAAACAGGAACUCCUUCAGUCACUCACUCCACUCUAGGAGGAAUUAGAACAAAUAAUCAUUGACCUUCGCAAUUAAAUGACGCCUCUCGCGUCUUGCUUCCUAAGGUUUGCCAACUUAGGGUUUCCUAGGUCCCAACGACCUAUAGCAAAGCUCUGAUACCAACUUAAUCUGUCACGCCCCGGAUAUCUCGUUCCCCGGGCACGACGACAAAUCCGCCGUAUACAAAGAAAUAUCCCUUGUAUACGAAGCGUCAAAGUACCUGUAGAAUACGAUACUACAAACAGUAGCAUAGAGCUACUAAAAAAAACCUAAAUAACUGAGUUUCAUAUACAUAGCUAGAAUCCAAAAUACAAGGUUACUCGCACUGGCGAGUUAAACAACUAUGUACAUAAACUCCAAAACAACAACUACCUGCAGUAGUGGAAAGCCUCUAGCUCUGACUAUCGGGUAGGGCUCUAGCUCGCAACGCCCUUGCCUCGAUCCUGGUCGGCGGAAGAUGCAGCAGCCGGCACCUGUGGCUCUGCAAAACAGGAGUAACAACUGGGCGUGAGAACUACUGUAAAAACAGGUAGUCCUCAGUGGGUGCCGCCCAAAAUAACAUCGGUCUACCCACUAAGUCUACAGAAGGGAGCAAAAAUAGUAGGAAAAGCAGGAAGUACACUCUAUCGCUAUCAAUCACUACGCCAUCAUGCUCUACACUAACCAACUGUAGGAAAUGUCAAAUCUGACCCAAUCCAAUCGGGACUGUAAACAUACCCGUCCUUGGGACUGUGAAUACACCCGUCCCUGCCCCGUUGCGACUAUCCAGCUACCCCCACACUAACUGGUCUGUGGAGAGCAAGUCCAACUGGCAUGAGCGACACCAACGCGAAAGCACAAAGCCUGACUCCGGAGUGGCACUCGUGGGCGCUACCCAACCGAGUAUGCAGCGUAUCUCUGUCGAGCUCAAUCAGGCUCCAACUAGCCAAAGUCAAGUAAUCGACUCAAACUGAUCUAACAACCAACAGGUAACGUGCCCUCGGCACAGUCUGACGCCAAAAAGGCGAUACGGGUCGACGGCACCUAACAGUCCGAAAAAACCUGAACGACCCUGUAAAAAUCCACUUGGCGAACCAGCACGAGUGUAAAUACAUUCUAGACUACCUGGAGUACUCGUCUCGAAGAAACUGCGACAGUACAAUUUUCUAACGACUCCUAGAGCUAAAUUAGGCAGUUUAUACAGGUGACAGGUCCAUAUCGCAGGUUUUCUCCUAAUUCAAUUUCAAGUCCAACAUGUAUAAUCUACUUAAUUUAUAAAAUGCUCCCAAAAUUCAGAUUUCACAUCUACAAUUAAUCCAUGAAUUUGAGCUAACAUUAAUUACCGAAAUCAAAAUCUAUACAUGUCGACCAAUAAGAACUUAGGAGUUAAGCCGAUGUAACCCACCUCGCACGCAAAUCCCUGGCAGCGAAACACUCUCACAGCUGUGGCUCCACCUGCUGGGUCGAUCGUAGUACUUCGAUCUCAAGAAUCGCGCUAACUCCAAGCUCUACACCAACCAAUCACCGAUUCAGUCCAGAAUUUGCAGCAGUAGAGUAGGAAUGAGAUUCGACCAAGCUAACCUUUACCAAAUCUGGCAAGUGAGGGCUUCGUGGAUUCCUCUCGAAGUCCUGAAUCCAACGAACCAAGUCUCGUCGAAAUCCAAUGCUCCUACGUCGCGUACGAGCCAAAACACCGACAGUCGACUCAGAAAUCUGCAGCAGUAGCACCCGAGCUCUAAAUUGAUGGAAUUGAAGUAAUUGGAGGAAUGCCCACUGAUAAAGCAUUUCAAAAAAAAAAAUACCUUAGAACCAGCACGACAUCAAGGAUGGCGAAAAGCCGCACUCGCCCGGCCUCCUCGCAGCAACACGACGUCGAAAAUAAGCUCGAGCGGCUCCGCGGCACGCCGUCGACGGCGAAUCCGAGCUUCGUGGCUACCUCUACGUGGCUCCUCCGCUUCGGCUCUCCACUCCACACGAAAGAGAGAAAGAAAAACUAAUUAGAGAGGUUUAGGUUGCUUCCCUUAAUUAAAUGCAUGGAUAACUAUGCAUGAGGGCACGUGGCAUCCACCUAUAUAUAUAUGUAUAUACAUGGGGCAUGUGGCAUCCAUAUAUAUAUAUAUGGAUGUAUAUUUAAUGGAUACUACAUCCAUUUUAGAAGAAACUCCAACAGAAAGUAGGUAACAGUGCACUCUACCCAUUAAUUAUUUCAUUAUAAUAUAUAAUUUAUGGAUUGACUACUAAACCUCAAGUUAGAGAUCCGCGAGAUUUGAAUUUAUUUAUUUUUUUCCUAAAAUAAAUUUAUACUACAAAUUAUUUUACAUUUUAUUGUAAUAAAAUAAAAACGAAAGAAAUAAAUUAGAGUGGCUUAAAGAUAAGAAAAUAAAUACACUGCUAGCUAUAAUGGUUGAACAUUCUACUCUCUGGGUGUACUUACUAAUGUGGUUGAUUUACAAUAAAUAUUCUCCUUCGGGAUAUAAAGAUUUUAAUUCUCAAUUAAAUAUCCGUAGUACUAGUUUAUCGCCUUUAUAUCUAGAAGUAUUUAGAUAAUACACUUAUUUGCUAUGAAACUAUACAUGUAAUUUUAUCGUAGCUUAAAAUCAAUUUUUUGUAUUUUUUUAGCCAAUUAGAAAUUUUGAAUAUAAAAAUACAAAAUACCAUUUUAUAAUAAUUAAAUUUUUAAAAAUUAAAUUAGUGAUGUUAGAUUAAGAGAUACUAAAUACCAUCUCAUGUUUCAAAUAUCGACAGUGCACUCAACAUUCGCAAUCGAUUCCAUUUGCCUUUUUCUUUUUCUUUUUUAAAUAUCUUUUCCUUGGAAUAAUUCCUUCGACACAAUUAAAUAUUUUGUUGUAAAAAAAAAUUCACAACAACUAAAUAUUUAUGUUACCUUCUAAACUUUUGACGGAGUUUUAUUUUACCCCCAAACUUCUAAAAAAGGAUAUAUAAAAUCCUAAACUCUAAACAUUUUAUUCAUAUUUUUCUUUCCAUUAGUUUUCGGUUAAUAGAGCUUGAUGAAAAACUAACGGAAGAGAUAAUAUGAAUGAAAUAUUAGAGUUCAGUGUCUUAGAUGUUCAUUUUAGGAGUUUAUGGGAUAAAGUGAAACUCUACCAAAGUUCAAGGGGUCGUAAUAUGUAAUAACUGAAGUUUUUGAUAAAUAAAAUUAAAUCCUUGGUUGACGAUGUUUUUGUGUGUAAUAUAAUUACUAAAGCACUCGUCAAAUUUCAGGAGAAAAUGAGCUAAAAUGGAGAAGUUACGCGACCCGAACUGAUGACUUAAGUGAAUAGUAACUCCGGUUUUCCGGAUGAACCAAUGAAUAGAGAAGGGUUCUGGUGCACAUCAAACUCUGAAUAUAGGACUUCAAUAGCUCGUUUCGAACGGCUCAACCAUUUUGGACCCAAUGGUACUGACGGAAUUGGGUUCUGAUGCACGGUUGUCGAGAAAAAGGGGUUUGAUGGAAAUUACAUGUAGUAAUAUAAAUGGUUAUAUGGGUGGAAACAAAGAGGGCUGGUUUCGACGCUGAUCGGAGACCAAAUCGGACAAAGUAAAAUGCUAGAUUCGAUGCCCCAGUUGUGCUGAACGCGCUGGCGCAAUCCGUUCGGAAACCCGACGGACGGAUCUUCGGGAAUCGUGAAAAGUCCGCUGAGAGGUCAAGUUGGCAAGAUCGAUUAUUCGCGAAAACGUCCAAUAUUUUAUGCGCGAUCUUGCACGAAUUUGAAUGUCGAGGGACCUGUAUGCUUAAUCCACUCGUUGGCAGGGGCUGGAGUGUAAAUAUUAGACCUUGGAGGGGUUCCUCGCAAAGUGGCACCUUGUAUAAAAGGGGCAUCUAGGGUUUUCCAGAGUUCUUUUGGCUGCCAUGAUCAUCUAGAAAACCCUAGCCGCACCGUAGCCGCCCCGACCUCCUCCGGCCGCCGCCACGCCGCCGGGAAGCCCGAACCCGAGAGAUAGUGGGAGGAGUGGAUCUCCGCUGCCGCGCCACCGGUUGCAGCCCGCCGCCGGCCAGCACCCUCCUCGGACCUCUCGGACCGAGUGCUCCCUCCUCCGGCCAGACCGCCCGCCUCCCGACCGCCGGCGACCAACCCUAGCUCUCCUCGGGUCUGGUAAGGGUAUUUUAUGUUCCAGCACUGUUUUUCGAGGUUCCGGUCACCUUUCUGGUGAUCCGAUAAGCCUCCUAAGCUUCGGGAAGUGAGCACGAUGAUCUACAACUCGUGCUGAACAUCGUGCUCACCUCCAACAGCGGCAAAGAUGCCCUGGUUUGUGAGUUAGUCGCGAUCUUCGCGCUGUGCGCGCAGUUUAUCAGAACUUCGCGUCGCUCGUGCGCGCACCGCAGUGGCCGGCAGUGCUCCGAAAGGUGAGCACGGCCUCCGACAUGCUGAAACCUGUCAGCGAGUACGACGGUCGGAUUAAUCGACCUCUGGUUUGCGUGCACGGUCCAGAAAAGCCUAGAAAUCACAUGAAAUGAUGCGAUUUCAUGUAUCGGUAUGGGCUUUUAGGUUUUCUGCUUCGUUGUAGAUGCUGUUGGCAGCAUGUUUGGGCUGAGGAUAACCUCUGGACUGAUCGUCCAAGGCCCCAAGCCCUUGCGGAAAUCGAAAAGUGAUUUCCGGAGCGUUUUCGGCGAAAUCCGCCGAUAGAACGCGGUUUCGGUUCGGAAUUCAUCCGACGGUGCCUCGUGGCUGAUUGUAGCGUCGCUGAGCCUUGUUGGCUGGUCACCCGCGUCGUUUUGAGGGUUCGGAAACGACGGGUGAGCGACGAUGAAGUUCCGGUGCGGUUUUCGGGACUUCCGGCUUAUUCGGUAAUCGGUUUUGGGAAACCGGUCGUGGUUCUGGUGAGCGGGGGUUGUGAGUUAGCAUUACAUGUCAGUGGGUUAGACCUUAACCCGUUGGACCUUUCGUAGGUUCGGUCGCACCGUCUUCACAGUCGAGAGACCUUCGUCAGAUACGUACAGGUGGGUACUUCGACCCGACGUCGGUACAGUGGUGCACGCUCGGUGACGUUCCUUCCACCCUUCCUGUUUACAUUGCUUAUCAUAUACAUUGCUUAUCAUAUUAUCCUCGUAUUACUCUACUCGGUUGUUUCCAUGCUCAGUAUCUUGUGUAGGAGUAGAGUAGAUUUCUUCAGCAUAUGAUAUCUGUGAUCUGGUUGGUUGAUUCUCCUUUGUUGUAUCUAUGACCUGGUUGGUCGAGUUUCAUACUCCAUACUUGUGACCUGGUUGGUCGAGUUUCAUACUCCCUACUUGUGACCUGGUUGGUCGAGUUUCAUACUCCAUACUUGUGACCUGGUUGGUCGAUUUGGUUACAUGAUGACCCAUGCGGUCGAUGGGCCCUGGGGGGCAGGAUUGUCGGCUGGUUGCCGACGGUUGAUCAUUGAGCAUAUUGCAUUGAUCGCCCGAUACUCGUCGCAUUUCACGAACACUGGCGGUCUGAUCCACCGCAAGGAGUGUUCUUUUCCGGAAAAGUGGUUGAAUGGUGACAACCCGUGAGCCCUAGAGGGGUUAUAUGCACUGGAGAGUAGUAGUGGCAUUGGCUUGAGGUCUGCGGUGCUGACCAAGAGAGCAUUGGGUUCAGAUUGGGUACUUUUGGACUGAUUGUCCCGUUGAUGCAUACAUACAGUAGCUGUAGUUGUUCAUUUAUAUACACUUCAGUACUUGUUUAUUUUAGCUACUGUACUACCAUUAUCCAUAUAUUUGUUUAUCUCCGUGACUAGUGAGUACCCCUCGCCUUCUUCGGCUUGCGGUACCCACUGGGAGGGGAGACAUGUUUACAUGUUCUCACCCCCCGCCCCCAUUACAGGUGACGUAGCCGGUCCGAGUGGGACAGCUGGUGAGGAACGGGUCUAGCAUACGAUAGAGCUUUCCGUCCCGUGGUUUGGUUUAUCUACCCUUACUCUUCAUGAUUAAAUAAAUAACUAACUUAGACAUAUUAUGGUUCAGUUUUAUUUUACUAUUUGGAUAUCUGAGUUUUCAGUUGGUUUUGAAAUGUAAUAAAGGAAUUUGUGUUUUCUUGAAAUGGAAAUGGUUUUCUACCUCUCGUGGUAGCGUUUUGAAAAGUUAAAAGUUCCUGUGUAGGGAACAGUUUUCAAAAGGUUUCUGUGGAUUUUGUAUCUUAGUAUUUCAAAACCUGUUUCUGUGGUUGGAAACAUUUUAACUGAUAGUUGUGGAUUUAUAUUUAAAUAGCGAAUGUAUAAUUGUGAAUCUGUGGUGAAUGGUGUAUGAAUGUAUAUCUGUGGUUGUUUGUAUAUUCAUCUGGUUGUGGUUGUUGUAUGAUUGAACUCUUGUACUUGUGCGACGCCGUGCAAAUACAGGGGAGACUCUGUCCGUGUGAACAGUGGAACUCCUGUAUUUGUGGCGGAUCUGGCACACUCUGGGGUCAGAUUUUCAAAAAAAAAUUUCAGACGCUUUUCCACUACCUUUUAAACUAAAAGGGACCCCGGGGCGUGACAUAAUAAUACAAUUUAUCUAUUAAAAAAAGUUUAAAAAUGUAAUAGUCAUAUUGCUGAUAUGGUGCCCACAAUCAAUCAAUCAAAUUACUGUCCGAGUCCACCCAUUUUAUCCUGAUUUUUAGAAAACAUAUUUUUAUUAUAUUUUUCUUUAAAAAGAGAGAUAUAUAAUUGGCUAAUUAUGGAUAAUAUAAUAUAGGCAUUAUAUUGUGGACUUCCUCAUGUAUAUAAGGACCAAUUUGAUCGUAUAAUGGCUAAAAAACAAAAAAUAUAUAUAUAAAUAAAAUAGGGGUGACAAUUUUUAAUUUCAAACGAUUAAAUUUACCGGUCAUCACAUAAUUUGACAUGAAUAUCAAAAUAGAUUAACAGUUAAUAGGGGUGGAAACGAGCUUAGCUCGAGCGUGCUUACCUCAGCUCAAGCUUGGCUUGAAAUUAAUUUGAGCUGAGCUCGAGCGAGCCUAAUUUCGAGUCGAGCGAGCUCGAGUCCUAAACGACCUGCUUGAAAUUCUUAACAUCGUGCAAUCUAUAGUUUAACUUUUAUAAAAUAUUAUCUAAAAUUUAAUAUAAAAAAUAUCUAAUAGUUUAACAUACAAAAUGAAUGCAUGAAAUAAGAUAUUAUAAUACUAAAAAAAAUUAGAGAAAGAGACUCUACGAGGAAGUGAAAAAGAGAGAAAGAGAGCAAUUAGAGUAUGAUUUUGCUGGUUUGAUUUUGUGGGCCCAAUAAUUUAAAUUCUAUGUACAUAUAAUUAAAAUACAUAAUAUAUAUUAUUUUAUAUAAUUAAAAUAUAUAUUAUAUAUAAUUAUAUAUAGAGAGAGUUUGGCUACUAUAUAUACUUUUAUGAGUAUAAAUCCCUUUAUACUCAUAAGUUUUCGACCGUUAGAUCUAUUAUUUUGACCAUUUUUAUCCGUUAAAUCAUACUAUUCAACAAACCACCCACUCAAUCUUAGGGGACCACUAUCAUACUAAUCGCAUAUCCAACGGCUAAAUUUUAUAAGUAUAAAGGGGUCUAUACUUAUAAGAGUAUAGUAGCCUGAGCAUAUACAUAUAGAAUUAGGCUACUAUACUAUUAAUAGCACAAACCGCUUGCUAUCAGGUUUUCGGCCCUUGGAUGAAAAGAUGUGUAGUCAGAGUGAUUGUAGCCCUCUAGGGUUGAGUGGGUGGCUAGUUGAAUAUUAUGAUCUAAUGGAUGAAAAUGGCUAAAGGGAUAGAUCUAACAGCAGAAAACUCGAUAGUACCAAAUGCUUGGUACUAUCGAUAGUAUAAUAGCCGGACUCUAUAUAUAAAUAGGCAGAUCUAACAGCAAAAAACUCAAUAAAACAAAGCGCUUAGAGGUGGGUUGUGUUUCACCGAAACGACUAAGUCGCCGCCAUGUCAAAGUGGAGUAUGAAUUCUCAUUGAUGCAUAUAUGUGUAGUGGUAGUUAAUUACAUAAAUGAAUGUAUAGGCGGAUGCCAUGUAGAUGCAUGAGAUGUUAUGUACUAACUAUCUUACAUGAUAAGUAUAUGCAUGUUGACAUUAUGAGAAAUAUAUUAGGUGAUAUAUAUAUGUUAACAUAUUAUGGAAUAUAUGCUAGUUGAUAAAUGCAUGUUGGCAUAAUAUAGAAUAUGUUAGAGUAUAUAAAUGAAUGUUGACGUGGUGAUAAAAUGCUAAAUAGAAUAGGCAGGUGUCGGGGUGUGACAUAUAUAUAUAUAUAUAUAUAUAUAAAAUUGAGCUAGAAUGCUUUUAGAAGCACCAACCCCAUGGUACUUCUAGGUUUUUAGCCCUUGGAUCUACUCCUUCAUUACAGGUAGCCUUUGGAUCAAACACUAUUCCACCUACCACCAACUACCACCAUUAUCUCANUAUAUAUAUAUAUAUAGAGUCCGGCUUGGAUACUAUCGAUAGUACCAAGAAUUUGGUGCUAUCGAGUUUUCCACCGUUAGAUUUAAUCCUCUGAUUAUUUUUACCCGUUAGAUUAUACUAUUCAAUCAACCACUCACUCAACCCUAGGGGGCCCACAUCAUCCUAACCACCCAUUUCUCAAUCUAAGGGCAAAAAAAUCAAUGGCACCAAUAGCUUGGUGCUAUUGAUAGUAUUCCAGCCUAGUUCUAUAUAUAGAGUCCGGCUGGGAUACUAUCGAUAGUACCAAGGAUUUGGUGCUAUUGAGUUUUCCACCGUUAGAUUUAACCCUCUGAUGAGUAUAGAGCCCUUCGUACUCAUAAAUUGUUUUCGAUGUUGGGGCUUUCGAAUCGACGAUCCACAUCGUUAAACAUGAUCUAGAGUAUUUGAAAGUUUUAGAAAAUAAAUUUUGUAAUUUUUCGAAACUAUUAUAAAGUCCAUCAAACGGGUAUAAAAUGAACAGUCAAAAUCAAAAGACAUCCUAAAAAUGGAUGAUCGGAUCCUUUAAUUUAAGAUCGAAGUUAUUGAUCUUUUAUUUAGGUAGUGAAUAGAAUUUUCUAUCAAAAAUUCAACCUAUUCCGAUUCUUUUACACUGUUAAACUAGCAAAUAUCUCAUACCGGCCGUUAAAAAUUAUCAAUUUUGUGAGCUUUUGAUCGCAAGGUAAAUGAUAUCGAAAAAUUAUAAAAUUUGAUUUCUAAAAGUUUUAAAUGCUCUAGAUAAUUUUUAACAGUAUGGAUCGUCGAUUAGGAAGCUCUAUUAUCGAAAACAACUUGUGAAUACGAAGGCGAUCACACUCAUAAAAGUAUAGUAGCCAGACUCUAUAUAUAUAUAUACAGAGUAGGUCUUGUGUGCCGUUUUCGAUAAUGGAGCUUCCGAAUCGACGAUCGGCUCCGUUAGACUUGAUCUAGCAUAUUUAAAGUAUCUAGAAAAUAAAUUUUGUGACUUUUCGACAUCAUUUACCUAACGAUCGAAAGGGUUCAAAAUCAACGGCUGAAAAUAAAAAUCUUACAAAAAGUGGUGAUAUAGCAUGAAAAUUUUCGAUCAAACAUAUUGAUCUUGCUGUAAAUAGUAUAAAAUAUUUUCUAUCAAAAUUUCAUCUGAUUUGAACGGUUCUACACUGUUAAACUUGCAAACGGUAUACAUCAACCAUUAAAAAUUGUUGAUUUUGAACCCUUUCGAUCGCUAGGAAAAUGAUACCGAAAAAUCACUAAAAUUAUUUUCUAGAUAGUUCAAAUACGCUAGAUCAAGUCUAACAGAGCCGAUCAUCGAUUUGGAAGCUCCAUCAUCGAAAACGGCUUAGGAGCAUGGAGGUCUCCGUGCUCCUAAUAGCAUACAAGACCUACUCUAUAUAAAUAAAUAUAUAUAUAUAUAUAUAUAUGUAUAUGGAGGAGAAGAGGUUGAUUCAAGGAGUGUUUGUGUGAGUGUGUGAGUGUGUAUGGAGGAGGGAGCGUUAUGUGUAUAUAUAUAUAUAUAUAUAUAGAAUGUGGAACGUAGCUAGGGUGGUGGGUUUUUAUACAUAAGCAUUGCUCUAUAUAUAACGGGAGAAGGAGAGCAUUGCAAAUAAGGCAUAGUAGCAGUAGCAUACGAACGAACUACGAGGUUUGAGUGGGCCCGAAGCGUGUGGAUUUAUGGUACCAAAACACAGGAAAAGCAGUUUGAUCUAUUGUGUAGAUUAAUUAAUUAAUUAAUAUGGGAGUUGUCAAUAAAAAUAGUGUUAGCUACUCACUAGGCGUUGCUCGUUGUUGUGGCAUCAAAAAUAUUUAUUUUUAUAUGUAUUUUACAAGGUUAAAAAAUUUUAAAAAAAUUUUGGUUUCUUCUCUCCUUGACAAAAUAGUGGUAAAAAUAAAUUGACACGGAAUAAUUAAACAAGCUGCAAACUAGACGUUAUUCCGUCCUCGAUCUCUCACAAGCGUNUGCGGUUAGGAUGAUGUGGGCCCCCUAGGGUUGAGUGGGUGGUUGGUUGAAUAGUAAAAUCUAAUGGGUAAAAAUAAUCAAAGGGGUUAAUCUAAUGGCAGAAAACUUGAUACAUCAAAUGUUUGGUGUAAUCGAUAGCAUAGCAGCCGGACUAUAUAUAUAUAUAUAUAUAUAUAUAUAUAUAUAUAUAUCUAUACUAUAUAUAAAAGCACAUAUUUCAAAUUUGGGUCUGUCGACAGACCCAUUUUUUGGCAGAAAAAAAAUAUUAUUUCCUCUUUCCUUACGUAAAAUAAAUAACGUAAUGAAACAAAUUUUUAAUUUCUGUUAAUCUCUAAAAUAGAAAAAAAAUACACUUAUACAAAUUUUUGCCAACCGAAAGAUAUUUUGUUACAUCUGCCAGUUAGGGAGUAGGUUAGAGGAGAGUAAAAUAAUCAAAUUAAUCAAGUGCGGGGAGCUCAGGGGACUUAGCUUGUGAGAUGGUAUGCGCAUCGACCGGCUGGGAAGGAGGAGCGGCGAGUGAGUGGCAACCUUAGGUCGAAGAAGGAGUAAGAUGGGACGAAGGAGGAAUCAAAAGCGAACAACAGAGGUGAGUGAGGUAGAGUCCUGAGCAUAAGGAGCUUAACGGAUAAGCACCAGCGCGAAAGGACCCGACCUGUUAAGGAUGUUAAUUGGAACCGAGCCGUCUGAAGGGCCCAGUAAGCUUCGGAGUGCACGGUCCAAUAAGCAUCGGAGUUCACGAAUUUAGGCCCAUUGGCCCCUACGCUUGAUAUUUUGGCACAAUUGCAGUAUAGCACAUAGGAGUUCAUAUUCUUUGUUUUUAGUAAUAGACAGGGUAAUAAAAGAUGCAGAUGUAACCUAGGUCGAUUAUGAAUAAUAUUGAUAUUGAUUUCCUUCUCAACUCAUCUCGUCCCUCCUACUUCUUCUUUCUCCUUCAUCUUUUCUUCUACUUCUUAUCCUUUCUUAAACCCUGCUUAAUCUCUCAACUUAUUCUUCUCCUACUUGGAUCUGUGAUAUUCGAGUCGGAACGGAGACCAUCAUUCUCGACGCCGUCCUCGUCUCAGCGAAAUCUCAUCAUCAACGGGUUGCGUUGAGUCAGGUACGUAACAUAUUUACUGUGAAUCUAUAUUUUAAUUAAAAUUUUAUUUAUUUUUUUUAUCUCUAAAAUAGAAAAAAAAUCAUGCUUAUCCAAAUUUUUGCCAGAAUAUCUAUUGUAAAUCUAUAUUUCAAUUCAAAAUAUAUAAUUAAUUUAUAACUUAAAUUUUACGAACAAUUAUGAUCAAUUGGUUAAAAAUAUUGAAAAUAAAAAUGAACUAUUAUGUUCAAUCUGUUAAAAAGUAGCACUUUUAUCCAUUUAUUUUACAUUAAAAUUUAAAUUUGACUUUAAAUUGUGAAUUAAAUUAAAUUUUUAAUUUUUGAUAUCAAAUCUAUCCAUCUAUUUAUAUUAAAAUUUAAAAUUGAUAUUGUAGAUAUUUUCUAAUAAAAUGAAACAUAUAAAUUUAGAAAAUAUUUUAUUCUAAAUUUCUGAAAAAAUAUGAUUUACAAAUGUUUAUUGAUUUAAAAUAAAUUAAAAUAAUUGUUACGUGCAGUUACACGUAUGCUCAACUAGUAUAUAUAUAUAGAGAGUCCAGCUACUAUACUCUUAUGAGUACUAUCGCCCUCGUACUCAUAAGUUGUUUUCGAUGAUAGAGCUUCCGAAUUGACGAUCCAUAUCGUUGAACAUUAUCUAGAGCAUUUAAAAAUUCUAAAAAUCAAAUUUCAUAAUUUUUCGACAUCAUUUACCUUACGAUCAAAAGCUCACAAAAUUGAUAAUUUUUAACGGCCGGUAUGGAAUACUUGCUAGUUUAACGGUGUAAAAGACUUGGAAUAGGUUGAAUUUUUGAUAAAAAAUUCUAUUCACUACCUAAAUAAAGAUCAAUAACUCUGAUCUUAAAUUGAAGGAUCCGAUCAUCCAUUUUUAGGACGUCGUUCGAUUUUGACCGUUCAUUUUAUGCUCGCUUGAUGGACUUUAUUAUGAUUUCGAAAAUUUACGAAAUUUAUUUUCUAGAAGUUUCAAAUACUCUAGAUCGUAUUUAACGGAGUGGAUCGUCGAUUCGGAAGCUCCAUCAUCGAAAACAACUUAUGAGUAUGAAGACUCCAAUACUUAUAAGAGUAUAGUAGCCCUACUCAUAUAGGCUGGGGCUACUAUACUCUUAUGAGUAUAGUAUAGACCCACUUAUAGUCAUAAAUUUUUAACCGUUGAUUGAUAGGAUGUGUGGUUAGGAUGAUGGUGGUCCACACUUAGAAUGAUAGUGGUCCUUUAGGGUUGAGUGAGUAGUUGGUUAAAUAGUAUGAUUUAAUAGGUGAAAAUGAUCAAUGAAAUAAAUCUAAUGGCCAAAAACUUAUGAUUAUAAAGGAGUCAACACUCAUAAAAGUAUAGUAGCCGGACUCUAUAUAUAUAUUUUUGGGCUUUUCGAGCUUAAUUCGAACAAGUCGAGUAAUACUCAAGCUUGGCUUGAAAUUAAUUUUGAGCCUAAAUUUAGGCUCAAGCUUGUUUGAAAUUAAUUCGAGCUGAGCUCGAGCGAGCCGAAUAUCUCGAGCCGAACACGAGUCGAACACCAGCUGGCUCACUCAUUUGCCAGCCCUAACAGUUAAUGUGUGGUUUAUCCAAAAUGUCCAAAAAAAAAAAAUUCCAAAAUUUUUUUUUUCAUGGAAAACUUUUUUUUUUUUUCCAGUUUUUCAUCUAUUUAUUUUUAAAAAAACUAGCUUGUUUAAAUAUGUUUUUUAAAUUUAAUGGCAAAUUAAUAUUUUUAUUUUCGAAUUUUUUUAGAAAAACCAAAAUGCUAGUUUUUCAUAGAAUUUAGAAAGAAGUUUUUCAAAAGAGCUAUUUUUUGAUAUUUUAUAAUACAAAAAAUAAUAAAAGUGCUUUUGAAUUUAGAAAGAACUUUACCAUAUAUGUGGUUUAAUGAGGAAAAAAAUUAUCUAGAACCACGGGCUCGAAGAGGUUUGUUGGAGCCUAAAUCUACUUUUUUUUUUUUUUUUUUUUUUUGUUAUGGAGGAAAAAAAUUGUAUUGAAGCAUAUAUUAUUGUUAAAUAACUUAUAUCUAUGUUUUUUAUAUGUUAUAUGUGAUAUUCUAUUUAAUGUACUUGGAUUAGUUCAUUGUUUCUUUUCUACAUUUCAUAAUUUUUUCGAAAAAAAUACAAAAAAAAUAUAUAUUUUUAUUUUUAGAAUUAAAAUAGUUUCAUCUCUUUCAUACUAAUUAAUUAAUUAUUUCUUUCGAUCGUAAGUAAGCUUUGUAUAUUUAGUAGCUGUUUUUAAAUUUUAUUCUUUAAUUGAACAAUCAAGUAUAACUUUUUUAAAAUUUAUUUAUUUUUACUUUCAUUUUUUUGAGAGAAAUUUUUUUAUUUUUAUCUUUUUUUAAAAAUAUAGUAGAAGCAAGCUCCUUAUAAAUGCAUGUCUUUAUGUAUAAACUUCUUUUAUUUGUUUUCCUUUUUUAUUAUUUUAUUUUUUAUUUAAAUAGAUACAAAAAUCGGCAGAUUAGGCGAUCAGUAAGUGGGUCACUAUAUCCAGUAAAUAAUUUGGGUAUGGAUAAAAUUUAUCUCCAAAAUUUUGGUUAGCCAAUAUUAUUAUCAUACUCACCCAUAGGCUGAGGGUUAAUCUAAUGUUUACAAUAUAUUUAAAAUAUUACAAUAUACAGUAGAUAAUAUAGAAUAUUAAAAUAAUACAAAGAAAAAUUAAGAUUAGAUCCUAAAAGUACGUAAAACAAAACGAGUAUCCACUAUUUUAUUUAAUAUUUUUGUAUGCAGGUACUCGCGAGUUUCUAUAGUUUUUGUGUAUUUUUUAAAAUACAGAUAAUUUAAUAGAUACCCAUCUAUUUUAUUUAUAAUUUUUUAGAUAAAAAAUUUAAUAUUCAUAUUCAUAAAUUUACAGCUAACUCAGCUAUAUCCCUGGAUAUGGAUAAAAAUUGCGACAUCUACUUUUUAAAUUUAAAAAGACUUAAUAUGGAAUCCCUUUUAGGAUGUGGAAUCCCAUGGGCAAUGGAGACCGGGCUCCAAGCCUGCAACAAACCAUUUAUGUUCCGACUAUACAACCUCAGAUUAUACAUUUAUACGCAAGGAAUAUUAUGAAAUAUGAAAUUAGAUAAAAAUCUUAUUAUGAAAUAUGAAACUAGAUAAAAAUCUAGUUAAAGAGUAGGAUUAAUUUCAUAUAGGUCCUAUAAAUAUAGUAAAUUAUAAAUAUAUGCUUUCAAAGUUCAACUUUCAUAUAUUGUCCUUAUAAAAGUCCUGAUGUUUUCAAAUAUGUCCUUAUUAUUAAGAUCCGUUAGAAAAAAUUAGUUAACCAUAGGUAAAAUACUUAAUCCUAGUUAGUUACUAAGGUGAAUUGAUAUUUUUACUACUCAUCAAUUAACAGUUAGGACUUUUGGAGGGAUAUAUUUGUGAUGUCAAAAGUGUCGGUAACAAAUCAGAGAGACAUAUUUGAAAAUAUUGAAACUUUUGUAUGGACAAAAUACAAAAUUUAAACUUUGUAGGGAUAUAAUUGCAAUUCACUAUAUUUACAGAGAUCUGUAUGAAAGUAACCCUUAAGAAUAAUAUAAUAAUUUUAUAUUAAAAAUAAUAAUCUUAAAUAUUUGUAUUUGUAUAUUUUUAUAUACUAUAACUAAAAUAAAAAAAAAAUAAUACAGCUCUCUAUAAACAUAUUGUAGUAUUCUUGGUGUAGUGUUUCUGAGCUUUGGAUAGGAUUGGCUUCAGUUUUAGUGACUGGUCGACACAUCUGGAGAGUGUCGGACUGAGUCGGAGUCGUUUUUGUACAAAUUGGAUGCAGAAAUGGACUCGGCGUACUCAAUUAAGCAAAACUGGAGUUUUGCCAGAUUCGGGCGCUCAGAACACGAUUUAGGUCGCCCAGAACUGAGUGUUGAAUUUAACUGAAACUGGAAGCCAAUUCGGAUCCUAUGUUCCAGGCGCCCAGAAGUGGGUCCGGAAAUUUUACAUUGUGAAUAUCGUUUGUGUUGACACGUGGCGGGUGGUAGGUGAGGUCCGCCGGAGCCGUUUAUAGGCGCAGCACACCGCGGGUGAUAGAACCAAAGGGGAGCAAAUGUGCAGCAUGGAGGUUUCGGACGCCCAGAAAUGGAUUUUGGGCGCCCGAAAGUGGCCAUUUCUGCAGGUGUAGCAGAAUUGCAGCCUUCGUUCCUGAGGUUCAUCUGACCUUAUGUUCACCCUAUAAAUAGCUGAGGAGCGUCCCUGGUGAGCUCUUUUCCUCUCUUCUUCACAGUGAUCCUCUACUUUGCAUUCCAACCCCUCCAAAUCACUCAAAUUGCUUCAAGAUCCACAACUCCAAGCAUGUUAGGUGCUGAUUCUGCAAUUCUUCAGCGACGACCUCCAGUGUUUUGUCUCGUGUGUGACGUAGGAAGGUCGGAUCGCGGUGAAACUUAGUUUGCUGGAUUCUAGACUGCCAGAAGAAUCCACGAAGCCCUGAAUUGCAGAAUUUGGUUGAGGUUAACUUGGUCGAACUCAAGUUUUACUCUGCUACUGUUGUAUUUGGACAGAAUUAUGGAUUUUGAGCUUUUCUUGAUGCUAUCUUUGGAAGUAGGAGAAUUUGGGACCUGAGAAUAAUUCUUUAGUAUACUCCAAUGGAUUUGGGACUGUCCUCACCUGAAUUGGAGGUUAUUAUGUGAGUUUUAACAUUGGAGUUGGAUUAAUUAAGCUUAAGUGCUGAUAUUAUAGUUGUAUUGAUGGAAUUAGUGGAUUUUGGUGCUUAGAUCGAACUUGUGGAUCAUUGCUGGCUGAGAGGAGGUUCAGCUGCGAGAUCUUGCACCUUCGAGACUUCCUUGCUGGCAGGGAUUAGCAAUUAAGGUAGGUUUCUUAUUGGUUUUGCUCCUAAGCUUGUGUAAAGUAAACAUGUAUAGUUCGACUUCGGUAUAACACAUUAUAGCUCAAAUUCAUUGAUUAGUAUAUUAUAUGAAAUCUGAAUUUGGAGCAUGAUUCUUAAUUCGCAAAAUAUAUAUGUUGGACUUGAAAAUUUGACUUAGGAGAAAACCCGCGUUUUGACCCGUCAUAUGAUUUUACUACCUGAUUUAACUAUAGGAGCCGUGAUUUGAUUGUAUCACAGCUGUUUCAGCGCGGUGGAUACCCGGGGUAGUUUAGAAUGCAUUUACGCUCGGGCUUAUUUUACAGCAGAGUCUAGGCUGUUUCGGGUUGUCGGGUGCCGUCGGAGUGGACGGUGGACCCAGAUUCCUGUUUUUGGUAUCAGAUUGUGCCGAGGGCACGUGGGUUUUGUUUCUAAAUCUGUUUUGACCCUAGCUACUUAUCUUUGACUUGUUAGAGCCUGAUUAAGCUCGACAGAGAUACGCUUGCAUACUCGGUUGGGUAGCGCCCACGAGUACCACUCCGGAAUCGGGCUUAGUGCUUUUGCGUUGCUGUCGUUCGUGCAGGUUGGACUUGCUCUCCACGGACUGGUUAGUGUGGAGUUAGCUGUAUAGUCGUGACCGGGCGGGACGGGUGUGUUUACGGUCCCAGGGACGGGUAUGAUUACAGUCUUUACUUGAGAUUGGGUCUGAGUUGACAUUGUUCUACAAAUAGUUAGAUUCAGAGCAUGAUAGUAUAGUGGCAUGUAGCUGUAGAUUUAUUCCAGCUUUUUUUACUAUUCCUGCUUAUCCCUGUAGACUUAGUCGGUGGACCGGUGAGUUUGAGGGCAGUACCCACUAAGGACUACUUGUUUUUACAGUAGUUCUCACGCCCAGUUGUUACCACUGUUUAUGCAGAGCCGUCGUCUUCGGCUGCUGCUGUUGCUGAUUUUGAUCGUGGCAAGGGCAUCGCGAGUUAGAGCCCUUCCAGUCGAGUCGCAGAGUUAGAGGAGCAUCAGCUACAGGUAGUUGUAGUUUUUUGGUCUUUACAUACAGUUGUUGUUAUCUCGCCAGCGCGAGUUUUUGUAUACCCUGAUGACAUGUAUGUAUUGAACCGCAGUUUAUAUUUAUGGUUUAUUUUUCUAGCUGCUCUGCACUAUUGUUUGUAGUAUUGUAUGAUUACAGGUACUUCUACUUCUUCGCUUCGUAUACAGAAAAAAUACCUAUGUAUAUGGCGGGUAUUAUUGUAAUUUUUGUUGGUGGUUAUCCACCCCACCAACUCCCCUAUAUAUAUAGUUAUCCACUUGAGACUUGAGAGAGAUAAUGAAUUAUCUCGUGUUCAUUUCUCUAGCAUUGAGCCGUACGUGGUGGAGGCUUCAGGUGGAGCUCGGAUUGUCGCCGGCGUCGUGCCGAGGAGCCGUUUGAUCGCGCGAGCGUCAUAGUCGCAUCGUUCGGAGGUCGGGCGAGCGUGUGGUUCCACUUCUAUUGGCUUCUUGCCAGAUUUGGAUUAGCGUUUAGAGGUGGGUCAAAGUGAUGCUUACCGAAUUCUACGGAUUUCCUUCUAAUUCUAUAUGUGUCGACAACAUGUAUUUUUAGCUUCGUUUAGUAUAUUGUUUAGCUCGAUUCUUGGAAUUGCAUGUUUGGAACUUGAAUUGGAGCUUAGAAAUAUUAGCUAAAUUAUGCAUGUUAGAUGGAUUUGACUUAGGAGAAAACUGACGUUUCUAUACCGUUAUUUGAUCAAACAACCAGAUUUAGCUCUAGGAGCCGUAGUUUGUUUGUAUCACUGCAGUUUGUGGGCGGUGGAAACCCAGAAUAGUGUAAAAUAUAUUUACGCUCGUGCUGAGGUGCAGAGUGUAUUUUUACAGCAGUGUUUAGGCUGUUCCGGAUUGUCGGGUGCCGUUGAGGUUGACGGUGGACUCAGAUUGCUUUUUUUGCAUCAGAUUGUGCCGAUGACAUGUGAGUUCAGUUGUUAAACCAUGUUUACUUGACUUUAGCCUGCGAGAGCCUGAUUGAGCUCGACAGAGACAUGCUUGCAUACUCGGUUGGGUAGCGCCCACGAGUGCCACUCCGGAGUCAGGUUUUGUGCGUUUGCGUUGGUGUCAUUUUAUCUUGGUUGGACUUGCUCUCUACGGACUGCUUAGUGUGGAGGUAGUGGUAUAGCUUCGACAGGCGGGACGGUUGUGCUCACAGUCCCUUGGACGGGUAUGUUUACAGUCCCGAGCGAGAUUGGGUCUGGUUUUCCAUUUUCUACAGAUUGUUGGGUUAGAGCAUGAUAGUAUAGUGGCAUUUAACUGUAGAUUUAUUCUACCUUUCUUACUAUACUUGUUUACAUCUGUAGACUUAGUGGGUGAGCUAUUGAGGUCGGUAGCGGUACCCACUGCGGAUUACUUCUUUUUGUAGUAGUUCUCACGCCCAGUUGUUGGAAUCUUUUACAGAGCCCUCUUCUUCGGCUGCUGCUGCUGCUGAGUCUGAUCGUGGAAAGGAUGUUGCGAGUUAGAGCCCUUCCUGACGAGUUGCUGUGCUAGAGGAGUACCAGCUAUAGGUAGUUGUAGUUUUUGAGUUCUUAUACAUACUGUGUUGUAUCUCGCUGGAGCGAGCUUUUUGUACACCUAGAUUCGAUGUAGGUAUAGUGAACUUCUGUUUUUAUUUUUAUUCUCUUUUGGCAGCUCUAUACUACUGGUUGUAGUAUUGUAUGAUUAUAGAUACAGCUAUCGCUUCGUAUAUAGAGGAAAUUUCCUUUGUAUACGGCGGAUUUGUCGGCGUGCCCGGGGGAACGAGAAAUCCGGGACGUGACACAUAUCGAAUAGCAAAUAUAUUCCUACAAAGUUUAACUUUUUAUAUUUAUUCCUAUAAAAAGUUUUUAAAUAUAUCCAUACUGUUAGAGUUCGUUAGAAAAAUAUACUUAAUCAUAGGCUUUGUUUGGGAUUGUGGGGAGAUUGCAUUACGUGCGAUGAGAAACGACGAUAGAAAAAUACUUGUUUGUUUCCGUACGUAAUAUUGCGUUUUGCAUAUUGCUGUUAGUCAGUUACGAUAUAUUUUCUGCGGUCCCACCGGAGAACGCAGAAGCAUAUUCCUAUAUGCUUUUUCUCAGGUCCAUUAUAUCUAACUAGUAUUUGACCCGUGCGAUACACGGAUAAUAUAAUAAUAUAAAAUAACAAAAGUUAUUAUGUGAUGAUAAAAAAAAUAUUCUAAUUAAUAUUAUAUUUUUUUAACAAAUAAAGAAAUAUACUAUCAAUCUUAAUUAUAGUACAUAUUAAAGUACAAAAGGUAGAGAAAAAAAAUUAUGAACCAAAGUAAAUACUCAAGUAAAAAGUAAAAUUCAACCUUGCUCUAUUAUCUAUGAAUUGGUGUGUAAAAUAAUUUAUAUUUAUAUAUUGAUGUGCAAAACAAAAUGAUAACUAAAAUUGAUAUGAAAAAUUAAAAUGAUAUUAAUAUUUAAGCAUAUAAUGAGAUCAACUAAACUUUCAUAUUUGACACAAAUAAGAGUAAGCACACGUAUAUGAGAGACAUACAAACUUUUAAGAUUCAAAAAUAUAUAGAUGUUGGUCUUCAAGAAAAUAUAAAAAAAAAAAAAAUUUGUUACAUGAAGAUGGAAAGUACCUGCUCCAAUAACAAUAUAGAUAAAUUAUUAGAUAAAUGAAAUGAUAAAUAUCAUAAUAUUAGUGAAUUUUUUCAGAAAAAUAUCUAAAUUUAUUUUUAAAAAAACGACAAAGUUAAAUUGUUGAAAAAUUGUAAAUUUUGAAAUAACAUGAAGAAAAAUAAACCGCUCACCUAUUUUAAGUUCUGAAACGCUUCUUUUAAAACCACAUUACUUGUGGUUUUGGAUAACAAACCAUCUUUAUCACAAAUUAGAAUAUUCAAUCCGUCCUUGCUUCGAACUCUAGAUAUUGCAACAUAUAACUGACCAUGACUGAAUAUCGGUCUAGGUAGAUAUAAGCCAACAUAUGAUAACGAUUGACCUUGGCUCUUAUUUAUUGUCAUAGCAAAACAAACAGCCAACGAUAAUUGCCUUCGUUGCAUUUUAAAAGGUAAUUUGGAGUCUGAUUGAGUAAUCACCAUACGGGGUAUAAACACCUUCUCCCCAAUAUUGCUCCCAGGGAUCACUUUUGCUUCUAGUAUGUGUUUUUCUAAUUGAGUGAUCACUAAUCUGGUUCCAUUGCAUAAACCUGAAGACUUGUCUAUAUUUCUCAAAGAAUGUAAAGUACCGUUAUUUAAGAUUCAGACAUGAGUGUCGUAUUAUAAAGUUAUGAGAUUGAUAAAUACAAUAUAAUUUAUUUUGGAUAUAACUGUCAAUCUAGUCAUCUAUUUAUAAUAAUAAGCAGUUAACUGAAAAAAAAAAUAUAAACAUUCAAAAGAUAUAUUUAUAAUUAUGAGCACCUACUUGUCAUUCUCAAGUAGUAUCGUAAUCUUUUUUGUUUCUUUACCGUCCUUGCAGCUUUCUUCCAUUCUACUAAUUCCAGAAAGCUUCCCAAUGACAUCUGAUAAAUUAGAAAAAUAAAAUGUAAGAAUUAAUAUAGUAGGUACACAUAUUAAAAAUUAAAUUUUAAAAAUUAAAUAUUUGAUGCAUGUAACAACUCUUACCUACUAAAUAUUUGUCAUCAGCGACAUUAGCAAGCAAUUCAUCAAAAGGGGUAAAUAUAAAUCCAUACUUUGAUAUUGUCAAAACAUCUUCCAUCUCACGUACAACUGUAGAAUAUUGAAAAUUGAUUUUGUAAGGAUGUAUAGUGGUCCUGUAGAAGCUGCUGCUCUGCCCCACUCCAAACUGGUUGAUCACAUAAACUUUUCCUUCCGUAAAAAAGACUUUAAAUUUGUUCAGAAAAACUUUUCUUACUGUUGUACGUAUCCUAUCUCCCUAAAAUAGAAAAUAAACAAAUUAUGUAGUAUCUUUUAGUAAAAACAAAGCAAACGUAUGUUCAAUUUGAAAAUGAAAGUCGUAUCUUACAUUUUGAUCAGAAAAGAACUAACUCUAGGCUAUUCACCACCUCUGGACGAUGAAAUUCAGGCAUAGUAUACAGACAAAUCACUCUGACUUUGAUCUUCCAUUUGUCUCCAAGAAGAGUGAUGUCACGUAUAGAAUCAUACCCAAGUGCCAUAUCCUGAGAACAAUAAGAUAUUCAAGAAAAAAAAUUAAUACUUGCUUCGUAUUUAAAUAAUAAAAUAAAAAUAAUACGUUUUAUUUUAAAGCAUCAACAUUUAAGAACUAAGAAAAUUACAGGAGUGACAGUAAAGAAAAAAAAAUUACGAAAUAAAAAUUACAGAAUGAGUGAUAGUAGGAAAGUAACAUGUAAUAUCUAUAUCUAUACUACUUAUAAAAGCGUGAGUUUUGAAUUUUUUCCUUUUUUCAAAAAUGACUCUAUCCUUUUUUACUAAUAUUUUUAUUUUCAGUAAUUUUCAACCAAUCAUUUCAAAUAAUUAACUAAAUAAUAAUUUAUUCCCAAAUAAAGAUAAAUAUUUUCCUUCUCACGCGUAAUAUUUGCACCCGCCAAUUCUUUCGUAACGUAAUAUCCGUGAAUUUCUCAAAUAUCUCAACAUAAUUAUAGAUGAUUUGAAAAUAAAAUCCCCUUUAUUAUAGGUGAUUUUUAAUAAUAUAGUAAAAGAUAUAAAUUUUUUGCCAUUAGAUCUUAUCUAAUGAUUGAAAAUAAAAGUAUCUGUUAACUUUUGUGACAAUGUUACUCUCGCAUUUAUAUCAUAUUUUCUAUUUACGCGUUUCUCAAAUAUUUUCCUUCUCACGUGUAAUAUCCGCACCCGCCAAUUCUUUCGCAACGUAAUAUCCGUGAAUUUCUCAAAUAUCUCAUUAAUCCACCUACCAUUUGAAUUUAAUAAUAUAGUAAAUAGAAUAGAUAUGAUGACACGUGACAAGCAUAUAGAAAGCCGCGUUAGGAAAAAUGUCUCUAUUUUUUUUUACUAAUAUUUUUAUAAUAAAGAUAAAUAUUUUCCUUCUCACGCGUAAUAUCCACACCCGCCAAUUCUUUUGCAAUGUAAUAUCCGUAAAUUUCUCAAAUAUCUCAAUAUAAUUAUAGGUGACUUUAAACUAAAAUUUUCUUGAUUAUAAGUGAUUUUUAAUAGCAUUAUAAAAGAUAUUAAUUUACUUUGAAAUAAAAUCUCCCUGCUUAUAGGUGAUUUUUAAUAGCAUUAUAAAAGAUAUUAAUUUUUUGCCAUUAGAUCUUAUCUAAUGAUUGAAAAUAAAAGUAUCUGUUACUUUUUGUGACAAUAUUACCCUCGCAUUUAUAUCAUAUUUUCUAUCUACGCAUUUUUCAAAUAUUUUCCUUCUAGAAAGCUACGUGUCAGCUUCUCAUAUAGGAUUCAUUAAGGGUUCUAAUAAAUAGAUAGCGUUAGAUAGAGCUCAAUACCAAACUAAGCCAUAGAUAAAUUGACCUUUUGGCCCCUCUUAGCUAGGAUUUUGGAAGAACAUUUCAGAUUUUUGGAGAUACUGAUAAAAAUAUUAUUUUAUUUAUUUUCUGUUUAGAAGGUAAAUAGUGUUCUAAUAAUAACAAACUAGAUGAAAAAAUAAAAAUAUCAUUGAAUUUUUACAAAAAUAAAUAUAAAAAAUUAAUUUCAUAAAAUUAUAUUUUCUAUUCGAUAUAGUUUACAAAAAACAUAAAAUUAAUCUAAUAAUAUAUAUAUUAUAUAUAUAUAUAUAUAUAUAUAUAUAUAUAUAUAUAUAUAUAAUAUAUAUAUAUAUAUAUAUAUAUAAAUAUAUAUAUAUAACUAGGCUACUAUGCUAUUAAUAGCACGAAGUCAUUAGUGCUACAAGUUUUUGGUUAUUGGAUUAAGAGAUGUGCGGUUAGGAUGAUGUGGCCCUCCUAGGGUUGAGUGGGUGGUUGGUUGAAUAGUAUGAUACUAACGGAUGAAAAUGAUCAAAAUGGUAGAUCUAACGGCGAAAAACUUGGUAGCACAAGUGCUUCGUGCUAUUAAUAGCAUAGUAGCCGGACUCUAUAUAUAUAUAUAUAUAUAGAGUUGAGCUAGAAUACUCUCGAUAGUAAACGGGGCGUUUUACUAUCGAGUUGUUUUCGAUGAUAGAGUUCCAAAUUGACGAUCGGCUCCGUUAAAUAUGAUCUAAACCAUUUAAACUACCUAGAAAUCAAAUUUCACGCACUUUCGAUAUUGUUCUUUUAUCCAUCUAGUGAACAAAAAAUGAAUGGCUGAAAAUGAAUAUUGUUUAAAAAAUAAUGAUAGGAGUCUUGUAAUCAAGAUCAAGAGUAUAGAUCUUGUUUUAAAUAGUUUGAAGAAUUUUCUAACAAAAAUUCAAUUGAUUGAAUAUCUUUACACCGAUUACGAGAAAACGCCUCAUAUCGACCGUUAAAAUUACAAAUUUUGAAACAAUUUGAUCAUUAGGCAAAUGAUAUCGAAAAGAUUUAAAAUUUGAUUUCUAAACAUUUCAAGUGGUAUAGAUCAUGUUCAACGGUGCCGAUCGUCGAUUUGGAGGAUCUAUCAUCGAAAAUAAAUGGAUGGCAACGGAGCACAUAUAUAGAUAUAGUAUAUAUAUAUAUAUAUAUAUAUAUAUAUAUAUAUAUAUAUAUAUAUAUAUAUAUAUAUAUAUAUAUAUAGAUUAGCCUUUUCGAUUCGCCUUUAUUAAAACCAGUAAACCAAACCCUUCUCUUCUCUCCACUUUAUUUUUCCCCUCUAUUCCCCCUUCCCCGAUCGCAAGCCCAAAAAAAGAACCAAAAAACAAAAAACAAGAAGAAACCAAAAAAGAAACCCUAACGCUCUCGAUCGAAUGGCUAAUAGCAAUCUCCCUCGACGGAUCAUCAAGGUAGAAGAAGAAUCCCUUUCGUAUUUGACGAGAUCUUCGUCAAAUUCCUUUUGAUCUCUCCGUGUUCCUUGUUUUUUUUUAAUUUUUUAAUUUUUAAUUUUUUUUUUUAUUUUUGUGGGGGUGAUUUUGAUUCUUGAAUCUUUGGUGCGAAUUCGAGCAGGAGACCCAGCGCCUCCUCAGCGAACCAGGUAUCAAUCCACGUAUUAGUAGAUUUUUACAGUUUUAGGGUUUUUGUUGCGGGGAUUGGAGAGGGCUUGGAUUGAUAGGUUGUGGAUGUUCCCCUUUUUUUUUUUUUUGGUUGCAGCUCCGGGGAUCAGUGCGUCUCCGUCGGAGGAGAACAUGCGGUAUUUCGACGUGAUGAUCAUCGGCCCCUCGCAGUCGCCAUAUGAAGGUGAGUUUUGUGAAUUGUAUUGUGUGAUUUGUCGGAGAAUUGGAACUUCGAAACUGAAACGAACAUCAUUUGUUAGCUGACGUAUCAGAAGCUUGAACAGUUUAGAAUUGUAACAGAAUCAUGGGAUGAUGAUUUUUCAUGCAGAUGUGAAUCAUCUGAUUUGAUGCUUUACGCCGUGUUUGGAUGUAGGAAUAAGUUAUCUGUGGAUAACUUAGUACGUGGAUUUUCUUGUGCGAUUGGAUGUUAGGAUUUUGAUUUUGCUCCUUAAAAGGUUUUGGCUUCCGUGUUUCACCUACGAGAUGAUUUAUUUUUGUUGAAUAUAUAAAUUUUAUGUACUGUUCUCUGAUAGCGUUAGCUUUUGGAGAACAACAGUGAUUUCACAUAAUUUAACAAUCUUAUUACAGGAAUAUGACUUGAAGGACAAAUAUGAUAUUUCAUUCUAGACUUUGGAUCCCACUUAUUUAUCAAAUAUUAUAAGCUUCUUGCGUAAAUCAAAGAAAUACUUUGAACAUGAUGUUCAUACAUCCAAACAAGGCCUUAAUCUUUCUACAUAAAUCCAGACAUUUAGGCCUUGUUCGGAUGCAUGAAUAUUUUAUUCGGAAUAUCUCUGUAAUUUAUUCAAGAAAUUUGUACAUUUAAUUGAUGAGGAGUGUGAUCAAAUAUUUAGAGUUGGAUAUUAUAUUUGGCCUCCAAGUCAUUUUUUUCGAUAAGAUAAGUCACCUCGUAGAUGAAAUACGCUAUCUUAUCAAAUCAUGGAUAGCAAAACUUUUGAUGGAGCAAAAAUCAAACUCCUUACUUACAAUUCAUUUAAGAAAAUCCUUAUACGGAAUAAGUUGUCCUUCGAUAACUUAUUCUGAUGUCCAAACAGGCCUAUGGCUCUAUUUGGAUGUUUGAAUAAGUUAUUCACUUAUUCAAGGAUAACUUAUUCGGUUUGAAACUACUCUAGUAUGAUUGUAACUAAGGAGUUUAAUUUUUGUUCAUUCAGAGGUCUUGCUAUUCAUACAUCUGAAAAAGGCCUUCAUUUUUUUUUUAAACAACAUUUAGAACUCUAGCUUUUGGUUCUUUGUCCCUAUGGUUGAAAAGGUAAUUUAAUGAUAAUGAACACUAAUUGUUGUUUUAUAAUCAAUCAAUUUUAUGCGUUGAAGUUUUUAGUUGAAACAGUAUGUUGACAUGUCAUGUAGUUAUUAGCUGAUUAUCAAUAUAGAUGCUUAGGCAGCCACUCAUGGUUUAAUUGUUGGGCUCAUUCUUCAUCCUAACCUUGUCCCUAGAACUCUCUUCUGCUUAAACUUGGUUUUUUUUAAUUCUGAGCUAAUGAAUCCUUCCCAGGGAGAUAUUACUUCCCAAAAGUUUUUGAUGGGUCUUUGAAUACACUAAAACUGAUAGCCUGGUGCUUAUAAAUGAAAAAUGAGAAGAUUGGUGGCUGACUUGCUGAUUUGUUUUUUUGGCAGCCUAGGCGUGGUAGGACAGAAUUCCACCAAUUAUAUUUCAUUCUUGCAAUGUUUGGAUACUUAUAAUGCCAGCCUUUGUAAAAUUCGUAAUCUGCUGGAGUGUAUUGUAACUAGUUGUUUGAUUUAUGUAUGCAGUUGUUUUAAGGAUGAAGAUUUACUUUGUUGAUUCUUCCGUUCUUUCUCCCCCCUACUAUGUUUCUUAAUUUUGAUGGCAUUUGUGAGUUGGUUUCUGCAAUUAGUUUAAGAUGAGCUGCCCUUUGGUAUUAGACGAUUUUAUUGAAAUUCAUGCAUAAUUUGUUUUUUGCUUUGUUAAUAUGAGAUGAUUUUACUUUGGAAGGUGCAUAAAAUCUUAUUAGUCAUUUUACACUUAUUUUCUGUACCAUUAAGCCCCCUAAUAUUCACUAAUGUGAAGUUUUUUGUUUAUUUCCUUUUCUUUUCUAUUUGGUUAGGAGGGGUUUUCAAGCUCGAACUCUUCUUGCCUGAAGAAUAUCCAAUGGCUCCUCCGAAGGUAAUUUACUGCAAAUAUUUAUAGAUGCUAGAGUAUCUAAGAAACUAGAGGUGGUUAUUAUGUAAAGCACCAAAAUUAUCUUCUGUUUGGUGUAAUAUUAUUACUCUUUUCUUGUUUUUGCUUCAUGUCCAAAAAUCAUUUUAAAUGAUGAACAUUUUCAUUCUGCCGAAGCAUGCAAAUCAUAACUAAAACAGAGGAUACAUGGUCAUUGAUUAACUACCAACUCUACUUUGGGAUGAAGAAAGCCGAUGUCUAGUUCAGUUGUAGAGAUGUUAGAUCCCCUACAUUUGAAAGGGGCAGAACUGGCUCAUACUUUUGGCUAGUAUAUGCAACUAGGUUAGUGAGUUUGUAUUGUGGAGCUAUCAAAGAAGGACAUUUUUCAAAAGCCUCUAUGGUCUAGUAUAGGAAUGCGAUGCUGAAGUGCACCUCACCUGGAGGUUCCCUUCACAUGAAAUAUUCAGACAGAGAGAGAUUGAAAAAUCGGAAAAUGCUUUAUAAUUUCCUUUUUGAUGCUCCAAAAUGUUGGUGGGAGCUGCCGGCGGAGAACCACCCCAACCAGUGGUGGUUCCCACCAGUAUUUCAUAGCAUCAGAGAAGAGGAUCAUGGAAGUGAUGUGAAAGGCCGGUGGGAAUUGCCACUGGUCUGGAUGCUUCUUUGGUUGUAGUUCCCACCACUAUUGUGAAACAUCGGAGAGGGAGAGCUCUAUAGUGUUUGAGUUAAUGAUGUAAUCAUGAUGUGAAAUGAUGACGAUCAAAAUCGUCAGUUUUAUUCUUUUUGCCGCCUUGAUUUGAACAUCAAGGCUAAGACUUUUUUUACCUUGUGAUUUGGAUUAUUUAUUUUCUUUUCUAUAAGCCUUUUUUUUUAUCAACUGAUAGAUAUUUUACUGUUUAUGCAUUUUUCUUUGGUUAUCUCUUAAAUAGGUUCGGUUUCUCACCAAAAUUUACCAUCCUAACAUUGAUAAGGCAAGUGGGUUCUUUGGUCUUUUUUCUCAACAUCUUGUAGCAACUGCCUCUUUAAUCUAAGAACUUUAUACUUGCAGCUUGGUAGAAUAUGUCUCGAUAUUCUGAAAGAUAAAUGGAGUCCAGCCCUCCAAAUUCGAACUGUUCUUUUGAGGUAAUACAAGUGUUUUCUUUGUUCUGUUACACCAACAUUAUUAAAUCAUAUAUAUUUGAGAAGCACAUUGCUUACUGUGUGCUUCAUAUUUUUCGUAUUGUACUUUUUGCUUGUCCAUUGUGUUGCUGUGCCAUUCUUCUUGCUUUAGUUUUUUUUACGUCUCUGUAACCUACUUUAGAGUUCAGACUUUAGUCAACAUCCUUAAAUUGUAAUAAUGAUUACUUCAUAUUUUUUUUGUAUAUAAUAACUUAAGUCUUAUGAAGGCCUUUUGGAGUCCUGGAAUGACUUUUCCGGCGUAUCUCUUCUAGUUUGCUCUAGGAUCUACUGUUUGUUGAUUAUUUAUUAAGAGGCAUGAAAAGAUCUCUAAGGGCAUCUUUCGAUGGUGGAGCAAAUUAUCUGGUGAUAACUUGUGUUGGAUGGAAGUUUCUUUCAAUAAUAUUGAGUUUGACUUUAUUUCAUAGCAAGGGCUAAUGGUAAUGAUUUUUGAGGAUUGUCUGUUUCCACAAACGAGGUGAUUUACUAGAUCAUUAGAAAUUAGUGUGGUUUAUUCCUUCUUACUCACUCACAGAUAUACCAUGCCUCUCCUACUAGCAAACGAUUCAUCAGUAAACAAGAAGAGAUACGCUGGAUAAAUUAUUCUAGCAUUCAAAGAGGCCCUUUGAUAAAUUUGCAUCUAUCCUAACAACCAACUAACAAAUGAUUCGGGAGUAAACAAACAGAGAAAUUGGACAUGUUAUUCUAGCAUCCAAAUGCUUCGUGAGCUACUAGGAUUAAUGUCUGUAUAAUAAUUAGGCCUAAUGAGAGAUUGGUCUGCCUAGCUCAUGUUCAACCCAAGUGUGUAAACUUUCGCAUAUGAAUUCCUGCUUUCGUCGACUCUGAUGAAUAGAGAAACUUUGGCUGCUUAUCUCACAUUAUUUUGGUAUGUUAUGCUGAGGAAAAUUUUAACAUAUCUAUGCGACUGUUGCUUGAGAUAUAUGUUGAGAUUGAGGGUAACUAGGAGCAUGGAAUGUUACUACUUACUAGGGUUCUGAGAUUUGCUGCUAGAUAUUUUAGUGUUACUAGGAUCAAGUUUCACCAGGACCUUCGCCUCUCAUAUCGCCAUAUAACUCGAUCCUAUUUAUUAGCUUACUAGUUACUAAUGCUUAUGCUGCUCAUCAGUAUUCAAGCACUUCUCAGCGCUCCAAACCCGGAUGACCCACUGUCUGAUAACAUUGCAAAGCAUUGGAAGGCUAACGAAGCAGAAGCUGUGGAAACUGGUAAGGGCAAUACUCUCACUUUCGUACUUCGUCUGCACAUCACUGUUGCUUCUCAUGUUUAUACUGACAGAACUAAUUCCUUUUAUUUUCUUCCCCACCUUUUAUUUGCUUGGACAAUGUAGCGAAAGAAUGGACCCACCUCUAUGCUAAUGGGCCGUGACGAAGCUUUUCGGCGAUGGCGAAUGUGAUAUAACCCAUCAAACUAUUGGGGGGUUCUAUUCGACUGCCGCGUGAUAAGAAUGAUAUGGUUAGUAUUUUGAUGUUCCAUUUGUCGAAGGAAUUUCUAACAAUCUUUUCGAAGUCAGUGCCGCUAUAUAUGCGGUGUAUAUGACUCUCUCGGGCUAUUUAUAUAAGGCAACUUUCUCUCUAAUCUGUAUCAGUGUUAGUCGAAUUUGAUUGUUCUUCGGUUUAUCAUCUUGCAAUCUAAAUCUGUUAGUUUUUUUUUUUCUCGUGUUGUGCCCGUUAUCUCCGAUGUCGAGAAUUGUUUCUUUGAUGAGAGAAAAAGAACCUAAUCUUGCAGCGGCGAGAUUAGGUUGCUAAGAUAGGUUGGCAAUGGAGAUAAUGAGCCAUCAACCCUUGCUCAAAUCCAACAAAAUGGAUUUGGAUCUGGAAACAUAAUAUUUGGGAUUUGUAUGUUUUUUUUAUUUUAUUUUUUGGGUUAGAAAUGCUUGGAGUUUACCUGAACUAUUGCGUAAUCUAAGGAUUUUGAAAAUUUAUAAUUAAUUUUAGGGUAAAUUAUACUUUUGGUCCUCAUAGUAUGAGGCGCGUGACAUCUUAGUUCUCAAAACAUUUGGGGCACCUUAUCUAUGCACUAUAAUCUUUGCGUGCUUAGAAGCACAGUACUGUAUUUACGAUAAAACUUCUGUUGGGGAGCUCCCCAACCGGCACCUUGGGAGUUUAUUAAUUUUGGAUGUGUUUGGUUCAAGUCCGAAUCAUAAUCGGAAUUGAAAUAAGAAUAAGCUGGAAACAGGAUCGGAAUGAUUUAUUAUUUUAUUAUGUUAGUUUCGUCACCUGAAUUAGAAUCGGAAUGAAUUAUUCUUAUUGUCGGUAUUUGGUUCAGAUAGAUAUUAAAAACGUAGUCAAAUUAAUUUGUCAAUCUUAUCUUUAGUUUAAAUUCAAAUUGAAAAUUAAAUAUAAAAAAUUGACCUCAAAAUAUUAAAAUAAUGUCAAAGUUUUAAAUAUAUUUUUUAAAAAUUAAAAUUUGAAAUUGAACGGAUAAUUCAAAAUAUAAAUAUAAAUUUUGAUUUAUUCAAAUUCAAAUUUAAAACUAUUAAUUUAAAUUUUAAUUUGAAUCUAUAAAUUUAAUAUAACUUUUAAAUAAAAUUUAAAUAAAAAUUUUAGAUUUAGAUUUGAAAUGCUUGAUUGAAUUUUAAUUUUUAAUUUAAGGUCAAAUUAAAAUUAAAAUUUAUAAAUAUAAUUUUUAAACUUAAAUUUAUGUUUUAAUUAGAAACUAUGUAAAAAAAUUAAUUUUAAUCUGAACAAAUUCAUCCUAUCCGGAUUCAAUUUCCAAUCCAACCGGAUGGAAAAAAUGGGUAAUUGGGGGGACUCAUUCAUCCGAGAAUCGAAAUUGGAAUCGGAAUCCCGCAUUCUAAAUACGGAUAAACGGAUUCGUCCAUUUCGAUUUUGUUUUCGGCGUGAAAAAGGGGCGAGAAACAUGCUCUUUGCCUCCAUCUAAAGAUUCGUCAGGUAUUUUUUAAUACUUAAAAUUUUUUAAAAAAAUAAAAUUUAGAAGAAGGAAUUAAUAAUUUUUAAAUAGAAAAAAUUGACACAACAUCGAUUCGCUUUCAGGCCAAUUUGCAUAAAAAAUUCACUAGUUUUGAGCUUUUACAAAAAUAGGCCGUCUUUUUAGAUUUUACAGAUUAUAACUAAAUUUUUAGAAAACUGACCAAAAUAUCUUUAUUUCCUUUACCUUUAUUUCUUUUUCUCUCUCUUUUUUUUUUUUCUCGUUCUUUUUUCCCUUUUCUCCCCAUAGGGCGGCGGAGGCGAAGGCCAAGGCGAAGGCGGCCCGCCUCGCCUCUAUCCGGCGCACCCUUACCCUCACUCGCGCACCUCCCGCCUUCCUCGCCUCUGACCCCGCCGAGGUUGUGCCGUGACCUUCUUUUUCUUUUCUUUUUUUUUUCUCUUCGACCUUCCUCCGUCGCCUCCCGGUUCUUUACGAUAGUAAAGAGGGUAACGCUGCUUCCUCUUCCUCUUAUUUUUUUGCUCGUUGCGUCGACACCAGUGCCAGAGGAUGAGAGCAGAAGAGGAGGAUGAGAGCAGAGGAUGAGGAGGAUGAGAGCAGAAGAGGAGGAGGACUCUGAGCGAGCNCACCUCCCGCCUUCCUCGCCUCUGACCCCGCCGAGGUUGUGCCGUGACCUUCUUUUUCUUUUCUUUUUUUUUUCUCUUCGACCUUCCUCCGUCGCUUUGCGACUUUCCACGACGGUUAUGAAGACAACGCCGUGUCCUCUUACUCUGCCUUCGUCGGUGUUGGCGUCGACACCAGUGCCAGAGGAUGAGAGCAGAAGAGGAGGAUGAGAGCAGAGGAUGAGGAGGAUGAGAGCAGAAGAGGAGGAGGACUCUGAGCGAGCGCGGGUGAGCGUAGAACCAAGAAAAAAAAAUGUAAAAAAUAAAUAAAAUAAAAAGAAUAAAGAAUAAAAUAUAAAAAAAUAUUUUUUUCUACAAAAAAAUGAUGAAUCAGAGAGAAAGAAAGAAGAAAAUGAAGAUGCAGUGUUUGAGAGGAACGUUGUAUUGUUUUAAACAAAAAUUACACUUUUCUAAAUGAAAGUUGCACUCUUUGAAUAAAAUUUAUACUCUUUGGAUGAAAAUUAUACUUCUUUUUCUCAUUUACACGAAAAUAAAGGAGGAGGAGGAAGAGAAGAAAUAGUGUAAUUUUCGUCGAAAGAGUGUAACUUUCUUUCAAAUAGUAUAAUUUUUAUUCAGAAAAGUUUAAUUUUUCUUCCAAAUAGUAUAAGUUUUCUUUAAAACAGUGCAACUUUCCUCUAAAAUAGUGUAAUUUAGUCAUCUUUUUUUUUUUUGUUUGAUUCUUUAUUUUUUUUGUAACUUUUUUCACCCUCUUCGACUCUCAUCGUCCCCUCCACUGCCUCGGGGCCCUCGGUGAUGAUAACGAGGGCCACGCCACAUCCUCUUCCUCCAUCUUCUCCUUCACCAAUGCAGACGGCCGUCGGCGACGGUAACGAGGGCGCUCCGCCUUCGCCUCCACCUCUACCGGCACCGGAGAAGAAGAAGGAGAACUCGAAAUGGACCCGGAUGAGGGACGGAAGCGAUGAGGUCGUUGUCGAGGAAGUGCUCGCCGCCCGUAAGGGUGAGGAAAAAAAAUGCGCCCAUCUCCAAAGAGCAAACAAAGAUACAGAUUGUAGAAAAAAAAAAGGAAUAAAAAGUAAAAAUUUAUUUUUUCUUUUUAAAAGACAAUUAUAUAUCAUUUUUCGAUAGUAGUAAUGAUAUAUAAUGGUCAUUCUCAUCCGUAUCCGCUUCGAGCUCUCUUUUUUCUUCUCCGGCGCCGCCCUCGUUACCGUGGAGACGGCGCUGCCCUCGUUACCGUCGCCGAGGACCGCCGGCAACGGCGGAGGAGGAGAUGGAGGAAGAGAUAUGACGCCGCUCUUGUUAUCGUCGCUGAGGGCCCCGAGACGGUAGAGGAGAGGAUGAAGGUCGGAGUGAGUGAACAGAAGUUACAAGAAAAAUAAAGAAUUAGAUAGAAAAGAAGAAGAUGAUGAAGUUAUACUAUUUUAGAGGAACUUUACACUGUUUUAAAAAAAACUUAUACUAUUUGAGAAAAAAAUUAAACAUUUCUUAAUAAAAGUUGCACUAUUUGAAAAAAAAGUUGCACCAUUUGAAUGAAAAUUAUACUAUUUCUCUUUUCGUCCUCCUUUUUUGUUUUCGUGGAUGAGAAGAAAUAGUGUAAUUUUUGUUUAAAGAAUGCAAAUUUCGUUCAAAAAGUUCAACUUUCGUUCAGAAAAGUGUAAUUUUUUUUAAAAACAGUGCAACGUUCCACUGAAAUAGUGCAUCUUCAUCUUCUUCUUAUUUUCUAUAUGAUUCUUAUUUUUAUUAUAAAAAAAUGUUUUUUUUAUAAAAAAAUGUUUUUUUAUAUUUUAUUUUUAUUCUUUUUAUUUUAUUUAUUUUCUACCAUUUUUUUUCUUAGUUUCGCUCUCACCUACGCUCGUUCCGAAUUCUCCUUCUUCGGCGCUGGUGUUGGUGCCUGCGCCGUCGAAAGCGGAGUAAGAGGACACGGCGCUGUCUACGUUACCAUCGUGGAGGGUGGCGAAAGCGGUGGAGGGGAAAAAAAAAAGAACGAGUGAAAAAAAUGAGAGGAAGAUGACGUGGUGUUACCCCCUUUCCUAUCGUAAAGAGCCGGGGAUGCGAUAGAGGAGGGUUGGAAAGGGGAAAAAAAAUGAAGGUCGCGGCGUGGCCUCGGCAGAGUCAGAGGCGAGGCGGGCCACCUCCGCCGCUCUCUUGGGAGAGGAAGAAAAAAAGAACGAGAGAAAAAAAAGGAGAGAGAAAAAAGAGUAAGAGUAUUUUAAUCAGUUUUCUGAAAAUCCGACCCGAAUCUAUAAAAUCUAAAAAAACGGCCUACUUUUGUAAAAAUUCAAAACUAAUGAUUUUUAUACAAAUUGGCCUUCUCUUUAAUAUAUAUUUCCAUUUCAAAAAUAUUAUGCACCUAGUGGCCCUACCAUGUUUAACCCUUAUUAAUAACUUGGUUUGGUGGGGAGGGACCCAAAACCAGUGUGAGCACAUGCAUUGUUUGUUUAGGUUGUGGGGAAGAGGGGAAGUUCUCAACUCCACACAUGCACUGAAACAUGGUCUCCCACAUGAGCAACUACAAUUCAAAAUGGAACAGUUUUAGGAACAUCUGAUUUGAUGUAAUUAUAAAUAUAAAAUAGUUAGAGUAAUAUACAGUUAAAAAAUAUAACAGUUAUAUCUAUCAGUAUUUUAUUUGAUUGAAUAUAGUAAAAACUGUUACAGCUUAGUUGCAUGCGUAGUUAGGAACUGUAUGCAUAGAAUCUUUUUAUAUAUUGAAUUAUGAGCUUAGCCCUUACGUAGAAGAAUCUUGUUUCAAUAAAAAGGUGAUCAGGUAAUAAGCAACCUCUUAUCUAAACAAAUUACUUUUUUCAACCUAGCAUGCGGUUGAACCUCACUAUGUGGUGCUAACUAUUUAUGUUAGAUCCAAAUGCACCAAACCAAAUGCUACAUUUAGAACAAUAUAUAUAGUUAAAACUGUAGUGAGUUGCAAUGGAGUGCGACCAAAUAAUCUCAUUAUAGUAGAAAACAUUGCCAAAACAUUUUUUGACACCCAUUCUUAGGCGUAUAAGUAUUAAGACUUCGUUUCGGAUUGCGGAAAGAUUGCGUUACGUGUGUUUUUGUACAUAAUAUUACAUUUCCGAUCAGAAAAAAUAAAAAAAAAGAAUUAUGCCAGCUAUUACGAUAUAUUUUUUACGGUCCUACCGGAGAACACAGAAACAUACCCUUAUAUGUUCUUAAUCCGAACUCUAUUUUAUCUAAUAAUUUCAGAUGGAUUUCAAUACCAAACUAAACCUAUCUCUACUACCAUAUUAUCUAAAAGAGAUAUACUACUGUAUGUCUUAAAAGUUCAGCUUACAAAUAAUGGAUAUAUUUCUUUAAAUAUUAUAAGUACCAUACAGAAGUAUAUCUCUUUUAGAUAAUAUGGUAGUAGAGAUAGGUUUAGUUUGGUAUUGAAAUCCAUCUGAAAUUAUUAGAUAAAAUAGAGUUCGGAUUAAGAACAUAUAAGGGUAUGUUUCUGUGUUCUCCGGUAGGACCGUAAAAAAUAUAUCGUAAUAGCUGGCAUAAUUCUUUUUUUUUAUUUUUUCUGAUCGGAAAUGUAAUAUUAUGUACAAAAACACACGUAACGCAAUCUUUCCGCAAUCCGAAACGAAGUCUUAAUACUUAUACGCCUAAGAAUGGGUGUCAAAAAAUGUUUUGGCAAUGUUUUCUACUAUAAUGAGAUUAUUUGGUCGCACUCCAUUGCAACUCACUACAGUUUUAACNUAAUUGGAUAGGUGGAGAAUAGAGGGAAGAAUUUUAACUGAUCGAUGGAUGAUGAUAUAUUAUUGGAGGGAUUUUUUUGCAACAUAUUAAAAUUUUGAAAGGAAGAGUAAAUUAUUUUCAAAUUUUAUAAAAAUAUACCUGUUAUUUAUAUGCUUUUAAGAAAUGUACGAGUAUUUAUCCCUAUCUACAAUCUCGGAUCGGAGACGAUUUAAAAACAUCACCAGUGCCCUUCUUAAAAGUUGAAACUAGAGGUGAAAACAAAUCCAAUACAGUCGAGUUUUUGAUAAAAUCAUAUCUGUAUUCUUUUUUUCUUUUUCUUUUUUUCUUCAGAUGCAAAUUCACAUGCAAAUAUAAGUUGGAUGCUAAAUUUUCGUUAUGAUAUACAUUUANCUAGUGAACGAGUAACCUCAAAAUGAAGGGCCGAAAAUAAAAAUUUCAUAAAAAAUAGUGAUAAAGGACUAAAUUUCAAAUCGGAAAUAUUGAUCUUGAUAUUGAUAUUAAGUAGAAUUUUUUAUUAAAUUUUUAUGUAAUUUGGAUACUUCUACACCGUUGAACUUAAAAACAUGCCACAUCGGCCGUUAAAAUAGUCAUUUUUGAGACCUUUUGAUCGCUUGGUAAUUAAUGUCAAAAAAUUAUAAAAUUUGGUUUCUAGAUAGUUCCAAUAGAGUAGAUUAUACUUAACGGAGCCGAUCGUCGAAUCGAAUGUCCUAUCAUCGAAAAUAACUUACAAGUACGGAGCUCUCCUUACUUUCGAAAGUAUAGGAGACGUACUAUAUAUAUAUAUAUAGAGUCCGGCUACUAUACUCUUAUGAGUACGAUCGCCCUCGUACUCAUAAGUUGUUUUCGAUGAUAGAGCUUCCGAAUCGACGAUCCAUAUCAUUGAACAUUAUCUAGAGCAUUUAAAGCUUCUAGAAAUCAAAUUUCAUAAUUUUUCGACAUCAUUUACCUUACGAUCAAAAGCUCACAAAAUUGAUAAUUUUUAACGGCCGGUAUGGAAUGCUUGCUAGUUUAACGGUGCAAAAAAAUCUGAAAAGGUUGAAUUUUUGAUAGAAAAUUAUAUUCACUACCUAGAUAAAGAUCAAUAAUUCCGAUCUUAAAUUGAAGGAUCCGAUCAUCCAUUUUUAAGACAUCGUUCGAUUUUGACCGUUCAUUUUAUACCCGCUUGAUGGACUUUAUUAUGAUUUCGAAAAAUUACGAAAUUUAUUUUCUAGAAGUUUCAAACACUCUAGAUCAUGUUUAACGGAGUGGAUUGUCGAUUCGGAAUCUCCAUCAUCGAAAAUAACUUAUGAGUACGAAGGGCCCAAUACUCAUAAUAGUAUAGUAGUCCUACUCUCUCUCUCUCUCUCUCUAUAUAUAUAUAGGGUCCGACUACUAUACUAUUAUGAGUACGAUCGCCCUCGUACUCAUAAGUUGUUUUCAAUGAUAGAGCUUCCGAAUCGACGAUCCACACCGUUAAACGUCAUUUACAGCAUUUAAAACUUCUAGAAAUCAAAUUUUAUAAUUUUUUGACGUCAUUUACCUUACUAUCAAGAGGUCACAAAUUUGACAAUUUUUAACAGCCGGUAUGGGAUACUUGCUAGUUUAACGGUGUAAAAGAAUCAGAAUUUGUUGAAUAUUUGAUAAAAAAUUCUAUUCACUACAUAUAUAAAGAUCAAUAACUCCGAUCUUGAAUUGAAGGAAUUCGAUCAUCCUUUUUUAGGACGUCGUUCAAUUUUGACCAUUCAUUUUAUGCCCACUUGAUGGACUUUAUUAUGAUUUCGAAAAUUUACGAAAUUUAUUUUCUAGAAGUUUCAAAUACUCUAGAUCAUAUUUAACGGAGUGGAUCGUCGAUUCGGAAGCUCCAUCAUUGAAAACAACUUAUGAAUAUGAAGGCUUCAAUACUCAUAAUAGUAUAGUAGCCAUAACAUAUAUAUAUAUAUAUAGACUAAAAUUAGCGCGAAUAAAACAUACAAUGCAAUUAAAUGUUCGCAUUCGUAUUCAAACUUUAUAUAAUUAACUUUUAUUCAACAAAAUUUAAUAUUUUAACAAAUAUAAAUGCAAUUUCAACAUAAAAUUUAUACAACAAUAAAGAAAGAACAAAAUAGAAAACCACUUUAUUCUCGUGUAAUAUAUUUAUAUCUCUCUUAUUUUUUGGGGAUUAAAACGAUCGAAUACGGUUGGAUUUUUUUUUUAAGAAACUAUAUGUGCAUUCACUUUUUCUUUUUCUUUUUUUGAAUGCAAAUUCGAAUAUGAAUACAUAUUGAAUGCUAAAAUUUUAAAAUCCAUAUUCGUACCGAAUCCGACAUUGUAUUGCACAUUGCACAUGGCUCUCCUUAGAAUCCAAGAGGACUGUUGUGUAUUUAUUUGGUCCAGCCUAUCCUCUCCAGGUAAGUACAUAUCUUGUCGGUGGCCCCGCACCGAAGCUUCCUCCUCAAAUCUGGAGGGAAGCUAAGAAUAUCUAAAUCGACUUUUGAACUUAGGACGGCAGAUGCCAACAAUCAAGUCCUUUAUUACUAUCUGUGCUAAAAACAGUCGAUUUUGAUUAUAUAGCACUUAUUAAAUUGUGAUCAAAUUGUCGGCUUAAAGAAACCAGCAUUCUGUCCUGUAACGGAAGGUCGGGUUCGGCUGAGUUACUUUUGAAAUGGCAGGAGAUCAGACUGUGCCGAUUUAUGUUGGAAGUGGCGUGAGGCUGGUCGGACCAAGUCAUAAUCGAGACUCGUGGGCUCUGUGUUUGUACGGCUUAAGUGAAUUGAUUGCGUAUUUCUAUCUGCUCGAGUUUUGAAAUUAAAAAUUAGCGUCAACAAUCUGGCCUCUUUUACGUCGUUUCUGAAUAAUCAUUCUAUUUUAAAAAGCCGCAUUCAUAAUCAUAUCCAAUUCUCACUACUCUAAAUUUUUUUUAAGAAGCGUUUUUGUCACAUCUGUGAAUUCUACAU